UCAUAUUUGGAAGUGAAAUUGCUUCUCCUCUGCUCAUUCUGUCCAGUUCGCUGCACCUCGAAAGGUUAUAUUAUUUUGCCAUGUUCUCUCUUCUUUUCAACGUGUCCUCUUUGCUUUUCGCUUGCUUUAGAAUAAUAUUCUGAUGAUGGUAGGUGUUCAAUUGUUUGAUGGUUGUUGGCUGGUUGUAAGAAUAGAGUAUAAAGUAUAUGGUUUUCAUUGGCUUGUUGUGCAGAGGUAGCCGUAACAUCAUUUUUAAGGACUGGCGAAUGUCUUUCCUCGUGUGCCCAUCCUCUUUAUUUUGUCUAAAUCCACUUCGAAAUUCUUAUAUGUUGAAAUGUUGCGUGAAUAUUUUCAAAUCAAGUUUAUUUCAUGAAGUUCGCAUUUUAAUACUCUUGUAGGACAAAAUCCUUCAAUCAAAUAAAAUGUUUAAGUAUGUGCGAUGCAGUUGUAUGCUCUCCCUAAUCAUUAAGUUUCUUUUGUUUACUUCUUGAUUCUCUUGGUCAACUUACUGUGUUUGUCCUCUUUCUCAAUAUUUUCUCUCGCCUUUUUCUUCUAUGCUCAAUGAAAUAGUAGGUCCAAUGUUGGAGAAAGUUGUGUUGUAGGCUUGUUUGACGAUUACUGAUUGCGUUGUUUGUUUAUAUUUUUUAACUCUUAAAAUUUUAUCUUUUAGGUUUCUAUUAUUUGAUUGAGUCGAAUCUAUAGGCAUGCAUUUGAUGUUAAUGUCUCCAAUUUGCUUGCGAGUUUUAUUUUUCUUCUAUUUCUAUCUAAUAUUGCUUUAUGUCACGAGGAUCCGUAUCAUCCCACUUAUAGUAUAUUUAAAUUGGCUGGGUAUUGUAUUUAGGAGGGUUUUUUUUGUGCUCAAAUCUUGUUGUUUAUGUAAGUGAAUCCGCAAGCCGUUAAUAUGGUUAGCAUAUGUCGCAUGUUCAUUCUUGUAGUUUGAUGUUUUCCUACGCCUUAAACGUGUUUAUUAUAUUGUUGCCUCACACAACAUGCUCAAAUCAAGUUUUGCCUUCAUAUCACUCGACAUUUGGCAGAAAGCGUUUCGUUUUAGCUUGAGUUGUUUGUUUUUGUGUUUAUGAUAUUGAUCUUUAUUAUUCGCUCUAUUUUAUGUUUUUCUGUUCACUGUUUCAGUCAGUUUUGUCAUUCUGGCAAAGGGUGAUUUUAAAUAGCAUCGCAUUAUUAAGUAAAUUACUGUAGGUCACAACUUCUGUUGGUCGAUAGGGAAGUUUUAUUCGGUUUACUUGAUCUAUUCUAAGGUGUCAUUUAUGCCCUCCUCUCUUUUUCUUUUAUAAAAAUGGUUGUUAUUCAUGUGCCUCUUUGAUUUUGAUUCCCUUUAAUGAUAUUGCUUGCCAAUUUGCAAAUUUCCGGGUUUAAAUGCAUAUUCCAGUAAGCUAGGAUACAUUCCAAGUGUUUGUGUUGGUUAGACUACUUAUUAACUCAUUUCCCUUUCUCUUGAAUGUAAAAUCUGUUUGGGUUCGUUAUGAACUCUCAUCCUCUAUUGCGUUAUGAGAGAGAGUCAUAAAGGCUUAACUUAUCCAUCAAGUCAAGCAAAUCGACGGACAAUUCCUGAAGUUUAUGGAAUUGAAGAAAAUCGAAGAAGUUUUAUUAGAAGACCCCUUUAUAUUCAUAUGUUGUACUUUUAUUAUGUAAUAGCCCUAAGCCCUUAUCGCUUUGUACUAUUAUCUAAAUAGUUUAGGACUCGUACAAGUUGAGUGGGCCUAAGACCCAUAAACAGAGGGUCCAAUUACCGAUCCAGGCGGACAAAAAAAUUGAAUUUGGACCCAACUCUCUCUCUCUCUUAUUUUUUGUUUAUUCCCAUUACUUGUAGUUAGUUUUAAAAUAAAUAAUUCAAAUCCCCGCAAACGGCGUAAAUGUUUUAUCGACUUAAAAUUUAAUUCUAAAUGAACUCUAAAAGAUGAAUAGAUUUGCAAAAAAUAAAGUUCACUCAAUUAAUUAAUACCACUUCUUUCAUACGAAUUUUACGUAAUUUUUACAAGUUAGAUUAUUUUUAGCCAAAUAGAUUAGUUGUUUGGAUAACCGCAAGAAACCAAACGUCUAUGUGCUUUCAAAACCUUCCUAAGACGUUAAUAAGAAUUGCUGACCCCCCCUAAAAAUCUUUCAUUUAAUUUUCUGUUUUUGAUUAAAUGGAAGAACAAUUUUUUCUUAAUUUUCUCAAAAUUAAGUGGCAACUCAAAAAGUCAAAAUUCUAUAAAUAUAAUCUUUUGCGAAUAUAUAAUAAAACAGAAAUGAAGACUCUUCUUGGAGAUUUGAGAAUUCUAAUCUUAAAAGUAACGUGUUUUUGCUAUGUGAAGUUAAUAGUGUAUCUGUUUAUUUGUCGCCUUAUUCAACUGUUGCGUUUAUGGCAUAUCAUAACUCUAUCAUACGACGAUUAUUUUUGUUUACCACUUGAAGGACGAUAACGCGGGUUUGCAGUCAUUCGUUCACCAAAUUAUUUCGGGAUACCCUGACGAAUGUAGUUUUUUAUUUGAUAGUCAACGGUCGUUAACUGUCCCAUCCUAAGUAGUCCGCUUGGGUUACCCUUUCCACUAUAAAUAUAACUCACUCAUAGUAAAACUAAGAUAAAGCGCAACCAAAUUCCGAAAAGUAGCUCAUUAGCCUAAGAUGACCCAACACCCAAUGAGUUUUGGGCCUAUUAGAAAUACCGCUUUGAGUCCAAUGAGCCCACGACUCGAUUGGAAGAUCAUAUUUAUAUAUUGAUCUGAAGGAUGUCUACAUGUUUUACUUUUUGUUGUGUCCUGGAGGGUGGAAACUAACUAGUUGUAAGUUUUUGUAGAUGUCGAUUCAAUUUCUUAGUUACAAUAUGGUCCCCAAGUCACCAGACAUUCUCCGCGUAUGGUGGGAAAACCUCAAAGGUUGUUAAAAGAGAGAAAUCUUGAUUCACUUCUGCCACUUACCUUUGAUAAUGGACUUCAAGGUUUGGCCCACGUUUGUCGUGGUAAUUACGCAGUUUUGGGACGACAAAAAGAUGGUCUUUUUAUUUGGAGACGUCAAGAUAACACCUACCCUAGAAGAAAUAAAGGACUGACUGAAGUUUAUCAAAAUAUCUGGCAAGAGGAAAAAUAUCCUGAUCAUUACAUCCUUCUACCGGACUGGCCGACUCGUAAAGAAUUGAAAGACAUGUAAUUGCUAGUGAAUAAAAAUUGGUUGAAUGCACAAAAUAUACCAAUAAUGAUAUUUUUUGAAAGAUGAGGGCACAACAACUAUUUUAAACUUUUUCCAAAUGAAUCACAUGAUCGUAGUACUUGUAGACAAACCCAGGCCAUUACAUUCUCAACAUUCCUUUUAGAAACGAUAGUGUUCACGCAAGAUGAAGGAAAGGAGAUCGACACCCGGGUUGUGAGUGUAGUAGAUGCCAUAUUUAGAGGAGUUGGUAAGAAACAAGAAGAAAAGAAACACUGCAGUUUAGCCAUAGUAAUUUUGGCCGACAUCUGUCAAUCUCUGAGAUUGUAUAAGAAUAGGUUUCCAUUUUUCAAAAGUUGCAAUAUUUUACUUCAGUGGUGGAUGAGUGAACAUAUGUGAAAAAAAUGGCAACUAGCAAGAAGAAUUUGCUAAACCGAGCCAGACGAGUCCCCUUGAUAAUUACAAAUUUAUUUAAGCAUUCGUAGGUUCCCAAUUCAUACCACCAAGGAUGUGUCGGCGAAGGUAUUUUAUGAUCUAUGAGAAGGAUACAUACAGUGGAUGUUGCCGAACUUCAUGUCAGAGAAUAUAGCAAGAAACUUCCCUUUUUGGUCCUUACCGGCAUUAGAGGGUUGCAACACUACAACCCUGCUAGGGUGAUGUUGAAAUUUGGUAGAACACAAAUCACACCCAUCAAAGGUGAUACUAUCUCCUUCUUCGUCGAUCACAACGGGUGCAUUAAAAUACCUUUAGCCAUGAUCAUCGUCCUAGAAUGGACUGGACGCGUCAACAUGAAAUGUGAUAUGACUAAAAAUAGAUAUGAAGUUGGGUAUGUCUAUGAAUACCAGAUGUGUUUGCAGAAGGAUUUGUAUGGUGUAGUGAACCCAACACCGCGCGUAGGUUGAGAAAUUGAAGACAUACAGAUAAGGUUGCAGAUCCACGCAUAUAAUUUUCAAUAAAAAUGGUACCGAAGGGACCAGGAAUUUCAACGAAAGGAGCGAGAGUACUAGUCUAGAGAGUUAGAAGGUCAGAGGCCUUUAGCUGUGAUGUCACAAGAGCUAACCGAUGCAAGGGCAUGUUUGAUGAAUCUAGAUGAAACGCUGGAUGAGCAGACAAACAUCCUACGCGUCGUGCCUCCAUCUACCAAAGAUGUCUUCGCUGAUCCAUAUGUGGUAACAAGAAAGUGCAUCAUCCGUGAAGAGGUAGAAAAAUCCAGAGGCAGAGUAGGACCGUCAACCUUCUAAUUCCCUUGCGUGGAUUAUUUUCUAUUUGUAUUCGCAAUUUAUUCCCCUUCCUGAAAAUGUACCCCCGUUUCGAUUAUAACUAUGUAACGGAUGCUAUGAUUAUUUCUGAAGCUUAUUUUUUGGGAUGCAACAAUCUGUUUUAAAUGAUGCAAUAUAUCCUUCUGAUCGCUAGGCCUACCCUUGUCACAAAAGGGUCACAUGCAUGAUUAGGACGCGAUAUAUUUGUGUUAACUGUUUAUGUGACAUGUUGCUUUGAAUGAGAGUAUCAUUAACCACUCCUUUCUAGAAAUUUCAAGAAAAUAUACACACAAGUCAAUAUUACAAAAUGUCCGACCAAAAUUUUCCGAGUCUUAAGUUUGUCACUCAAAAGAUAUAUCCCAUAGCCCAAAGCCUAAAACGCUACUCUAUCGUCUAAGGAAAAAUAGAAUCACAACUAUGGGAAAGGGUAAGAGUGUCCCAGUGGAAUUUACAGGAGAGGAGUUACAUAUAAAUAUAGAACAAAUCACGCGGAAAAUUCAAGAGGUCAAGGACGAAGGACUCAGGGUCGAAGUUGCCGCAUCAAUAUACAAAGACAUGACUGUGGCGCUGGAUGAGGAUUUGGUGUCAAAAAUGAAGAAGAAAAAAGACAUUGAUAUGUAGAGAGAGGUGUGUGUCUUCCACCCAACUGGCGAGGGCACACUAUAGAGGAAUAUGUGCAACUUAAGAAAAGAAUCUGCCGCCAGAUCAACAUUGGGCAUAUUCUCUACUUGUUGGGUUGGAACACGGUUCUCACCUAUGAUCAGUCAGAUCUCAGUGAGCACACCCGAUUCAUUUGUCAUUAUUUCACGCCAUUCCAGAAGACGAUGCUUGAAUCUACAGUGAGUUGGUUCAGAAUGGGGAUUUAGCCUCUAUCCACGAUGAUGACAGAGGUCUCGAUACCAUUAGGAAAGAGAUAUGUAUACCUUGUGCUUAACACAAUGCUACAAAUAAUAGUCUCUCAAGGUGCCUCAAUUUUCGCUACGACUUCAAAGCCCUCAUCAACAUGGGAAAAAUUCGAGUCAAGUUUGGUCCCCGUGGCUUAGAAGACGUUGACAAAACGUAUAACUGAGACGUAAUUAUUAUUUGUCUUUAAAGCAUUUUUUUAUCUUUCAAUUUCCAUGUAACCAUCUAUAAUGAAUGGAUGAAAGUCAAUUUUUUUUUCUACUCGAAUUAUGUUGGGCCUGAAUUCUCCUUGUGAGAUAUGUAUGAAGCCUUUUAAGGCCCGACCCCUAACCUUUAAAUAUUUCAUUCUUCCCCCUUCAUAUUAUAAGAAGAUACAAAGACUAGAUCAACGAACAUCAAAGAGAAGCUGCAAGAAGACUUUAGCUCGACGUGAUUUAGACUUUCUAAGAUGGUGUCGAACUAAAAAGCAAGCAAACUCCUGCUAGUUAAAAAUCUAUUUUCUUCCAUACUCGUGGAUUAAAGAUAACCUCAAACAAAGCAACUUGUGUGUUUAUCCGCUCUCUGUGUGAUAUUAUGUAUUUUUUAUUCUGAAUCUAAACUAAUAUAUCUGCCUUUAAGUUGUUUUCCUCCUUAUGUACUUUGAAACUCAUCUAUGUCGAUUAAGCUGGCAGAUCAUCCCUAUUUGACCUGAUCUAAGGAUCCCGCAGAUUCCUUUCCAACAAAAUAUUCGGACAAAGGAAAAGCAGUUAUGGGAGACAAUAAUGAAGAAGUCAAUCUCACCAAUGAUGUGGUGGCUAAAUCCAUCAUAGCAGACCAGAACAAAUGUAUUAUCCAAAAUACUGCAAGAGAUUGCGGAAAUGAGGGUGGGAUGCAAAGGACACAGGAUCUGACUCCACCUGUUUUUGGUGCUAAAGCUGUUGAUGGGAGACCUCCUCUCCACUUACCUGCUUCAAAUAUGGAUCCAACUUAGAAUCUGCCAUCUACACCGGCUCAGAAUCCUUUCAUCAUAGACCUGACCGCUCAGAACACCCAAUAUGCUUCGGCUUCGUACAAAAUACCUUCUCCUCAAAACAACCACUCCCAACUACUACCCCAUUCUCAAAAUACCCAACAUCAAAGUGUUCCACCAGUAAAACCAAAAUACCAAUCCUUAAACCUAUCUGUAAAACUACCAAAGCACCCAGAAUUCCCAAAGUCCUUCUGUAGCUCCAUCCCUACCAAAAAGAAUAACUCUCCAGAUUCCCGUCCCAGUUACGCACGAUCAGGAUUGUUCUGUGCUGGACCAUUACGAGGAACAAGAAAAAGAAUGGAGGGAAAAAUCAGAAACAAAGGUGGAUAUAAAAGAAGAAAUCAGGAAAGCAAUAAAAGAGUUCCAAAGCAUCCCUGACGUCACUGGUCUAAAAUAUGAAGAUUUAUGCAUCAUUUUGAAUCUGGACGUCCAUGAAAGGUUCAAGAUUCAAAAACUUGAUACUUUUGGAGGAGAAGGGAAUCCUAUGGCCCAUCUAAGAGCCUAUUGCGACCAAUUUUUUUGCGUUAGUAGGGAUGAAGCCUUGCUGAUGCAGCUCUUUAGCCGAAGUCUAUGCGGGGAGGCUCUAGAAUGGUUCACCUUCCUUUAAAUUAGACAGUGGCCAAGUUGGAAUGCCCUAGCCAAGGAUUUUAUCGAUCGAUUUGCUUACAACUUUGAAAUUCCAAUCGAUACUUCUUGAAAAAGAUGAAGCAAAAAUCUACUGAAAGAUAUAGAGAAUUCGCCUAUAGGUAGAGACAGGAAGUAAGUAGGGUAAGGCUUACGGGCUCAAGAGCCCGAUAUUAUGAUAGAAACAUCUUGCUCGUUAGAGCGAAAUUUGCUGAGAUAGUCAAGAUUGGUGAGACUAUCGAAGAUGGUUUGAAGGAAGGGAAAAUAGCCCACAUUGCUGCAUCGCCCGGAUCAUCAGGCUUGCUGAUGAAAAAAAGAGAAGAAGUUUCAACUAUCUCUUAUGAGGGGAGGAAUACCCAUAAAAGACCGGCAUUCUACAAAGGUCCCCCUCGACCAUCACAGAACUCCCAUCAAGCUAGUUAUAUGCAAACUAGUUAUCCAAAUCCUACCUCCUCGUACCCAAAUUCCCCACCUACAAAUUAUUAAAAUUCAUCUUUUAUUUACCAAAAUCCUCCUCCGCCUUACCAAAUUCAUCCCCCAUUUACCAAAAUGAUGCUCCUAACACUGACAAUGUGUAGUCGAGCUACAGAGAACCCCAACCAGUAUAUUAAUUCCAAGCUUCAAUAUACAAAAAUACCCCAACGAACUACCAAAGAUUCAUCACUAAAAACCAAACAUAUCCUUAUUUGAGAAGCCAAGCUCUCCGUCCAAAUACUAAAAGUUAACAAUAGGUGACUCAUCCACAACAAGGCAGUUAUGAUCCACGUCGACCUAGAUUCGAGAGGAAUCCCACCAAAAACAUUACCGCGCUCAUGGAAAGUCGAAUAAAGUUAUAAGAGCGAUUGCUUGCGGCUUAUACAUUCACAUGGUGGGGCCUAAGCCGGUUGAUACUAGUUCCAAAUUCUACAUACCCGAUCAAAAGUGUGCGUAUCACUCCAACAAUGUUGGACAUGAUACCGAGGUCUUCAUCAACCUCAAGCACAAGAUUCAUGAUCUGAUCGACAAAGAGGUGGUUUCUCUUCAAGCAGUCGCACCUAAUAUCAACACCAACCCAUUACCGAAUUAUGGAGGCAUCAAUAUCAACAUGAUAGAGAUGAAUGAUUAUUGGUCCGUGACUAAGGUGAUAACUCAUAAUAUUCAUGACGAGUUAGAAAGUGAUGUGUUGCCUCAGUGAUCGUCAAAGAUAAAAAAGAGUUUGUGGUCGUGACACCCGCAAAUGAUAUUGCCUUGGUUCCAUCAGAAACUUUUUUCAGUCCAAAAUUGGUGAUUGAAACUGCUGCCGCUCAGGGUAUGACCCGAUUUGGAAGGUGUUAUACUCCUUAAGAGUUGUCUUUUGGAGGACGAAAUAAAGAUUAGGGUAAAAGGCCAAUAAGUAAAGGCGAGACAGAGGAAUUAUGGAGAAACAUGCAGCCAAAAAACUAUUCAAUCGUUAAGCAUUUGGAGAAAAUUCCAGCCCAGAUUUUUGUGUGGGCCUUGCUAAUGAGCUUCUUACUGCAUAUAGAGAUCUUUAUGGCAGCUCUUGAUUAUAUAUAUGUGCCCGUGGGCACAAGCAUCGAUAAUGUGGCAGCUAUGAUCAACCAUCUUAUCCGAGGGCAUCUUAUUAGCUUCUGUGAUGAAGAAUUACCCUCUAAAGGGAGAUCGCACAACAAGCCGUUGCAUGUCACUGUCAUAUGCCAUGAAAAAGUCAUAAAUUGUUUCCUGGUAGAUGAUGGGUCCAGUCUUAACAUUUGCCCACUGUCGACUCUAAGGCAGUUAAUGUUUGACUUUGGGAAGCUGGAACAAAACCAAGUCAAUGUAAGAGCAUUUGAUGGAGUAUAGAGAAAUACGUUGGGAGUGGUGAAUCUGCUCAUCAAAAUAGGUCCGACUGAGUUCAGCGCACAAUUUCAAGUCUUGGACAUCGACACCAGUCAUAACCUUCUUCUGCAAAGGCAUUUCAUCUACAAGGCUGGAGUUGUGUUUUCUACUCUUCACCAGAUGAUGAAACUCGUUUGAAAGAACCAAGAACUCAUUAUUCACGGUGAUGGUAUUCACUCUGGCAGACAGAUGCCCAUUAUCGAUGAAGUUUUGCGAGGAACAAAUUUGUACACGGUGGAGAUGUUAAAUGCAACCGGUGAGGAUGUGGCCCCACAGUCUCCUAUGUCUGUCAUGUACAACAUGCUGCCAAUGUGAUGCUACAGAAUGUGUUUUAACCAGGUUUUAAAAUGGGAAGGAAUUCCCAACGGAUUAUCUAGCCUAUCCCAUUCCACAUUAAAGAAGCAAGAUAUGUUUUGGGGUACAUACCCAUAGAUGAUAAGAUGAAGAAGAAGAAAAGCAGUGACCAAGCAUUGGUUAAGCAGAUUCCACAUCUGUAUCAAUAAUUUCCUGUCCGGGGAGUACGCUGAUCUAGAUGGCCUUGAGGAAGGAAUUUGUGGCCUUUUGAAGAGAAUGAUGCGAUCAUAGAAAAAGAAGUCGAGCUAGCUGGUAUCCGUGAUGCUAAGCUCGGAGAACAACUGCAGAAUUAAAUUUUAAGACCAUUCUUUAUUCUCCGAUCAUAUUGGUAGAAGGACAUUGUUUAGUCAUAUUUGAAAAUUGGUGGCGGUCCGGAAGUGGCCUGAGACCUGCACUCUUGCAUUUUUCUUAAUCGCUUGAAUUUUUAAAUUCCGCGUGAUGUUUAAAAAGGCAACAUGGUCCUUUACCAUGGUCCAAUUUUAAUGAAAGCAUCUUUUAUCGAAAAUUUUUUAUUUACUUAUUAGCUAUAUUUUACUUUUCUUACUUUGUCUAUUUAUGGUUUCAGUAGCAUUAAUUUUAAACCUACCAAUGUCAUGUCAUGUCACAAGAUGAACGGACAAAAUGAGGAAAGUGAUGACGAGGGUGAAGGGCACGAAGAGGAAAAUGAGGCACAAAAUAUGUUGCUAAGAAGUUUCUGCAGUUUCAAAAUCACCAUAAGCCAAAUCUAAAACAAACUGAAGUUGUGAAUCUGGGAGAUCAAGAGUGUGCCCAAGAGAUAAAAAUCAGUGUUCAUUUAAAUGAAUCUCAGAGAAAGGAUCUAAUACAUUUACUCACUGAAAAUGUUGAUGUGUUCAUAUGGGAAGUCAAUGACAUGCUAGGGCUGAGUAUUGUUGUUGUGUCUCACAAAUUGCCGAUUAAUCCAAGGUUCAGUCCAGUGAAGCAAAAAGCUCAGAAGUUCAAGCCUGGAUUGAGUUUAAAGAUCAAAUAAGAAAUUACCAAGCAAAUCAAGUCUCGACUAGUGGAAGUUUCUUAAAACCCGACUUGGUUGGCCAAUUUUGUUCCUGUCGUCCAAAAAGAUGGGAAGAUUAGAAUUUGUGUCGACUAUAGGGAUCUAAACAAAGAUAGCCCUAUAUGGAUAAUUUUCCGUUGCCGAAAAAUCACAUUCGGAUCAAUAACUUUACUAAACAUUAAAUGUAGUCAUUUAUAGGUUGUUAUGCAGGUUAUCAUCAAAUGUUUAUGGACGAAAAAGAUGUAGAAAAGACAGCUUUUAUUACACCUUGGAGUGUAUAUCAUUACAGGGUGAUGCCAUUGUCCUAAAGAAUACUGGUGCUACCUAUAUGAGGGCUAUGAUAACCAUAUUUCAUGAUAUGAUUCAUAAAGAGAUCGAGGUAUAUGUAUAUGACAUCAUAAUCAUGUCCCGCGAGAGCUUGGACGACUUGACGCAUUUAAAGAAGUUCUUUGAUCAAUUGUGUAGUUACAACUUGAAGUUAAAUCCCACCAAAUGCGCUUUUGGCGUUCUACCCUGCAAGUUGUUGGGAUUUAUAGUCAGCAGAGGGGAUAUUAAGCUCGACCCUUCCAAGAUUAAUGAAAUUCAAGACUUACCUCCUCCGAAAAUGUAAAGUAGGUGAUAAGUUUCUUAGGGAGAUUGAACUAAAUUAGUCGAUUCAUAUAUUAAUAAACUGUUGUGUGUGAUCCUAUCUUCAAGAUGUAGAAGAAAGUCGCUUUGACAAAGUAGAUUGAAGAGUGUCAGGCUGCCUUUUAUUUUAUCAAGAACUAUUUGUCCAAUCCACCGUUAUUGGUUCCUUCGAGAGAAGGGAGUCUAUUGUGUCUAUAUUUGUGCAUCUCAAAUAACGUAUUUAGAUGCGUGCUUGGGCAGCAUGAAAAAUAGGGAAGAAGGAGCGAUCCAUUUACUAUACAAGCAAGAAGUUCACGACGUAUGAGUAUACUCUUUUGAAAAGAAUGUAUUGUGCUUUGACUUAGAUCUCUCAGAAUUUGAGACAUUAUUUUUCUUCUUAUACAACAUACCUUGUUUUCAAGAUGGAGCCAUUGAAGUACAUUUUCCGUAAAGCGAUGCCGACUGGAAAGUUGGCCAAAUGGAUUAUGCUUUUGAGUGAAUUUGAUAUUGUUUAUGUGACUCAUCAGAUGAUAAAAGAACAGGACCUAGCUAAUCAUCUCGCAGAAAAUCCCGUUAAUGAAGAGUAUGAACCGCUUAAGACUUAUUUUCACGAUUAUGAAACAUCAUUUGUGGGUGAAGAUAUUUCUGAAAUAUAUCCAGGCUGGAGAUUAUUCUUUGAUGGAACGGCAAAUCACCUUUACUCUAAGAUCUGGUCAACACUAUCCCAUGGCAGAUGAAAUCCAAUUUAAUUGCACGAACAACAUGGCCAAAUAUAAAGCUUGUGUCCUUGAUUUGAAAAUGGCUACUGACAUGAAUGUUCACAAGCUUAUGGUUAUUGGAGAUUCAAAUUUGUUGAUUCAUCAGUUUCAAGAAGAAUGGGCUGUGAAGAACCCAUAGGUUUAGCCAUACGUGCAUGAUAUACGAUAACUAUGAAGAAAAUUCCAUCAGAUCGAAUUCAGACUUACUCCUAGAACAUAGAAUGAGUUUGCUGAAGUCCUCGUCACCAUUUCCUUAAUGAUCAAGCAUCCAGAUCUUGAGUAUACUGAUCCUCUGGAUAUAGAGGAAAAGGAACAUCCGGUCCAUUGUUCACAUGUUUCAGCAGAACGAGACAGUUUGCCAUGGUAUUUUGGUAUAAACAAGUAUUUGGAGUCAGGAAUUAUCUAGAAGAUGCGACAUCCAACAAGAAAAAGUCAAUACGCCGUAUGGCCGUUACCUUCUUUUUGAGUGGAGAAGUCCUUUAUUGGAGGACUCCAAAUUUAAGUCUUCUCAGAUGUGUCGAUGCUGCGAAGCUUAUCGAAGAGAUACAUGCUGGUGUUUGCGGCACAUACAUGAAUGGACUUAAUUUUGCAAGAAAGAUCAUUCGAUUUAGUUAUUUCUGGAUGACUAUGGAGCAUAUUUUUGUAAAUUUAUGCAUAAAUGUCAUAAGUGUCAAGUGGAUGGGGAUUUGAUAUCAGUGCCGUCUCACGAACCUAAUGCUAUGAAUUCACCUUGGAAGUUUGUAGCUUGGGGAAUGGAUGUGAUUGGUCCACAUAGAAUCAUCCGCCUCUAAUGGACAUAUAUUUAAUUUGGUUGCAAUCGACUACUUCACAAGAUAGGUGGAAGCAGCUUCUUACAAGUUGGUGACCAAGAAAGUUGUAGCUGAUUAUGUUUGCAAUAAUAUGAUAUGCAUGUUUGGAGUACCAAAAUCAAUCAUUACUGAUAAUGGUGCACAUCUCAACAGUCACUUGAUGAGGGAUAUAUGUGAGCAAUUAAAGAUUACUCACCGAAACUCAAUCGUUUAUCCUCUUCAAAUGAAUGGAGUCAUAGAAGCCGCCAAUAAGAAUAUCCUGAGGAGAAUGACUGACAAUAAAUGAGGUUGGCAUGAGAUAUUAUCGUAUGCUUUGUUGGGUUAUUGGAUGACCGUCAGAACAUCGAUUGGAGCUACUCGAUACUUGCUAGUAUAUGCAACCGAAGAAGUCAUACUUGUUGAAGUUGAGAGACCUUCUUUCAGAAUCAUACAAGAAGAUAGUAAUGUUGAGUGGGUCUGCAAGCGGAUUGAUCAGCUAACCUUGAUUGAUGAAAAGAGAAUUGUUGCCAUUUGUCAUGGUCAACUCUAUUGAUGGAAAUUAUUCAUGCUUUCCAUAAGAGAGUUAGAGCCAGAAUUUUUAAAAUCGGUUAGUUGGUCUUUAAGCGCAUUUUUCCUCAUCAAGACGAGUACAAAGGAAAAUUUGCACCAAAUUGUCAAGGACCAUCCAUGGUUUGCAAGGUACUAUCUGGAGGUUCUUUUGUCGUGUCGUAGAUAAAUGGCAUCGCAUGGCCAAAACCGAUCAACUCAGUUGUUUUCAAGAGAUACUACGUGUGAAGCUCCAGUUUGUUUUUCUGUUAUUUCCUUGUAAUCGUCCUAUUUGCAUGUAAUUUCUUUGUUUAAAAUUUUAUCCCUUUUCUAAAUGAACUACGUCUGCUUGAAUUCUCAAGAAUGAGAUACAUAGGCGGCCUAUGUCAGCCUUGGUUGGUUUUGUUUGAAAGUUCCUUAUUCUUAUUAGCCUUUGAGGGGGGGGGGGGACUAUGAUUAACCUGAUUCCUGCCUCAACGGGAUUCGUAGGCGUCACAAGGGCUCAGUGAUAUCUCCCGUAAGUUUUUUAUUCCUCUACAUAUAAAAACAGGGAGAUAAUUGUUAAGAGUACUCAAAAGUUCUCCGAAGAAGAGUUUUGCUCAGAAAAUAACGACUGAAGAUACUUUAUGAUGUGCAACAAGGACAAAAUUUUUGAGAGGAUCUCCAAAAUUCCGUGACACACUCAGCGACAGUUGAAGAUGUGUCGAGACAUGUAACUAGGAUAGAAAUUUUGAGGAUUGCCUCAAAAUUUCAACAUGGAUUUAUCGAUAGUCUAGAGUGACUUUAAAUACUCCCCAUCGAAUAAUCUGAUAUACGUCCAAGCAUCAGACUCAAAGAAGUUCACUAAGCCUAACAUGACAUAACACUUGUCAAUGACCCUUUUCAAAAUACUACAUCUGGAAAAUUUAUUUUUCCUAAAAUGUUUCCCUUACGAUUCAUUUUUUUGGCAUGAAAUAUUUUUUCUUAUCAAUCAAGGGUGGGGAGUUAAUAAAAUUUAUCGGAGAUAGUAGACCAGGAGAAGACAAAUGAACAAAUUGACAUAGGUCCCUUUAUUUAUAAACUAACAAUUUUUUAUGUAGAUGCAUGUUUAUAGUUUUGCUUUGAAAUCAACAAAUUUCUCCGAUCAAUGAAUAUGAAAAGUCAAGGGAGGAUAAAGUUCUCCCAAAAUUAACUGUUAUCAUGUCGAUGCAGGAAUUAUUUUAUAUUUGGACUCUUUCAAGCCUUUAACCUUAAUUAAAAAAAACCAAUCUAGCCUCUAACUAUUUACAGGAAUUCAAAAUAUGAUUUUAUACUUUUAAGAAAAGCAAAUAGGUUCUAUACAGGUAUAUAACUAUUUGUAAAACAUUCGUCAAGGAUUACAAACUAGCCAGAUCAUUUUCUCUUAGAAUGUUCCUUAAUAGUCAAAAAGAUAAACUUAAAACUGAUGUUAGAAUUCACAAAAAAACUGGCAUAGAAAGAACAAUAAUAUAAAUCAAAUUGAGAAAAACAAAAGGGGUAGGAAAAAAUUGGGUAAAUAAUUUGUUGUUGAUUUACCUAUAAUCAUGGUUGAAUUGGAGGGGAGUCCAGGAAGGCAGGAAGGACGAAUUGACACUAUUAGAAAUUUUUAUUGUACUAUGAAUGAAGCCUAGAAAAUGAAUUUUGAGGAAGAUUUGUGGAAUUUUGUUCCUUUUCUUAAGACUACUUUGUGAAAUGAGUUUCUUGCUUCACACAUAGUACUCUUUCUAUGUACAUUUAUACUUCUGCCAAUGACGGGAUACAUAUAGUCGGAUCUUGCAUACAUUUUACGCUCUUAUUUUUUAUUAGAUAAAUAGAUAUUAAAUUCUUUUUUGACCUUUGACUAGAUGUAUUCUUGUAUUGUUAUUUUUAUACGACAAAUGAUUUGUGUACAUUCUACACUUUUAUGUUUGACUAAAAAUAUGCACGUUAAACCCUUCUUUGACUUUUCACUAAAUAUAUUAAUAUAAUUAAUGGUAAUUUUCCAUUCAAGUAUCCAAAGGCUAAGAUAUAUUGUUGUUACAAUAUAAUUAAUGGUGAUUUUCCAUUCAAUACCAAAAAGUUCUUAUCAUUUUAUAAAUGGAAAUUUGCCAUUCAAUACCAAAAAGCUCUUUUCAUUUUAUUAAUGGUAUUUUUUUCAUUCAACACCAAAAAGCCCUUUUCAUUUCCAUAAUUAUUUUGUGUAAAAAAUAUUUUUUCAAGUGAGUAAAAUUUAUGACCUUUCUCUGUACAUGACUAUUUUGAAACUUUUCACUAUAAUCGAGGUCAAACAUCAAAUAAGUUUGUAAUUGUCUUUUAUAACACCUUAAGAACCGUUUCCUAUUGUUUUGCCUCUAUUCUCUUAAUAUUCAAUAGCGCUACCUUAUAAAUGAAUUGCUAAACAUAAACAAGACAACACCUGUAACAAUCGGAAUGUAGUAUAAAUCAAGAUCUUAUCUUUGAACUUCUCCAUAAAUAAAAUAGCCCACAAAAACUAAAAUACCCCUACAUAACAAAACUACAAUAAUCAGACUCAACUGUAACAAUCUUGUUUGUUUCAACACUUUUUUUAAUUUUAUAAUGAUGGGUUGUUUUACACCUGUAACAAUAUUAGACCAGUUAAAUAAUAUAUUUUGACUAUUAUAGAAAAAGUUAUUCAAAAAUAAUUUUUUUUAUUUCUUAAUGUUACAAAUUAUAUUAAAUUAUUUAAAUUCCAAAUAUCAUAUAUAUGUUGCUCUACCAAUUAAAAUUUAACACAAAUUCAAGAAACAUACUAAAUGAACUGAUGUAGAUUUGUUCCCUAAGAGUUGUGUUAAAUCUCUUUGAAAAUUAAGUUCAUUCAAAAUGGAAAACUUUCUCCGUAGAAAAAUUUAAUUAUAAGUGUUGAUACAUAAAUUUUAAAUAAUAAUGCUAACUUCAUCACACUUUGUAUACAAUGAAAAAUGUUUAUUGACCUCAAUUGAACUAAACUUUCAACUUCAAAAUAUACAUUUUAACAUCUUAAUUUGGUUUAAGUUUACUUCAUUUAACACUCCAUCCUUGAAAAUGCACAUCUAGAAUUCACCCUCUUAAAUGAGUAUCUAGAUGUGCAUUUUAGAAAUCAUUAGUAAAGUACACUUACAUUAAAUUGAAGUAUCUUGAUGAUCAAUGGCGCAACUACAGUAGGAAGAACACCUUUAGUUGGAAAAUUACAUUAUAUAGAGGUCAAAUCUUACUUUAUAUUGGUAUAUAUAAAAUAUCGUAAACACAAGCAAAACAAAUGGAGACCUACAACACAAUGAGAAGGGUAUAUAUAUAUAUAUAUAUAUAUAUAUAUAUAUAUAUAUAUAUAUAUAUAUAUAUAAAUGUAUGUAUAUAUAUAUGUGUGUGUGUGUGUGUGUAUAUUUAUAUGACACUAGCUAUCAGAUUCAAUUCAUUGCUGUAAUUUUUUUAUAUGACUAAAUUUGACGUGAACUAAUUGUGAAGUAGCUUGGUGACAAUAGAAUGUAAAAGUAUACAGGGGAUGUAAGAUUGAAUCUAGAGUUACUUUUUUUUAGUUUUAUUAUUCAAUAUUUGACAUCCUUCAUGACAUUUCUUAUUAUGUCACUAUAAAUGUCUAGACACAUCUAUUAUUAUUUAAGAUUAAAUCUACCAUUUCCUUAUGGUUAUGCAUGUUAAUCAAAAAAGGAAACUUAUAGUAGAAAUUGUCAGUUGGCUUAUGAAAACAACAUCAUAAAAAAGAAACAGAUCAAUCAGAAAAUUAAUUGAUUUUUUUUAAAAAAAAAAAACUUAUAAAAACGGAUUCAAGGAUAAAAUCAUAUAUAUUUGAAAAUAACAUAAUAAACGUACUUUUAUUUCAACAUUACAUAUGAUUAAUUCAUAAAUUAAAGUCGGUGUACAUUUAGUAUAUUUUUUUUAUGAAAAAUCACACACUGUUUAAAUAUACAUGCGAAAUACUAAAUACAAAGCUAUUGAUGGUAUUUUCGCCCUUUAUUUGUUCCCUUAUAUAAAAAAAGUAAAUACAUGUCAUAAGAUUAACUUUUAAAAAUGUUGGGUUUAUGAUUUAAAAUUAAAGGUGUUCAACAUAGAAUUAACACACUUAAUAUAUGAUUUUAUUAUUCACCUUGUACCAUAAAAACAAUCUAGUAGUUUUGAUUUUUUAAAGCUAUAAAGUAGCUAAAGACAUGCCAUUCAUAAUGAAAUUUGUAGCUAAAGACAUGUCAUUAACAAACACUAUAUAUACUUUUAGAAAAUACAUCAAGUGACACUUAAAUUUAAACGAAUUUUCAAUAAGAUAUCUUAACUAUGCGGGCGUUCUACUCAGGGGCGGAGCUACAACCUUUGAAAGGUGGUAAGCUGUCCACCAUUCGCCAGAAAAUGAAAUCCUAUGAAUAGGAAAUAUACUCUGUGUUAUUUUUUUAUAGAAAUAAAUGCACACAUUAAAUAUCAGUGGAGGUUGAUAGUCCGGUGGUAAGUAUGUUCAAUUAAGUGCCAAAUAUCUAUUGUUUAUUCUUUGUGGGCAAUUGUACAACAACCAUUUUUAAGUUUGAAGAAAAAAUGGGAAAUGAAUAUGUAAUUUUAUUUCAAACCCACUUAAUAGUAAUAAAUAUAUUGCACACCCUGUUGCUAAAAAAAAUUACUCUUCGAAUUUUGAAGACCCUUGAAAAUUUUUUUAACGCCGCAAGUGGUUCUACUACCCUGCUAAACUACAAUCUUUAACUGAUAUUAUGACAUCAUCUUUUAUCCAUUUGACAUAACGAGAGUGUGGACUCUCUUAAAGAAUAUGAGCAACAUAAUAUAACUUACAUAAAAUAAUUUUGCGGGUCAAAAAAAUGUUACUUCACCAUAAUUCAUUUCUAUAUUUUAAAAAUUAUGAUAUGUUGUGGCCAUAUUAAGUUUUCAAAACUUACAAAUUCAUAAUUUUUUAUUCAAAAUCUAAAGUGUGAAUUCACAUUAAAAAUUUGAAUAUGACGAUAAAAAUUGAGAUACAAGGAAUAAUAUUUAUCGUUACGGACAUGAAUGAUGCAUAACUUAUGCAGCAAUGUAACAUUUGCAUACACCGAGGCCAUCAGUAGAUAUAGGAUAGUCACCGCUAAAAAUUAACAAAUUUUUCCCUGAAAAUUUGAAAAAGGUCAAAAAUAUUUCUGAACCAUGCGAAAUCAAUUACUUCUUUCUUCCGUUAUAUUUUAGGAUUAAAAAUACCCCGUCAUGAUUAAAAUAGAUCACAAAUACCUGUCAAGAGUUAACACCCAAAACAUUUAAUGAUGUGUCAAGCCAUAUGGACUUGUCCCUUGUCAGGACCGGGGUCUAGACUCCAGACGAGACCAGUGUCAUUGAUCUCUCAGAGAUCGCAGACAAGCCUAUAUAUGUCUUCGUUACAUCAUCUAGGUUAAUUUUAGCGGAAAACUUGAACUUUUGUUUACUUUAAUUUUAUAUUGGAAAACAUUGAUCUCACGUAAUACUAUCUAGGUAAACUAAUAAGCAUUCACAACAACUAUCUAACUCAAGAUAAUCACAUCAAACAUAUAGUCAUAAAUAUAGAGUUUCCAAAAUGGCACCAAUACAACGUGUGAAAGUAAAUACAAAAGAAAUGCUAGUGGAACAUACUCCACUAGCUCAUGCCUAGUCUACUACAUCCGUGUAACUUCUGCGUCGACUUGUAAGCUCUAACGUCUAGCUGCACCUACACCUAAAAGUACAUAAAUAUAUGGAAUUAGUACAUAGUUAUACUAAGUAUGGGUAUAUGCAAGCACACACAACGGACCUGAAUGAUUUAGAAUAUCUCUCUCCUAACAAUAUGAGUUAUUGAAAGUCAAGUCAAUGGACUUGCCAAAAUCGUACUAGGAAUGCCAUGCUGUGAUAGUAACAUGCAUCAUCAUACGUAUCAUAUUGCACAGAACACAUAAUAUAUAGAAUAUUGCACAUAACAUAUUGCAUAUAGCACAUAUCAUAUUUCAUUUAAUUCAUUCAUAUGUCAUGAUACCUUGGAACCACGGACUUAACAUUCAGACUUCACAAAAUGAGGGCUCAACAUAUGAGCCUUAAAUAGGGAGCCUUCUUUAGCAAACAUAGACUCCACUUCUUUGAUUCAUACGUUUGUUGACCGGUGUGGACACAAGCUAUACCUGGAAUGAUUUUUAAAACUCUCAUCAAGUUCAGUGUGCAAUGACAAAGAAUGACCUAGUGUCAUUACUUGAGUCUAAUUCACCUCUUUAUUAUCCUAUCAAAACACCUUGGUAUCAUUCAUUUCAUCAUCUUUCAUACUUUGAGGAACUUCAAUUUUAAUCGACAUAGGAGGCGGAGUAAAUGGACAAGGUUAAACCAAGAACAUACUUAGUUUGCUUAGGUGGAAAGUACAGGCUAGUUCCUAUGUUGUCAGCAUAGUUUAAAGACAAGGAGAUUUAGGGAGACCCAUACCUGUCUGAACGGACAGUCUCAUCUCAUGAGAACUACACGAACCUCUGCCUUCCUGAAAGAAGGAAUUGCAACUCAUAUAUAUCCUAUCGGUGCUCAGUAUAAAGUUCUAUUAUAUUCUUCUCAUACAUUGUACAAGUUGGCUUCUAGUAUGAGGGUAUAAUAGCUCAUUAGAUGGUUUUUCAUCUCAACAUUUCUUAGAAAGUUUGAAUUGUCCUUACACUUACAUGUAGAGUGUGAUUGACACUUGUAUCGUAAUAUUAAACACUCCUUUAGUUGAGUAAUUUUUGUGACCUUAUAUAUGCGUAGGUAGAGCUUGUCUCACAUGCACUAGCCUCAUAUUAUGGUGUAACUCUGUUAUUUAUUAACAUCUUUUUGUUCAUCUUCACUCACCUUUAAUUAUUUGUUCAUUGUAUAACAUAGAUAUGCUUUCUUGGAGUUUACAUUGAGGGAAAUUGAUUCUACGCGUAGAUACAGCUUGUCUCACUUGUACUAGCCGAUCCUCAUGUAGUCACUCUUUCUUUGCUUAUUCAUCGUUUAGUAUAAGUAUACUCUCUUAGAAAUUUCAUUUAGUCAACUGAUUUUAAGGCAUAGAUCCAGCUUGUCUUAAAAAUUUUGGCCUGGGGAACCCAAGAUCGAAUCCCCACGCCCACAUCCAUUUCUUUUUCUGUCGUUACUUGAUUCCAUGGGUUAAACUAAGAGGGUGUCGGAUCGAACCCCCAAAGCCCCAUUUUAGUUUUCUCCUUAAUUCUGUUCAUUCAGCCGAGAGAUUGUGGGUUCGAUUCCCACAUACCUCAUUUUAUUAUUUCUUUAUUUAAUUUUUCUCCUCUCUCCUUCACCCAUAAAAGAGGUUGUGGGUUCGAACUCGACACGCCUCACAUCAUUUUCUUUCAUUUUUCUCCUAACUUUUCAAUUGAGAUAUACCCCUUUUCGAAUCCCCCUCACCUUUUUUAUUAUUUAAUUAUUUUAUUACUUGUAUAUGGUGAGGUUUUGGGUUCAAUCCCCACUGACCUCAUGCAAUUUUAAAAAAAAAUUAAAACUAAAAUUUUUAACAGUAAGCUGCCGAAACAAAUUUCUAGAAUUCUUGAAAUUUGUUCACCUUUUUUGCAGUCCAUUUUCUCAACUUUUAAAUGUUAGAUUUAAGAAAAUAUUCUUGUAUCAUCUAGUACAUAUUUAGGUGAAUUUUCAUGGUUACUUUCGGUAAUUUGAUCACCUUUUUGCAGUCCAUUUUCUCACCCUCUUUCACGUUAAACAUCAAGACAUUUCGAGUAGUUUUUAGGGAGAUCUUUCGGUGCAUUUUUAAGGUUACUUUCAGUCAAGAAUUGUCAUUCAAUUCAGCAACUUUGAAUUCAUCUGAACGUCACAUUUUUGACAUAUUAAUACAUGUAAAAUGCAACAAUUUAACAUGUCAAAUUUCAUGCUUCAAGUCGAGACAAAAAUCUCAGUACAUACAUGCAACCACAAGUCAACAUAUCACACAUUUUCGGAAACACUUCUUUCAUUUCAACAUAAUUCCGCAUACGCAUUCAAACACAUAAUCACAAGUAGCCCUAAAAUAAUCUAGAAAAUUUAUACACAAGCAUACUUGAAUCUUUCAAAAGAUCUAAUGACAAGGGCAUGCAACGGGGACAACCUUAGUUUUUUAUUGUGAAUAGUCUGAACCUUAGGGGUCUCUUGGGAAAGGGACCAAGAGGGAAUAAUACCCAUACCUGAAGUUGUUAAAAGAUGUUCUUAUGUGCUGCAAAAAUCCCCAGUUGGCCAAUGUCUCACAACCCAAAUCACAAGCACAAUCCGUCGAGAACAUAAUUUUUCUGUUUGUUUAUAAACUUAUUUCACUUUUGAUUUUGAGGGAUAAAGUUCUUGAAUGUGGAUGAACUAUGUUAUAUUUUUGUUCUGUUCUUUUGUUUUACAGAAAGUUGAGCGUGUAAAUAAGGUAAGAGUAGAGAGAGACGUAAGAAUGCAUUAGCUUAGGAUUAGGAGAUUAGGUGGAGACUUAGUCAAAUUAGGAUUUCUCUUAAUUUUUUAAAAAUCUUAUUUUUCCAAAGGUUAAUCGAAAUGACCACUAAGACCCUACAAAAUCAGAUUAUAAUCAUCAAUUUAAUGCACUUAAAUGUUGCUUCCACCAAGGCACGAACUUAGGUGAAGCCUAAGAUACGAAAAAGGAUCAAUUUCGGCCAACCCUACCCCAAUUUCCCAUCCUCUUUAAAUUAAUUAUUUAAUAAAAUAAUUAAUUAGGGUAAUUACAAUACUAACCCUAUCUUUGAAAAGACUAUUUUACACCUAGACCCUCUAAAUCUAAGAUUACCCCUUUUAAGUCCGAUAAAACUCAUCCGAGUAAAUCUCUUCAAUUCGGGUGCCCUUCAUGAUUGGUUCUGACCUUGCCUAGCUCAACUAGCUCAUCAAGUUUGUUGUCUGGGCUAGUGCAUAGGUUCUGAGUUCUGGUUCUACGCACAACAACUUGUGUAAACCUGUCUGAUCCAUGCAUUCUAGGUACGUUUAAGACUAGUAAUUAGUGGAGGAACAUUAAAAGACUAGUAAUUGUUCUUUUUAGGCAUUAUACAUAAUAAAUGUGCCCUUUCACUUGGGGUCAAAUCACAUUUAUGCUCUUCAACUUUGGAUUUGAACAAAUACACACUUAAACUUAUAUAAAGUUGAACAAAUAGACACAUCUUUCCUAAACGUUUUUUUAUCCUACGUGGUGUCCUACAUGUAUUGUGCCAUGUAGUACUCAUUAUUUAUUUAUUUAAAAGUUAGAUAGUUAAUGUGUUUGUUUGUGCAUUAAUAAAGUUGGAGAUCAAAGUUAGAAUUUGAAGCCAAGUAUAGGGUCAAAUAUAUGUAUUAUGCCUUCUUUUUAUAUUACUAUUUUCAUUAAUUUUUUAGUUGUUAUAGUUUUCUUUUAGGCAUAAUACAUAAAUGUUCCCUUCAACUUUGAAUGUGCACAAAGAGAAAUUUAAACUUGUAUAAAGUUGAACAAAUAGACACACAUGCCCUACAUGUCAUUUUUUAUCCUACUUGGUGUCCUACAUAUAUUGUGCCAUGUAGGACUCAUGUGUUUAUUUAUUUAAAAGUUGGAUAGUUAAAGUGUCUGUUUGUGCAUUAUGAAAGUUGAAUGUAAAAGUUAAAAUCUGAAUCCAAGUUUAGGGUCCAAUAUAUGUAUGAUAACUUUCUUCUACUAUAUCCGUUCACUUUUAAUUGUCAUGAUUUAUCUUUUUAAGGUCAAACAAUAGAAAUUUUGACUAUAUUUUAAGUCUAUUUUUUCAUUAAAUUGGUAUGCAAAAAAAUUGCAAUUUAUAGUACUUUUCUCGUAGUCUUUUAACAUUUAAAUUAUGUUUAAAAUAUCAAAUUAUUGUGAUCUAAUUUAUCUUUGAAAUUAGUUUAAUUGACCCUCGAAAAGCGCAACAUGACAAAUAAAAAUAGACAGAGGGAGUAAUAACUUUGAGUAAGAUUUUAUGAUGUCCUUUUUCAUAAUAUUAUGCAAGAAAUAAUAAUAUAUAUUAUUUUCGUAUAGCUUUGACAUUUAUUAUUUAAAAUAACAAAUUAAUAUACUCUAAUAUAACUUUAAAAUUAGUAAGAUUUACUUUUGAAAAAUAUAACAUGACAAUUAAAAGUGGGCCGCAUAAUUAUAUUUUUAGGAGAGAAAUGAGUAAAAAUAAAAUGGCCAAUAAUAUAUUUUUUUGCAGGGAAAGUUAUUAAAUAAUUUGUAUAGAUAUCCUUUUUAUCUCUUAAAAUUUCAAUUUUAAAGUCAGAAAAUUUAAAUGAAAAAUCAAUUAAUUAGGUUUGACAACAAAGUAUGUAAAAUUUUUAUAAUUGGUUGACUUUGAGGUUAUGAGAAAGAGUUGAGUGACUUUCUAAGAAAAAACUCUUAGUUGAGGGAUCAUGUGAGAUAUUAUCUUCUUAAUGUUCAUAUGUAUAUUUUUCAUUUUCUCUUUACUAAAUUUAGAGGUAAUUUUGGAGACCUCCUCAAGAUAUGAUUCAGUUACAGUGGACCUCCAUGGGCGAAGAUACCCCAGGGGCAAGAGUGUUAAGCUACACCCCUUAGCUAAAAAAUUACAUUGUAUAUAUUUCUUUGGCUUGACGUAUUACAAAUAAAGAGAAAACAAUGACAAAAGGAGAAAUGGAAAAGAAAACUUAUUCACACUCAUAUAACUGAUUGAAGCGACAUAAGUAGAAAUAUAAGAAUGCUAUAACUAUACAUAAGAACUUAGUUACCGUUUGUCCAUGCGAUAUGGUAUCAUGAUAUGGAACUUUUAAAUUGAAUCAUGAUAUUAGAUUGAAGUUUUGUUUGUGUUGGUGUGUCAUUUUAACAUUAAUAAAAAUAUAUAUUAUUUGUCAAAUUAUAUAUCAUGUUAUGUCUAUUGAUGGACAUUAAAUUUGAGCCUAUUUUCUCUCAUCAAUUGUGGAAGAAAAUGAUCUUUAUUUUCUAGUAAUUUAUGUAACCACCAACUCUUCAUUUCAUCCAUUAUAUUAUAUUUAUGUCUAGUAACUUAUGUAAAAUUUGAGCCAUUCAUUUGGCAAAUUUACUAUCCACUAUAUCUUAUUCAUUACAAGGAAGAAUUAAUCACCUGUAAAUUAUGUAGUCUUCAUUUGUGUUGAGAUACAAGAAGAAACAAGAGAAGUACAAGAAAAUAUAGAGUGAAAAAGAAGAGUAAUAUUAUAUUCAGGUUUAUGUAGAGAAAGAGAGUGUUGAGAGAUAAAAAAUGUUCUAAGUCUUCAACUAUAUUCAGUAUACAAAAGAGAGUAUUAUAUGUUGAAGGAAGGUGUUCCUUUGUGGAGCUUUGGACUCUUCAACAAAUCUAGAGUUGUUUGGGUUAUACAUUGUUGUGGGGUUGUUGAAUCCUGGAGGGGAAAAGUUAAGAGUUAUACUGUUGGACUAGUGUGAUUAUGCCGCAGUAGGCUUGAAUCUCCUUAAAGAGAGCUAGCUAUCUGUAUCUCAUCCGAAAGAUUUGUUUAUACAUUUUUGGUCAUUUUUAUUCAACUUUAAUUUAUUGCAUUUUUGGUAUAUUACACCAACAAUUUUAAGGAGAUUCAUAUUUUUCUACAGUUUGAAAAAAUGUGAAUAUCAAAAUAGGGAUCUCAACAUCAUUCCGCACAAACGUCGCUCUCUUAAUGAGAUGGAAGAGAAGACAUGUACAGUAAGUAUUUUUCUACUUGCUCAAAAGUGGAGAAAAGGUAAAGAAAAAAGAUUUACCUAGUAUUUUCAAGAAUAAAGUAAAUCUGCUUUUCAUGAAAAAAAUGAUGUUUGAAUUCUUGAAAUAGUGGGGAUUCAUGAAAUAAAAAUAAAUUAUUGUGAAAUUUUGAUUUUUGCAUCUUUUAUAAAAUGCUCUAAGAGAGUGUUACAAGUGCAUAUCUAUUAAUUGUGGAAUAAAUAAGUAUAAUGUGAUGAUUUUUAGAUCUAAUAUGAGACUUCUAAAUAAUUAUGAAAACCAUUUUGAGUAGUCAUGUUCAUAUGGUUAGAUAAAUUUCUUUCUUGAAAUGAAAAAAUUAAAACCAUAAAGCAUGUGAUGAAAUUUUCCUUGUCGAGUCACAUAGUAUGGAAAUAAUUAUGAUAUCAAAUUUUGUUGGUUGUGUGAGUCUUGCAACUCCUUUUGAUUAAAUUGUGUAAGAAAGUUCUGACAAAUAAAAACAAAUGGAGUUUGCUAGUCUAAUAAAAAUAUGAGUUGUAACUAACUUGACUUGAUAAUAUGUUUGCAUUACAAGUACUUUGAAUGUACAAGCAAACUAGAUGAGAAAAAAAAAUUCGUGUUAUUUAGUGGGAUUAUAAAAGCAAAUUCAUUUUGCUAUCUCUAUUAUGAAGGUUGAAGUAAAAACAAUAAAUAAAUUAAACUUCAACUAGUGAAAAAGUGAAUUGAAACACUUUAUUUUGAAAAAAUAUUUUUUCUAAUUUUGAUCAAAUGUGAAAGCACCAAUAUAGUGGUUGAAUACAAAAUCUUUAUUAUAAUGGUAAAUUUAGAUUCAUGAGGAGAAAAACACAAUAUUGCAUGAUCAUAUUCAUCGUUGGUAUACCAUCAAUGUUGAUUGUGUUAAAACUUGUGAUAAUCUUGCAGAUUCAUGAACCAAGUCCUUAGCAAGAUAAAGUGUCUGAAGCACAUUGAGGGGGAUAAAAAUUGAAGCUCAUAAAUUAUGAGUCAUAUAUGAGGAAACCCAACUUGGGUACUAGAGAUUCUAUAAUCAGGUUCAAUGAGAAGAACAAAUCAUAUGAUGACUUGUUUUGAGAUGCACUACUAUUAGUUUUAUUCAAUCCCUCAGAUGUGAGUGCAUUUAUGCUAUAAUUAUUUGUGGAGGUUAAGCAUUUAAACUCUUAAUGAAAGUUUGUAUCUCAUAUGUGUGGGGUGUCAAAUUAUAGGAGCACCCUUGAAAGAUUUCACUUAUGUGAAUCUGAAAGUAGGUCGCUUUCUAUAAGAAUGGGCUUGUUUUAAAAAUCACUCAUGAAACCGGAAUAGCACAAGGUCGUAAGUUGCUGGAUAUUAAAGACUAUGUCAACACCUUGAUUAUUGUGUGUAAGAAGUGUUGGGAUUUAGAAAGUGUGAAUGGGAAACGAAAAGACAGAAUAUGAAAAGUGAGGGAACUAGUUUGGAGGAAAAUGAAAAGUCAUUUGCAAAGUGGAAAUGAAAAGUCAUUUCUCCUAUAUUGGCAAAAGAAAGGGAAAUUGUUAUCCUUAUAGAAGGAAACACUUCCAUUACUUCUUAAUGAGCUAUGAAGAAGAUGCCCACUCGCGCCGUCGUCAUCGCCGCUCGCUCGGCCUCAACUUCGGCUUUGGCUUCGGAUUUUGAUUUGGAUUUGGCAAAUGAUAUGAUUGAUUGAUAAAUUUAUUUAAUCAGUUUUUGUUAAAUCAAAUCAAUCCUGUUAAAAUUAUCUCUUAUAAAUAUGCAGGUAACAGUAACAUUCCGAAAAGUUGUUAUAUUUCUGAAAAGUCGUUACUUCCCAAAAGACACCACUUUCUAGAUAAAAUGGGUCUGAACAGACAUGUUCCUUGCUGAAAAUGGCUAUAAAAGGAAGUCAAUUUUUGAUUUUUUCAAACACUGAAAAUAUUUCUUUCGCUGCAUUGAUUUUUCUCUCAAAUAAAAUCAAAGUGUCGAUCGACUGUUUCUCUGUUACAUGUUGUUGUUCUAAAGUUCUUUGAAGUUAAAGAAGUUUGAGGUACUUCUAUAUCUUUAACAGGUUUAAUCCAUUUUAUCUUGGCGAAAUUAAUCCAUAACCUUGGGUACAGUGAGGGGAUUAAAUUUCUUAAGGACACACAAGAGUUUCUGUGGACUCAGAUUAGUUCUUGUAUAUUAUAUUUUUUCUGCUUCAACUUAUUUCUGUUUUUGUUUAUUACCUUAUAAAUACAGGCUAUUGUAAGAAUAACAUUCUUAAGAAAUUUAACAGUUUCUAUAUUUGAGGUUUCUGGAGGUUAAAACCCCUUAUGGUUCUCUACUCAGCUUGAAAUUUUCUUUUAAAAAUCAUUCGAUUAACAAUUAAAAAAACAUAAAAACUUUAUCGUUAAAUCAGAAACAGUUUGUGUAAAUAUUUGUUUUUUACUGUUAGUAUUUUAAAUACUUAACUUAUCUACCAUUUGUGAUAGGAAAAAAAAAUUACUAAUUCAAGUCGAACAAAUGCUGGAACAGUAAGUGCUGCAACAACAACGGUUGCACAUAAUCGUUCAAAUGCUGCCUUAACGCCGACUGAGAAACCCACAAAGUUUUCUAGAGUCGACUUUAAGAGAUGGCAGCAAAAGAUGUUCUUCUAUCUCACUACGUUGAAUCUGCAGAAGUUCAUUAAUGAGAAUAUUCCUGUUAUGUCAGAUGAAACUCCGGCUGAUGAACAAUUCUUGGUAACAGAAGCAUGGACACACUCGGAUUUUUAGUGUCAAAAUAAUAUUUUGAGUGGUCUGCAAGAUGAUAUGUACAAUGUGUACGGCAAUGCAAAAACCUCAAAAGAACUGUGAGAUGCUUUAGAAAAGAAGUACAAAGCAGAAGAUGGCAGAAUGAAGAAAUUCAUUGUGGCAAUGUUUCUGGACUAUAAGAUGAUAGACAGUAAGACUGUCGUCACCCAAGAUCAAGAAUAGCAUGUCAUAAUCCAUGAUCUCCUUGCUGAAGGUAUAAAUUUAUGUAAUACCUAUGUUAGAAAUAUUAAAUUUUUCCUUAAUACUCACAUAAUCUUUAAUGUAGGAUUGAUUGUGAAUGAUGCUUUUGAACUGACUGCAAUUAUUGAGAAGUUACCUCUAUUGUCGAAGGACUUUAAAAACUACUUGAAACACAAACGCAAGGAAAUGACUGUUGAAGAUUUCAUAGUAAGGUUGAGAAUCGAAGAGGAUAAUAAGGCUGCAGAAAAGAGGUCACGUGGUAUUUCAGCAAUAUCUGGAGUAACUUUUGUUGAAGAAGAUAUCUCAAAAUUAAAGAAAAGAAAGAAAGCAUCUGGUCCAAAAGAAAUCCUCCUAAGAACAAAAUUAAUGGAAACUACUUUUAUUGUGGUAAACAUGGUCAUAGGGCUAAUGAAUGUAGGGGUCCUAAGAAGGACAAGACAAAAGAAGGAUCAAGCAAACAUGGCUGAAUCCAAAGGAGAAAUGGACGAUCUAUAUGCAAUGCUUUCAGAAUGUAACUUGGUUAAAAAUUCAAGAGAAUGGUGGAUAGAUUCUGGUGCCUCAUUCCAUGUUUGUGCCAACAAAGAAUUAUUUUCAUCAUAUACUCCAGCACUUACAGAUGAAAAAUUGUUUAUGGCAAACUCCGCUGUUGCAAAGGUGGAAGGAACUGACAAAGUUCUAUUAAAGAUGACAUCAGGCAAGGUGGUAACUUUGAAUAGGGUCUCAUAUGUUCCAGAAUUUAGAAAGGAUUUAGUUUCAAUUCCAGUUCUGACCAAGAAUGGAUUUGAAUGUGUAUUUGCUUCUGAUAAAGUAGUACUAAGCAAAAAUGAUAUGUAUGUAGGAAAAGGCUACCUUAGUGAUGGCUUUUUCAAACUCAAUGUAAUUGCAGUUGAUAUGAAUAAAGAUUUUGCUUAUUCUUACUUGCUUGAGUCUAAAUUUUUAUGGCAUGAACGUUUAGGACACGUUAAUAACAAAACCUUGCGAAAAUUGAUCAACAUAAAUAUUUUGCAAAAAUUUGACUGCAAUAAAUCAAAAUGUCAAAUUUGUGUUGAAUCUAAGUAUGCUAAGCAUUCUUAUAAAUCUGUUGAAAGGAAUUCAAAUCCUUUAGAAUUGAUUCACACUGAUACUUGUGACAUGAAGUCAACACCAACACGUGGUGGGAAAAAGUAUUUCAUAACUUUUAUUGACGAUUGCACUAGAUAUUGUUAUGUCUAUUUGCUAAAUAGUAAGGAUGAAGCAAUAGAUGCAUUUAGGAAAUAUAAAACUGAAGUCGAAAAUCAGUUAGAUAAAAAGAUCAAAAUGAUCAGAAGUGAUAGAGGUGGAGAAUAUGAAUCUCCAUUUGCAGAAAUAUUUUUAGAAAAUGGAAUAAUCUAAAAAAACUACUGCUCCCUACACUCCUAAGUCUAAUGGAAUUGCAGAAAGAAAAAAUCGAACUUUAAAAGAAAUGAUGAAUGCAUUACUUAUAAGUUCAGGUUUACCACAAGAACUUGUGGGUGGAAGCUAUCCUUACAGCAAGUCAAAUACUUAACUGAGUGCCUCACUCAAAGACAAAUGUAAUUCCCUAUGAGAAAUGGAAAAUUAGAAAACACAAUUUGAAAUAUUUCAACGUGUGGGGGGUGUCUAGACAAUGUCGAAGUUCCUAUACCAAAGAGUGUAAAAAUUGGACCUAAGACUGUGGAUUGUGUAUUCAUUUGAUAUGCCACAAAUAGUACGUCAUGUCGAUUUUUAGUUCAUAAGUCCGAAUAUCCGGAUAUUAAUGAUAAUACGGUAAUGGAAUCAGAUAGUACUGAAUUUUUUGAACAUAUCUAUCCGUAUAAAACUAGACUUGAGUCAUCUAGUGGGGGAUCUAAACAACCCAGAGAAGAACAAAAAGAGAAUGAACAAAAUGAAGAAAGUCCAAGACGUAGUAAACAUCAAAAGACAUCUACUUCAUUUGGACCAGAUUUUGUAAUAUUUCUUCUUGAAAGUGAGCCUCAAACAUUCAAGGAAGCAAUGUUGUCUAGCGACCUAACCUCUUGGAAGGAGGCUGUUUAUAGUGAAAUUGAAUCAAUCUUAAGCAAUUAUACUUGGGAGUUUGUUGAUCUUCCUCCAGGGAACAAACCCUUGUGUUCAAAAUGGAUCUUUAAAAGGAAGAUGAAAGACGAUGAAACUAUUGACAAAUAUAAAGCAAUACUUGUUGUCAAAGGUUAUAGACAAAAAUAAGGUCUUGAUUAUUUUGACACAUACUCGCUAGUGACUAGGAUUACAUCAAUUCAGAUGUUAAUUGCACUAGCUGCAGUAUACAGUCUUGAAAUUCAUCAAAUGGAUGUGAAAAUAGCCUUCUUAAAUGGAGAGCUUGAAGAGGAAAUUUAUGUAGAACAACCUGAGGGUUUUCUAGUUCCUGGUAAAGAAAAGAAAGUAUGCAAACUUAUUAUGUCACUUUAUGGGCUAAAACAAGCACCAAAAUAAUGGCAUGCAAUGUUUGAUCAAACCAUGUUGUCAAAUUGAUUUAAGAUCAAUGAAUGUGAUAAAUAUGUUUACAUUAAAGAUACUCCAAAUCAGGAUGUUAUUUUAUGCGUAUUUGUAGAUGAUAUGCUUAUAAUUAGCAAAGACAUUGCUAAUAUAAAAGCUACAAAGCGUCUGCUUGCUAGUAAGUUUAAUAUGAAUGAUUUAGGAGUUGUUGAUGUGAUAUUAGGAUUUAAAAUUCUUAAAACUCCUAAUUGUAUAGCAUUGUAUCAAAUACAUUAUAUUUAAAAGAUACUUGAAAAAUUCAAAUUUUUGAAUUUGAAAAGGGCAAAGACUCCAAUUGAUGUAAAUCUUCAUCUUGCAAAGAAUAAAGGUGAAAGUCAGUCUCAAUUGGACUAUGCUAGCGUUUUGGGAAGCUUAAUAUAUGUCAUGAAUUGUACACGACCAGACAUAGGUUGCGCUAUCAGUAAACUAAGUCGAUACACAAAUAAUCCUAAUCAUAAUCAUUGGUUGGCAAUGAAGAGAGUUUUGGGAUACUUAGAUGACACUCAAAACUAUGCUUUACAUUACAACAAAUAUCCAGCCGUUUUUUAAGCAUAUAGUGAUGCAAAUUAGAUUACUGGGUCAACUGAAACAAAAUCCACAAGUGGAUACGUUUUUACUAUUGGUGGAGGAGAAAUAUCUUGGAAAUCCUCCAAAGAAACAUGUAUAGCUCGCUCUACAAUGGAGUCUGAAUUCAUUGCUUUAGACAAGGCAGGUGAAGAAGCUGAAUGGCUCCGAAAUUUCUUAGAAGAUAUUCAAUUUUGGCCCAAACCAAUGGCCCCUAUAUGCAUACAUUAUGAUAGUCAAGCUGCAAUAGGAAGCGCUGGAAGCAUUAUGUAUAACGGCAAGUCCCGUCCCAUAAGACGAAGACAUAACUCUGUGAGACAACUACUCUCUAGCUGAAUUAUCACAAUUGACUAUGUGAAGUCAAAAGAUAAUGUGUCGGGAUCCACCUACAAAAGGCCUAAAUAGAGAGGGAGUUGAGAAAUCAUCGACUGGAAUGGGACUAUGGCCGAGAACAAGUCAUCGUGGCGGUAACUCUACCUAGAAGACUGGAGAUCACAAGAUUUAGGUUUAAGGAGAUAAAACAAAGUCAUUGAUGACGGUUCAACAUUGUCAAAGUAAAAGAAAAAAUUAUUAUUAUUUUAUGGUUCAUUCUCAUGAUGAGACAAUGUUUAGUAACAAGAAUAGAGACAUAAGGACUUUUUAAUGGUUUCUAUGUUUGAUACAGGGAAUAUCAAAUGGUGUAUCUAUGGGAUAACGCAUUAAGAAAUCACCUAUAUAAGUGUGAAGUGUAAGCCGCCUCAAGGAGAAUUCGGUAAGGCCAGUUAUUUAAGCACUUACUAUCCAAGAUGUGUUGAUGGCUUAAACGAACAAAACAAUGCAAACUAAGAACAGUUCAAGGGUUGAUUGUGUGACAUAUGUUGUCUAGGUAUACACCACAGCUCGACGAUUCAAAGAUAUCAAAUGUACCGAUUGAUCGAGUAUAUCCGAUAAAUAUUCACUGUGGAAAGUUUAAAGGGAAACCUACUUAUCAAGAUACGAUUAACCUUUACCUACAAGACACACAAGUUUUUUCAUGCAUAUGUUUUAACAAUAUCCUUCCCCAUUCAUGUGGGAGAUUCUUGGGAUUUAGCAAGUGUGAAUGGGAAAAGAAAAGAGAGAAUAUGAAAAGUGAGGGAACUACUUUGGAGGGAAAAUGAAAAGUCAUUUCUCCCAUAUUGGCAAAAGAAAGGGAAAUUGUUAUUCAUAUAGAAGGAAACACUUCCAUUACUUCUUAAAGAGCUAAGAAUAAGAUGCCCCCUCGCGCCAUCAUCGUCAUCGCUAGCUCGGCCUCGGCUUUGGCUUUGGUUUUGGCUUUGGCUUUUGAUUUGGAUUUUGAUUUGGAUUUGGAUUUGGCAAAUUAUGUGAUUGAUUGAUAAAUUUUUUGGACAAAAUUUAUUUAAUCAGUUUUGUUAAAUCAAAUAAAUCCAGUUAAAAUUAUCUCUUAUAAAUUUGCAGGUAACGGUAACAUUUCGAAAAGUCGUUACUUUCCAAAAAGUCGUAAUUUUCCUAACAGACAAAAUUUUCUGAAAAGUUGUUUUUUUUCCAAAAUACACAACUUUCUGGAUAAAAUGGGUCUGAACAGAUUUCACUGAACAGACAUGUUCCUUGCUGAAAAUGGCUAUAAAAGGAAGUCAAUUUUUGAUUUUUUCAAACACAGAAAAUUUUUCAUUCACUACAUUUAUUUUUUUCUCAAGUAAAAUCAAAGUGUCGAUCGACUGAGUCUGUGUGACUUGUUGUUGUUCUAAAGUUCGUUGAAGUUAAAGAAAGUUGAGGUACCGCUAUUUCUUUAAUAGGUUUAAUCCGUUUUAUCUUAAGUGAAAUUAAUCCCUUGGGUACAGUGAGGGAUUAAAUUUCGUAAGGACACACAAUAGUUUCUGUGGACUCGGAUUAGUUCUUGUAUUUAAUAUUUUUUCUGCUUCAUCUCUUUUCUGUUUCUGUUUACAAACCUUAUAAAUACAGGUUAUUGUAAGAAUAACAAGAAGUAAUUCUUUAUUUCCGUUAAGCAGUCAUAGUUCAAGUCUGAGACUACUACUGACUCUGGAGUAAAGGCCAUUGUUUUACUAAGUUAAGGUUCAAUGCAGAGCACACCUUUAUUAUGCAUAAUAUUCUACCUUCAACUAAAUUGUGAAAAACUCUCAUAUUUUAAUAUUAAAAUGAGUAGGGGAUUGUUGGGGUGACAUUUUAAUAUUAAAAAAAAUAUAUAUUAUAUGUCACAUUGAAUAUCAUGUUAUUUCUAUUGAUAGAAAUUACGUUUGUGCCUCUUUUAUCUCAUCAAUUGUUGAAGAAAGUGAUUAUUUGUUUUUAGUAACUUAUGUAACCAUCAACACUUCAUUUCAUCCAUUAUUCAUUAUUUAUGUCUUGUAACUUAUGUAACAUUUGAGUCAUUCAUUUAUUAAAUUUACUAUCCAUUAUCUCUUAUUCAUUUCAAGGAAGAAUUCAUCACCUAUAUAUAGUGUAGUCUUCAUUUGUGUUGAGAUACAAGAAGAAACAAAAGAUCUACAAGAAAAAUAGAGUGAAAAAGAUAAGUAGUAUUAUAUUUAAAUUUAUGUAGUGAAAGAGAGAGUUGAGAUAUAGAAAAUGUUCUAAGUCAACUAUAUUCACUAUACAAUAGAGAGUAUAUGUUAAAGGAAUGUGUUCUUUUGUGGAGCUUUGGACUCUUGAACUAAUCUAGAGUUGUUUGAGUUAUGCAUUUUUGUUGGGUUGUUAUAUCAUGGAGGGGAAAAAUCAAGAGUUAUACUCCUGCACUGAUGUAGAUUAUGUCGCAGUGGGAUUGAAUCUCCUUAAUGAGAGAGAAAUAUCCGUGCCUCAGCCUUAAGAUUUGUUUAUACAUUUUUUUCUUUUUUUUCAUCUAUAAUUUAUUGUAUUUGUGGUACAUUACACCAUAAGUUUGGACAUGCGAUAUGAAAUUUUGGUGUUGUAUAUUUUCUCAUAAACAUAAAAAUCUCAUAAGUUUUGAAACUAUUAAAAUAGCUCCAAUUGUUUAUUCAAUGUUAUCAAAUAAACAACAAAUUAUAAAAUCACAUAUUAAAUUUAUUAUGACCCUUAAAGUGAAAUAGGUUAAACUAGAGCUUCACAUGUGCUUCAUGAGUUAAUAAUGUAUAAAAAUAUUAAAUUUUGGCAUUAGAGGUAAUAAUAUCAGUUUGAUAAGUUUGGAAGUCAAACAUCAAGGGACGACCAAGAUGUUCGAUGACUAGACGUCUUUGUGCUUGUCUGUGUUUUUGUGUGUCUUUGCAUGUUUUAUGUAUUUUUUGGGGUUAUAUUUGAUAGGAGAGGAUCCUAAGACAUAGAUGAUAAUGUUUAGGGUUUGACUUCAGGGUACGACUCCGCAAGGGACACCCUAAGGGUCCUUGAGAAGGACCCAAGACUUGUCAAGAAAGUAUUCAAGCACUGCCCAAAUGACGACCCUAAUCGACGGGUAAGAUUGAAUGACGCCCCGUCGUUUGGGGGCAUAGAUCCACACUCAGUUUUUACUCCUAGAACCUAAGUUAGUCUUCAUUUUUCAAAACCAAAACCUCCCACCCAAGAAAAACACUCUCAAAACCCCACUGAAGGUUGAACUCAAGGUAGAUCUUGGAUUGAAGGUUUUGGGUGAUUUCUUCACCAAAUCUCGUGGGUUUCUUCAUAGAAGGUAGUAUGGUAGUUCAUCGUUGACACUUCUCUCAUUCAAGGAGCCAAUCCAAAGACUUUUCAAAAAGGGUUUCAAAUUUCUAAGUUCUUCUAUUUUGAAAUCUAAGUAUGAAUUCUUGCAUAAAAAUGUUUUAAUUAUUGAAAUAUGAUAUUUUUCAAUGUUAGUUAAUGAUUUUACGGUCAAAACUCAAUGAACCCAUGAAUACGCAAAUCCUAAAUUUUUAACUUAUGAAGUGGGUUUAAUUUAUAUGAUAAUAUAAGGCUAGAGAAGUGUUUCUUAUGUCGUAUUCUGAAUUACCUACUACCUUUGUUCUUUAUUAUGAUGAUUUUAUGGAGAAUUGAGAAACAAUGGAAAAACCUUUCAUGAAGGAUAAGUUAAUCUAUCUUGCUUAGUUCUUAUUGAAUUUAUCUUAUGUGUGCGCAUUGUCAUUAUGUGCUUGAAGACAUUGACAUUUUACAAUGUACAAGCAUGAUUUGCAUUUUAAUUCUUUUUUGGAAAAUAAGUUUUUCUUUUAUACGUUUUCGACUUUUUUAGAGUCGCCACUUAAUUUUUUAAAGAAAAUCAAGAAACUUUUUUUUUUCCUGAAGACUUAAGCAGAAAAUGAUUUUAAAAAUUCAAAAGGGGGUUUGGAGAUUCUUUUUUAUAUUUUAGGAAGAUUUUUACAGCACCUAAAAUAUUCGUUAAAUUGCGGUUAUCUGACAACUUACUUAUUUGACUAAAAAUAUUCAAACUUAAUUUUUGAGAUAAAAAAUAUUUUAAGUUGUUUGGAAAAAGGAAGUAUUAAUUUUACUAUCUAAGUGAAUUUCAAUUUGUAAAAUUAAUUUUAAGCAUAUUUACUUCUUUGAUUUAGUCGAGUCGUUAUAACAAAGUGACGUCUUAUGGGGGAUUAGAAUUUUUCUAACCUUAAAACUAAUAAUAUGUAUCAAUCAGCAAGUAAAUGAUAAAGUAAAGAGAGAGAUUGAGAGAGAGACAGAGAGAGAUAGAGAGACAGAGAGAUAGAGAUAUAUAUAUAUAUAUAGAGAGAGAGAGAGUUGGGUCCAAAUGUGAUUUCUAUCCGCCUGAAAUGGUAUUUGGACCCAUUUCACUUUGGGUUUUUUAACCUAUUUAAAUUUUGUCCUAAGUUCUAGCAAAAUAAUACAAAGAUGAAGUGCUUAGGCCUAAUUUUAACAAAGUACAACAAUAAAUAAAAAAAGUUGGCUUUUGGCCGCACGACAUCAACUCUUCAGGUGACUUCAUAUGCUCUAAUUUUGGGGGAUCUUUUCAUCGAUUUAAAGGUUAGGAGAUUCAAUGGAGAAUUUGAGCAUUUACGGCUCACUCGAAAUGCAAGAGGGGAGGCAAGAGUUCGAGGCGAACUUAGAGAGUUUUUACAUGCAUAAAAAUGGAAAGGAACAUUAGCGUACGACCUUAUCAAAAUGGACGGUAAAAAAGAACAUACUAAAUUAUGCAAAGGGAAAGAAUGAGACAUAUAUACUUAUAACAUAAUUAAAGGAAAUCAUAUAAGGCCAAACAGAAAGCUAAAAAAAUGACUAAAGAACAUGGUGAUAACUCCUACUAAAUUAAUUAGCAUGGUAUUUAGCAAUAUGCGCUAAAGUGAUCAAAAUCAAACUUCACUUCACUACAUAAAAUAUUAUAAUGAACAAUAUUUUUUACGAGAAUUAAGUAAAAAGUGAACCAACAAGAAACCUACAGACAUUACUAGCAUAUGCAUAAGCGCGGCAGGAACAGUAACAAGCUAAAAAAAUAAACAUGAUAGUCAAGUCUCACAUACUACUCCUUUUUUUAAAAAAAAUAAUACAAUUGAACACCAACAAAUUUAGCACUUAGAGACCACUUGAACAAAGGGAUAUUUUUCAUCAAUAAACUCAUACUUAAGUCGCUAACGCAUGCACAUGAAUGACCUUAGACUUUAAACAAGAAUCUCAAAAAACUGCACAUUUAAGACAACCUCGAGACAAGAGAGCGCUCAUGUACAAGAAAAAAAAAAGAAAGAUUAACAACAGUACUAGGAUGAUAUUUAACUUAAACGCGAGACAAUCGAUUAACACACGAGAGAUUUUACUAAGCAAACAAAGUAACUCAAAACUCUAGGUGACAUGCUACAAGCUGCUGAAAUUAUACAAAAUAUUUAUCUAUAAUUAUCAAUCAAUUAGAGAAAAUAAAGAAAGAGGCUUCCAAUACAUUAGCUAGACCUCAUGUUCUGCACAUAUAAAGUAAGGAAAGAACUAAUUAAAAUUGAAAUGGAUUCAUUGUUAAAGAAAUUUGAGUGACAUUAACAUGAACUCAAAAUCACAACAACUACAAAUUCUCGUAUUUAAAUACAAUACUCAAGAAGCCUACAAAACGGUAACUCGGGAAAAGAAUAUAAAUAGCUAAUUUCUAUGUCUUUUUUGACUAAAACUUUAGUAAGCUUAAUCAUCCCAUAGGACUUGCACAACUAUAAAACUAGUCAAAAUCUAUCCCAACACAUUAACACCUCCCUUGAAUGAAAAAACAAGACAUAGCUACCAAUUUAAACAAUGAUGAAAAUAUCUUACUAAUCUUGAAAACGUUUUAGAUACAUUAAUAAAAUAAAAAAUAAACUUCUUUACAGCAAGAAAUCUUCGGGACUAGUAAUUGAAUAACAAAGUAAGCAAGAGAACUUAAUGUCAACUAACAGUCAAAAAAGUAGUUUUCAAACCAGCUUAGAAUACUAAAACACUAUGCUAUUUAUUGAAAAUCAAUUUUAAUAAAUAAAUUUGCUAGGCUAAGAGAAGUCGGUCUGUACCAAAAAAAACAAACGGCUCAAGACAAGUUACAGUUGAAUAGUUACACGCUAGAAUGUGAUCAACAUAGCUAAAACUAAUCAGCUAGCACCAACUAAACAUGAACUAAAAUAUCACUAAGAACAUUAGAAAAUAACAUAAAUUUUAGGAAAGACGAAGUGGAUGCUUAAUCGACCAUGAUAUAGAAUAACUAAAAUAUAAGUAAGAACAACUAAACGGAAAGUAUAGAACAACUACUAAUCCAACAAAAAAAAGGCUAAGAAGAGAUGUUUAACCUUUGUUGGGGCAGCGAACGGGAAAAAGAUGAGCUGAGAUUCUACCAACACGCUGGCUUAAAUAGAUUAUAUUUUGGGAAAAUGGAGUGAAAUCUGGACCAAUUCGAAAACUCAAAAUUUUUUCAAUUCCCGAUUUGCUGCAGUCUUGUCGGUUGUACGCAUUUGGGAUUGUUGUGCGCAUAGUUGGUAUUGUGUUUGCUAGAAUGGGGUUCAGCUGGGUCGUUUUGGAAUUGAAUGUGGGCUGGGGAGGGGGCAUAUUGGAUUGGGCCGCUGAAAGUAAAGGGAAUUGAGUUUUUUUUAUUAAGAAAAGGCCCAAAAUCGAUUUGGUUGAGAUAUUUGGCUAUUAAUAAAUGAAUCAAUAAGCUUCUAAAUUUUAACAAAAUAAAAUAAUCGACUUGAUUAUAAAAUAAAAAUAGUGAAAAAAUUAAAAAUAGAAUGAAAUGCAAACUAUUAUAUAACUAAACUAGCUAGUAAAAUAUUUUAACAAAGUGAAAUCUUUCGAGUCGAUUUUCGACUAAUCAUAAAAUAUACUAAUCAUAUAUAUAAUUAUGUAAAUCAUAUAUAUUAUCUUUAAAUUAUAAAAGUGAUGAGAUUAAUCUAAAAUAACUUACAAAUAUUUUAUACUUAGACAAUCGAAUUAUUUCAAAUCGUUUAGAAUUAAGAAACUCGAUGAAUUAUUCAUGUUACGAAAGUCCAAAAUUGGGUGUCAACAAGUUGUAUUGUGAAGUUGUCAAUGUGUGUCUUGAACAUACGCUGUAUAAAUGAGGUAUAAUAUGAACGUGAAGCAUGAUAGUGUUUGAAUUUUUCUUAUUGUAGCAUGAUUAUGUGUAAAAGUCAACGUUCUGAAUAUGGUUGUUAUGUGAGGAGUGUUCUCACAUAUAUUCUCACACACACUUCGAAUGAAUGAAUAAACUUAAUUAAUUAAAAUGGGGUAUUCUAGGGUAGACAUCAUUCAUGAGUAGACAUGAAGUGUCUAACACAAACCCUACUAUUUCUAAGUACUCUAGUGAAUGAAGAAGGUGGAUUUUGGGGUGGAUACUCUUCGUGAGUUUCGAUGAAGUGUUUAGUAGCGACCUCCCUAUUCCAAAGAGUUUUCUAAAUAAAGUUUGGAGGUUGAAUACUCUUCAUGACGUGAGAUGUAGUAUUCAAAAGUAACCUCUAGAGAUUAGUAUAUUUCGUGAGUUGCGAUGUACUACUUGGUAAGACCUUAACCUAUACCUAAUGAAUGUCUAGAAUUCCAUGGGGCCUUAUUCUUAGCACCGAGAGGAUUUUAAGAAUGGGUGGAUCCUCCUUGUGAGUAGAGAUUGUGUAGCCAAUGUAGCUUUUGAAAGAGUAAUUUCAUGAGUUGAUAAGAGUUACCUAUAAUAAAUCUCCUUAUCCCCUAAGUAUGCGCCCGCAUAGGUUUAGUUAUUGGAGAUCCAUGUAAAGACUAAGAGAAUGAAACUACCUUAGGCAAGUGGGGAUCCCUCGUCCGAUAGGGGUUAAUAGUGAGAUUUCAUGCCUAGAAAGGGUAGGUGGUGGAACAGGAUGCUGUCUAUCUAUCACACAAGUACACAUUUGGAAGAAGUCUUGGUGUUUCCUUAUAUGAAAAUGUGUGGUGGGUUACUACGUUAUGUUAAUGAAGUAAGUUGACUUUAUUUCUAAUGUUAUUGAAGCAUGUUGAUAUUAUUUUUUAAUUUUGAUGAAGUUAUGUAAAUGAUGAAUGUGAUGCGUCUAGUCUAAGGUGAUUCCUAAGGACCAUUAAGUGGAAUAAGUAGUAUGGGAUGCUACUUUCACAUUGCACAAAGUUUAACUUUGGGGUUGUCUUGGAGGAUCGUCUUCAUGUGAAUAUCAUUAAUGUAUGUAUAUUUCCUCUAGUACCUUUAGUAAUACAUGUUGACUUGUUAAAUGAAAUGAAGUAUUCAUAUAUUUAAUAGUCUUAAAGAUAACUUAGGUGGGUAUUGUAGAGGUUGUAUGAGCAGUCUCUUUAUGUCUUACCUAGGUGAAUCUUAUCUAGGAAGUAAGUGUAUACAUGUUGUGCGUUUUUUGGAAAAGUUAACUUUACUUGCAGAAAAACUUUUAAAAAACAUUUUUAUUUCUUUUAUAUUAUCUAUACUUAAUUAGGAAAAAAUUUUAAAAUAUAUUUACAUAUUUAAAACAAAAUAAAAAAAUAUAAAAAUAAGUUACAAGCAGAGAUUUAGAUGAGGUGGAGUAUAUUUUUAAUUUAUCGUAUUAAACCGUUAUAAUUAAAUUCAUUUGAUUGAUCACUAGAUUAAACCCUUAAAUGCUAGAACCACUCUUCUUCUUUAUCAACAUUUAAUAGAUAAUUAUAUAAUAAUAUUACUUGUGCAAUUUAAAAAAAACAAUAUAUGACUCGUGUGAUUUGUGAAUCAACUAUAUAAAGUACCAAUAAAUCAUUAUAUUUGAAGAAUAACGAAAAGAUUAUAAUAUUAUAAAAUAAUGACUAGUUGAAUUUCCAUACCUUUCCUUUAAUUUAUCACAUUUAUAUGGGAAGUUUAUCCAACAAUAAUUGCAUAUCUAAUAUAAUAUCGUAAGCUGUCUUUGAGAAAAUAAGUCGAUAUGGUUUGUUUUGUGUUAUAUGUAUCGAGAGAGGAUGAUGGUUAAUACUGAAAACUCGAAGGUGUCCAUUUUAGAGAGUUUUUCCAUUUACAAGAGAACCAAUGUAGGGUUUUUUCAUAGUCCAUUCAAUAUAAUCCUAAGGAGAAAACAACGUUUGUUGUGGUUUUGAUUUUUUUUAUCGAACUUAUCUCUCCAGAUUUGUCUGCAAAGAAGUCAUUUUUGUCUAUAGCAUCGGCAAAUAGAAAGCCAAUAGCUAUAUAUAAAUCUACUCAAAUCAAAUGAUGAUCCGACACAACUAGGGUCGAGGUUAUACUUGAUCUAAUGGAAAAGAUUCCAAAUCAUAUAAGAUUGAUGUUUGAGGAUAGAAAAUCUGGUAAGUUGAAUGAGGGAUCACUAGAUUACACCCUUAAAUGCUAGAAUCACUUAUCUUCUUUAUCAACAUUUGAUAGAUAAUUAUAUAAUAAUAUUAUUUGUCUCAUUUCAAAAUAACAAUUUAUGACUUGUGUGAUUUGAAAAUAAACUAUAUAAACUACUAAUAUGUCAUCACAUUUCAAGAAUAACACAAAGAUUAUAAUAUCAUAAAAUAAUGACUGGUUAAAAUUGUCAUAACUUUCCUUUGAUUUUUCACAUUUAUAUGCGAAGUUAAUCAAAAAAUAAUUGUAUAUCUAAUAUAACCUCGUAAGCUAGAUUUGAGAAGCAAAGUUGAUAUGUUUGGGUUUGUGUUAUAUGUAUCAAGAGAGGUGGAUGGUGAUUAGUAAACACUCGAAGGUGUCCAUUUUAGAUAGUUUUUUCAUGGACAGGAUAACCAAUGUAGGAUUUCUCCAUGGUCCAUUGGAUAUAAUCCUAAGGGGAACACGACAUUAGUUGUUGUUUUGAUUCUUUUUAUCGAACCUAUUGCUCCAGAUUUGUUUGCAACGAAGUCUUUGUUGUCUAUAGCAUCGGUAGAUGGAAAGACAAUAGCGAUAGAUAAAAUUACUCAAAUGAAGCCAAGAUCCGGAACAAGUAGGGCCAGGUUAUACUUUAUCUAAUAGAAAAGCAUCCAAAUCAUAUAAGAAUGCAGUUUGAGGUGUGAAAAUCUGGUAAGUUGAAUGAGGGAUCACUAGAUUACACCCUUAAAUGCUAGAAUUACUCUAAUUCUUUAUCAACAUAUAAUAGGUAAUUAUAAAACGAUAUUAAUUAUGCCAAUUCAAAAUAACAAUUUAUGACUCGUGUGAUUUGUGAAUCAACAAUAUAAACUACUAAUAUAUCAUCACAUUUGAAGAAUAACAAAAAGAUUAUAAUAUUAUAAAAUAAUGACUGGUUGAAAUUGUCAUACCUUUCCUUUGAUUUCUCACAUUUAUAUGCGAAGUUAAUCCAACAAUAAUUGCAUAUCUAAUAUAAUCUCGUAAGCUAGAUUUUAUAAGAAAAGUCGAUAUGUUUGGGUUUGUGUUCUAUGUAUCGAGAGAGUUUGAUAAUGAAUACUAAAAACCGUUAAGAUUUAAUUCAUUUGAUUGAUCACUCUUCUUCUUUAUCAACAUUUAAUGGAUAAUUAUAUAAUGAUAUUACUUAUGCCAUUUCAAGAAAACAAUUUACAAAUCAUGUGAUUUGUGAAUUAACUAUAUAAACUACUAAUAUAUCAUCUCAUUUGAAGAAUAAUACAAAGGUUAUAAUAUUAUAAAAUAAUUACUGGUUGAAAUUACCAUACUUUUUCUUUGAUUUUUCAUAUUUAUAUUCUAGGUUUAUCCAACAAUAUUUGCAUAUCUAAUAUAAUCUCGUAAGCUAGAUUUGAGAACAAAAGUCAAUAUAUGUGGGUUUGUGUUAUAUGUAUCGAAUGAGGUGGCUAGUGAAUACUAAAAUUGAAGGUGUCCAUUGUAGAAAAAUUUUCCAUGGACAGGAGAACCAGUAAGCGUUUUUCCAGAGUCCAUUGGAUAUAAUCCUAAGGAGACAACGAUGUUAGUUGUGGUUUUGAUGCUUUUAUUGAACUUAUCUCUCCAGAUUUGUUUGCAGAGAAGUCUUUGUUGUCUAUAGCUCGACAGUUGGAAAGUCAAUAGUUAUAGAUAAAGCUACUCAAAUAAGCCAAGACCAAGCACAACUAGGGUUAAGGUUAUACUUGAUCUAAUGGAAAAAAUUCCAAAUCGUAUAAGAUUGUAAGCACCGAGAUGAGAUAAUUAUCGUUUGAUCUUGAACAGAAAUUAAAAUAACAAACAUAUUGAAGAUACAAUUAAUGUUUCUUCGAAAGGUACUAUCAAUAAUGAAAAGUAUCAAGGUGAUGCGAGAGAAAUAUUAAAUAAAAAAAGAAUGGUUGAUCAACAAUUGGUUGUUGCAAAUUCUGAGCAAAAUCGUGCAGACACUCAAUUGAUGUUGUUACAAGUAAUAUUGUUGUCCAAACAAAAACUGAAUAUAAAGGGAUAACGUCAAGAGUUGGGGUUGCUGCGCGCCGCGAGUUUGUUCAGGCCAAAAAUUAAUGGAGUCAGGACACAAACUAAUGGAUACAUCUGACGAUAUUGAAGAUGCUAAAAAUUCUCGGAAGCAUGUUUUGCAAGUUGAAAACAAGUUGUACUAAAAAUUGGACACAGACUGCACCCAAAAAUUCAAUUAGUAAUUGAUGCAUUUCCCCGACUAGUCAAACUAAUUCUCCAUGUAAUUUAAUAGGGUGUUAAUGAAAAUUUUCAUGACUGUGAAAAAAGACAAGAUAUUAGUAAUGUCUCAAGAUACAUAUUAUGUUCGAAUAACAUUCAUGCUUUAUCGAACUACUAGAAAUUCGUCGUUUGCCUACCACAAAAAUAGUUUCAACGUAGUCGGAUAAUGGAAUUUUACGAUGACUUUUUACCUAUUUUCGGUUAGUGGACAUAUUGAACGUCGUAAAAUAUUUAGCGGCUACAGUCGUCUGACUUUGCCGAUUACCAUAGUUGGAAAAUAUAAAACUAGUCCUGACCAUUAAACUAUCUAAAUGGACGACUACAGUAGUCGAAAGAAUAUUAAAAUAAUAGUUUAUUAAUUAAAGAAAUCUAACUACAGUUGCCAUAGAAUUUAAGUAAUUAAUUAUUUAAUUAAUAUAUAUUCCCACUACAGUAUAAACAUUUAGGUACUUUUCUGAGUAGUGUAGUUAGAGUAAGUAAUUUAUUAAAUAAAUAACUAGCUACUUUCCAAUUGCUGUUGUAGGCAAUAUUAAUUUUUUUAAGAAGUCAGGUCAUUUUAAGGAUUACUGUGCUAAAAAAAUUGCAUUUUUAUGUAGAACUUUUUUUACUUGAUACACCACCAGUUAAAUUGUACUACCAUCCAUUCGUAAAAGUUUAACAAUGAAAUCAAACAUUAAAUACAUUCCUAAUCAUUCAAAUUUUUAUUCAGUAUAACUAAAUUUAAAAAUUCAAGCAUCACCUGAAGAAAGUCUAAUAAGUAUUAAACUGUUAUUAAAAACAGAAGUAAAUAGUUUAAAACAAGUCUAAAUCUCAUAGAAAAUGUUCAAACAUACUAAAUAAAUUUCUUCCGAAGAGUGAGAAGUUGAAGCACCAAACAACAAUGACAAUGAAUGAAUUGAGGAAGGUUGUACUCCAAGUCCAUGAAUUUUACCUUUCUUCACACCUUCUGCCAUAUUUUUUUCUUCCUUAUGCCAUAUUUAUUCAUAUGUAUCAUCAUAUGACAGUUGUUUCGUGGAACCAGCCUCAAAGAUAAGUCGUAUUUCACUCCGUUCAUGCAAGACUCUUUCAAAUGAAUCAAAUCACUAGAAAACUACUAUUUAUGCCUCAUAACAUAUUAACAAAAACUUUACUUUUGAGAACCAACAAACAAUUCAACCAUUGGGCAUAGCCUCUUACAAAUUAAUAAUCACCUCUUUAAUUACUUGGGAACAAAAUAUCAAAUAAGCAACAGAAUAACAAAUUUUGUUAUCAUUAUAUCCUAUUAACAAAUUCUAUGAAAAGUUGAAGUUGUGAAUUUUACAUAGAUCCACCCUCUUUAGUUGAUAAGGCAGUAGUUACCAAGAUAUAGCAUCAAUAAAUGAAUUCUGACAUUGAGGAUCAGAAGCAACAACAAUAUCAAAUGAAAUGGAUUAGUGGAGUGCAUUAUAAUGGAGAUAAAAUAGAGCAUGUGUUCAAGGUGGUAGUGAUUGAUCUUUAUUCAAUCCAAAGUGAUAAAGGCUCAUAUCGAAUUCUUAUCUAAAGAGAAUUGGUAUUUGAUUUACAUAUGAAGGCUACAUAAUUGGAUUUAUAACCUUAUCUAUUACUUGUAAAAAAAAAUUAUACUUGGGUUGUCUUUUCCUUACAGUUCACAAACAUCAAGUUAUAAAUAAAAUCCUUCCAUGCUAGUCACUAAUGUCCAUAAAGAGUAAGAAAUGAAGAGCUAGCCCGUGCAUGCAACAUAAGAAUGUUGUCUUAGAUAAAUAUCCCAGUCCAUAUUAUUCAUGUAAAAAUACCUUUUGACCUUAAAAAACUUUUAAGAAUAUCUUCUCUAAAAAAAUAAUAAGAUAUAUAAACUUCUGAAUCAGAUGAGUUCUCGAGUUCUGGAUAUACUUUUGUGUGAUGAUAUUCGUAAUUAUGAUCCUUCAUAGUUUUGAUAGUUUGUUUUCCUUGAAUAGAUCCUUUUGACAGUCUUCUAUGUUGCAGCGAAGAUUCCUUUAUAUUUGUCCCCCUUUCUUUAUACAACAAUCACGUCUAACACCUUUUGAAUAUUUGAGUCUUUGGUUCCUUCAAGAAGGUAAUAUGUCUACUGUAUUUCGAGACAUAUUUCCUUCACUGGAUCACCAAUGACACCUAAGUUUGUAAGCUACAAAUAUUGGAAAGGUGUUGACUUGUUUGUUGUAUUAACAACGGGAUAGAAAUACAAAGAAAUAUAUUCUUUAAAGUAGAAAACUAUCCAACAGAUUUAUUUUAGGGAAAGCAAAUAUCAGAACUAUGAUGGAUCAAAAUUACGCUUAUCAUCACACAAAAGUUUAUCCAGGCAAACACAUCAUUGAUUAUUUGGUUAUUUUUUCUUAUGAGUGAUAACUUCCAAUUUUUUCAAGGUUAAAAUGCAUUUGUCAUGAAUAUAAUUAUUUAAGACAACAUUCUUGUGCUGCAUCUGUCAGCGCCUUAUGAACUUAAGGUCACAAACAUCUAAUCUUCCUUUCUUCCUCUUUAUGGUCAUCACUGACUUUCAAGGAUGAACAGUCACUAUUACUUGAAAGUUUGUUAAUUAUAAGGAAAAGAAAACCCAAGUGUAUAAUUUCUUCAUAUAUUAAAAAUAUUUCAAUUCUCCUCCAAUGAUUUAUAAAACAAAUGUAGAAUUGCAUUAAUUUGAUGCUAUUUCGAACUUAUUUUUGGGCUUAUGUCUGUGGAAUUAGUUUUGAGAAGUAAAUAAGAAUUAUAUUUAACAGAAAAUAUGGUAUUACGCAAGUUUUGUGGUGAAAGACUCAAGAGAUGCAGUUGCAUUUGAGAGACAAAUAAACUCUUGAGUUAUAGUGAAACACUUCCCAAAAUAUAUGUGGAAUGCAGCGAUAGUACCAAAUGUGUGCCACAAUAAAAUUAAGGGGGACAUGUGCCACUAUUCCCUGGAAGUGGGAUGGUAGAAGUAAGAUGACGUCUAUAGUUUAUUUGCUACACAAUAGUUAAAACAUUUUCUACUUGCUAAUUAUAUAUCUAUAGUUUUGAUAUUGAUUUUUAAAAAUUAUGUUUGAAUUAUAAUGAAACAGCUCAAUCCCAGAUGGGAUAACUUAAACCAUUAAGAUUAAAAUAGGGUACAUGAAGUUAAACCUCUUUUUCCUCCUAAUUUUCUCAACAAUAGCUAAACUCGACAUUCGAUAACAUCAUUUUCGCUCUUAAUUAAUUUUAUGUUUAUCCAAUUACAUUUAAACUCUCUCAAGUUACAAGUGUUUAAUUGUGUAAUCAAAACCCUCAAAGAACCAUAAUGAAGAUUUGAAAUUAUACAAAAUCAUUCACAAAGAAUUGAUACAAAACAAUAAGAUAAUAAAUGAAAAUUGAAAUCGAACAUCGAAACAUGAAAAUAAUACUUGGAAUGUUCCAGAAGGGAGUUUUAACAUAGAUUUGGGGGAAUAUUCAAGAAGGGGUUUUUCACAUCGAUUUGGAUUACGCAGAUCAGUACAAGUUGUUACGAAAAAUUAUAUUUUGCAGUCCUUAAUUGGUUGGUGCUCCGGCACCGAAAGAUGAAGGCGACAAACUUUCUACUCCUCUGAGAAUGUCGACAAUGUAAGAGUGUUUGAAAAUGACUGAGUUAAGUAUUUUAUUCUUAAGCUUCAAUCAAAUGCUUUUAGAAUUUUCUUACUUUCUAUAUCCUUAUUUUAAUUCCUCUCCUAUUUAUUCUUUUCAAAAAUGGAAUGAAGGCAAAUCAUCAUUUCAUUUAAAAUUGUGGCACCAUCAAUGAUUAAAAAUGUGUUUUUCAUUUUCUUUUAAAGUUCAUUAAUGAUCUUCAUUUAUUAUGGUGUGGUUUUAAAUCAAAUGGUGAAUUGUAUUUAUUUAAGUUUGAAAUUGAAGAAAGAGGAAAAAAAAUAAAUUUGGAAAAGUGAAAAAAAAUGAUAAAAGCUUUUGAUUGAGGUUUUGAAAAUGAAAAUUCUGCCUAAGUCUCUCUCAGUCGGUAUUGACACUUCCAGAGGAGUAGGAGCUACAUUGUCGGCAUCUUCUGAUGUUGGAGCAUCGACAAAUAAUGAUUCAAUUAUGUAAUAUGUUGAACAACUUGUACUUGAUCUCCACAAUUCUUUUAUUCGUGAAAACAGUUCUCUAAAACAUUCAAAGGUUUAUUCUUCUAAUUUAGAGGCUUACCCUUAUGUUUCGUUUACUUUCAUAUCAUUUUAUUAUAUGUCUUGAUUCAUCAUGGCAUGAUUCUGUAUAAUUUCAAUUCUUGAAUAUAAUGAAGUUAGGUAAAAUUGAGGAUUCUGAUGACUAUUUAACGCUAGUCACACUAAAGUUACAUAACUGGUUAACUAAAAAAUCACCAUUAUUCUACUUGAUAAAACUGGACUAAUGAAACUUUUAAACUCUACCAUCUCCGAUCUCUGGGAAAUCAUAACUAUAAUUUCUUCAUGUUGAGCAAUUGUUCAAUAAAAUUUUGUUUUCACUGUAACAAUACAACUUACCUAGUUUAGCUACAUCUAGCAAAAUGAAUUUGCACUAACAUGGGUAGGAAUGUAACAUUCUCAUGUAUAUGUGGGAAAGAUCAAACUUUAGCUAUAUUUAUUAUAUAUCUUCGAACAAUAUUGAUCAUGUUUCAAACUUGUAUCACGGUAGAAUCAAACAUUAAUUCAUACUGAACUAACAAUUUACAGAUAGUCUAUGUGCCUAUUGAAGAUUUUUGUUAUAAUAAGUGCAUAAGACAAUCCCUAGAAUCAAACUUUUAAUAUCUAAACAACUUAUCAUUGAUUGUUUUAUAUUUUUCCUCUACUCUGGCAUAAACCCACAAUUUGUAUCAACAUAAAUAUUAAGCAGGGACCCAAGUCCCAACCUAAAUGUCAUGUAGAUUAUGUCUUGUAAUCGGAUUCUCAUUGUCUAGUCGUAUAAGAUCAAUAAAUUUUCUAUACAAAUAACAAAAAAAAAAGAUAGAAUGGGUAUCAACUUAAUUAACUUUAGAUUAGUCUCUGUAUUGACUCUUUACUUUGUUAAAUGAAAAUACAUUAUUUAACAAAAAAAUGAAUAACAUUUUUGUCAAACACAUUUAAAAAGGUAGUGUCAUAAUCAUAGGGAUAUUUUGAUUUCCUAAGUUAACGUUGAAGUUGAUGAAGACACCGGAAUUGUAAGAUCGUGAUGUACUUGAGAUAUUGUUCCACUGCGUUUGACACAGUGUGUGUUAGGAGUAAUUGCCUGCCAAUAUUUUAGGCGCCUCUCCAACAACGUUAAUUCUUUUGGAGUGAUUUAUAAAAAACACAGUGGAAAGUAUAAAAAACAAAAAACAAAACCAAUACAAUGCAGUACUAAUAAGACCAAAAAUAGAAGAUGAAUUGAGAAGCCAUGAUUUUUUUUAGGAAAAGCAAACAACAACAACAUUCAUUCCAAGGGCUUCCCUAUGAAACCUUAUUGACGUGAAGUUUCUAACAUUUCCUAUUAUUAAUGGUAGAGUUGAGUAAUGAAUUGUACUAAGUUUAAUCAUCAUCUAAUUCGAGGGAGAUAAAACCUACCUAGUAUAGAACAUUCAGGUUGUUUAAUUAAUAUUGUAUACUAUUAAAUUUAAUAUGCAGUUACGUAUCAGAUUGUUUCUUUUUUAGAAAUAACUCACAGUUUUUAGUGAAAAUUAACAAAAAAUUAAAAAAUAUAAGAAUCCAUGAGAGAAUCAUAAAAGACAAAGACUGCAAAAAUAUUUGUUUAAAAACACUACGAAAACUAUUACUUUCCUUUCAAUCUCAUUUAAUAGGAAUUUUGAUUUUUGUUUUCUACUAACGAAUAGACGGUCCCUUUUUAAUGAGUCAUUUUUGUAAGUUGUUUAUUAUGUGUCAGAUUUUUGUACCAACACUAUAACAUAUAUUGACACUAAUUCGACAGAAGGGCUAAAUAUAAUUGAACUCCCUUCUACAGAUUCUUCUAUUGUCAUACUAGAAUACUUAAUUAACCAAUUAAGAAGUCGAGCUUUUUAACUAUUUUAAGACAAAAAGAACACAAAUCAAAAUCAUCAAUAAGAAAAAAUAUAAUGAAAUAAAAAAAUGACAAAAUGAACUCAUUUAUCAACCCAACUAAAAGUCUCUCUCCUUAUAAAAUUAGAAUUGCCUUAACAAAAUAUGCCAACAAAGUAAUAAAUUAAUAUUUUAAGUAUAUCAUCUUCUCAGUACUACCGCCUUAUUUGAUAUUAAUGAUGUGUUAGUAGAUUGAUUUGCAUAUUCACAUAUAAUAUUAAAAUAUAAAAGAAAACAUUGAUUUUUUGAUAUUAUAUAUCAGUUCACUUUAAAAUGGGAACCAUAAUCGAGUUUCACAAAGAUUGGAAAAAACAACUAUCUUCUUUGACCCCUUUGGUCACUGCAUUCUCAAACUCAAUGAAAGACCACACUUUAUAAACCUCAAUCAAAAGGUUUGAAGACCUAUGCAAAAUAGAUAUUUGUGCAAACCUGAAACGGUAAAAUAAAAUUAAAUGCAAAUCAAAACAAUUAACCAAAAUAUACUAGAUAAUUGCAAGAACAAUUUGAGAAGGAGCUUAGAAAGUUAAUGUAAAAAUAAAGCAUUGAGAGAGUUCCUUUUGACUAAUUUUGUUACGUUAAAGCGGUUUUGUUACCUGCACAAUAGCGUACAAUAAAUGUGUUUAUUAAGUUUGUUUGAACUUCAUAGCAUGAGAAAAAAGAAUGAGAGGAAUGGAAUACCUUCUCAUAGCCCCCUUGUAGUUAGAUUCUAAAAACAUCAUUGUCAACUUCCGAUUGAUUUGUAAUUGAGAGGAAUAAAAUCUACAAUUAUAAUGGAAAACUUUUCUAAAUACCUGUAGGCACGAAGUGCUAGUAUCAAAUGAGGUACCAACAUAAGGGGGUCAAAUCCUCCAAAUUUUCCCUCUUCUUGAAAAGGAAAAUAAAAGUAAUAAGAUAUUUGACUUUGUUUUCCUUUUUUUUCCAGAAGAGGGAAAAUUUUGAGGGAUUAGAUCCCUUAUUAUUCUAGAGUUAAUUCAUUUCUUCAGAUGCACAUGAUUUCUAAGGUAUCACUCCAUGUUGCGAUUCCAAUAUUUCUUAUAUCUGUUCAAACACGCAUUUCUUCAAUGAUUAUUGAUUACCCUUUCUUCAAACUUCACCAUUAAAAUCUAGGAAUAUAAGGAAACAUUUCAAACAAAUUUAAAACAAAUUUAAACACUGAUUAUCAACAACGAUCUUUAAAAUGAAAAAGCGAGUGAAAAGACUAAACAACACAACUUCAUGUAAUUAAUUAAACACCACCUAAUUCAAAAAAAUUUAAGCCAAAAUAAACCUCUAUUUUUGAGCAUUGAGAUGAAAACAAGAGACAAGAUCUAAAACUAACAAAGGGUGAUAAACAAUGAAGUUAAAUAUAACACCUUUAUUUAGUGAAUUCCAAUACGUAUACUUAAUCGCUAAAAAAACUAAACCCAACACUUCACAUUAAAAGAAGAAGGAAUACGAGUGUUACCUUGUUCUGGGCAGCGACUGGAACUCAAUCCUGGACGUGACAAAUUCCAACCCCACUCCGACUCAAAAUAGUUCCGAAUUAAUAAAACAUCAAUGACGAAAAUAAAAACACCCAAAAACAUAGAGAGGUGUUCUAUUUCUUGCCUCCAAAAAAACCUUCCCUGAACAGUAAGGGUGACGGGGUAUAUAUAGCACAAACUCUGGGUUGAAAUAAAGGGGAAAACGAUGUGGGAUUCUGGAAAUUUUCAAAUUCAUAAUAGGGUCUUGGAUCUUUUAAUGUGUAAUGGGUUUAUAUAAUGUGGGACAAAAUUUUGGGGUAAAGGUUAUAUAAUGGUCCAAAUAUGUACUAAAUAAAGUCCAUGAAGAGAGUUUCAAAGGGAAAUGAUAUGUAUUGGAAAGUCAACUAAUUACUCAAGCUUCUUAACUGUAACAACAUAAAAAUUAUUAUUUCAAAUGGAAAGAUCUUACUUAAAUUGUAAGUUUAAACAAAAUAAGUUGCAUAGUUAAUUAAAGCUUUGUUUUUUGGUAAAUCAAUUUACUAACUAUUUAUUCAAAUUGAAAAAAUAUAUAAAUCUAUAUAUUUUAAAUAUAAAGAUAUAUAAUGCAUAUGAAAAAGUGGAAAUAAGUGUUUUGGAAGAUAAUUUUAUAUUAUUUUUUAAUUUCAAAAAACUUUAUAUCCCAUUGUUCAAUAUUUAAGAAGCUUAAAAAUUAAUCAAAUCGUGGAGGGUCAAAAUUGGGUGUUAACAGGCAUCACCACUAUACCAUAUAUUAACGCUACUUCACAAGAAAGCCUAAAUAAAUCAAACUCUCUAAUAGUCUUCUUCUACUAUUCUUAAUUUACCCAUUAAGAAAUCGAUCUCUUCAAUAAUUUUAUGACAAAAAGAACAGAGAUGAGGAAAUGAAAAUGACAACAUGAACUCAUAUAUCCACCUAUAAAAAAGACUACCGGUAAAAGAUUUUAAAUUGUCUUAACAUUAUAUGACAAUAAAUUAAUAAAAUUAUUGUUUGAGGAAUAUCACCUUCUUAGUCUUACCCCCUUAUUUGAUUUUAGUUGUAACCGAUUGAUUUACAUAUAUGAGCACAUAAAAGUAAAAAAUAAAAAAUAAUAAAAAGAUUGAUUUUAGACAUUUAAAUCAGUCCACUUCAACAUCAAACAAAUUAAACUAUCUUUUUUUACCCCUCUGGUCACUGCAAUUCACAAAACCAAUCAAAGAUAAAAACUUUAAAAAUAAUUCACAUCGCUAUAUGUAACUCUUAAUCAAAAGUAUAUCAUCCGUACAUUGGUUAUUUGACGCACGUACUAGAUUAAGUCAUAACCUCUAUAAAUUGGUCCUCCCUCCAUUCACCCAUUCGGGUUAUCACAUAUUCUCUACAAUAAUUCAAUCGUUAACGGUUGUGAUAACAUAAAGUUAGGGAAAGGAGGUAGAAACCAAUUUACAACUAACGCUUCCGUUUUUCUCUUUGAUGAUGUCUUCCUCAUCAGGUAUGUACUCCUAACGAUCUCUAUGUAAGAUUAUCGUAUUCAAGAUCCUCAUAUUAUGUAUCCAAGUAUUAAAUCUUAUAUCAACAAUAUAAACUACUAAUAUAUCAUUACAUUUGAAGAAUAAUGAUAAUCUAAUAAUAUUACAAAAUAAUGACAGGUUGAAAUUAUCAUACAUUUCCUUUGAUUUCUCACAUUUAUAUGUGAAGAUGAUUCAACAAUAAAUGCAUAUCGAAUAUAAUCUCAUAAGCUAGAUUUGAAUAAAAUUAUGUAUAGGUAAAUUUACUAAUAUCCUACAAGCUAGAGAGAUUAUUCCUAUUAUAUCUUCAACUCAAAUAAAACAUUUCAAAAUAAAAUGAAAAAGAAACAUAGUAAUUAAAAAAGGAAGAAUAAUCUCAAUAAUUGUCCAAUUGAUGAAUAACGGAAUAUAAAUAUGCAAAAUGUGAUAUUUGAAAUUUAAAAAAAAUCAUAUUUAUCAGUAACUAAUAUAAAUGGCAAUUUAUGGACGGAAAUUGCCAUAUAUCCAAUCGAAUUAAGCCUUUACCCACUUUGGGAAGUUGACAAUGAGAAGAGUAAAGGUCUUGUUGACUAUGAGAGGAGUAAAAAUACAAAUUAAUUAAUCAUGAACAUUAAUAAGAAUAGAAAAAAUAAUUAUAAGAAUUUAAUAUGAAGUAAACAAUCAAAAACGCACUAACAAAAAAUUAAUUAAACAUUUAUUGAUUUAAUAUCAACCAAUGCACGUUGUGACGCUUUCUCCAGCUAACAUGUGGUGAAGGGAGAGAUAAUGAUAUGUUAUGUGGUAUCACAUCCUAGACGUAGAUAUGAUGAUUGUUGGUGUAGUAGAUGCACUUAGGGCCGACUCUAUAAAAUUGGGGGCCUUAAAGUCAAACCUUAAAUAGGGGCCUAAUUAUUAUUUUAUUUUAUUUUCAAAAAAAUAAUAAUAAUGUGCUAUAUAUAUAUUUAAGGUCAAACACAUAAACAGAUUCCUAAACUUGUUGGAUUUUUCCCCUAAGGUACAUCAACUAUGCUAUUUCCCUAUUGAAUCAUUGAAUAAUCCAUAAUUUUUUCCUUUUAAACACUGUUGGCUAAUAGUGGAAUCAGAUUUUGUGAGGGGUAUUGGUAGGAGAUACACAUGUUGUUCCAGAACUCAUUUAUGCCUUCAUAUAUUAUUUCCACACUUGUACAAUGUUACUGAUUUUUGGAGAAAAGAUAAAAAGGAAUAAAUCGUGAAGAUUCGCUUACAGGGAGGUCGUUUUCUUCUUGUCAGUGUCGCACAAAUAUUUUUUCUUACUACACUCCUCUCACUUCUUAAUUAGUUUUGCAUAUAAUUGUGUAACCCUAUUUAUUUAUUUUAAUAUAUUUGUGACAAAUACUAUUGGAUUUUUAAAUAAAGUAUGCACUUAGCCGUUAGCUAAUAACUAAAAUUAAUUAUUUUAAAACACCCGUAAUUAAACAAUCCUAAUUAACAAAUAGCUGAAAAAUUUCCGACCUAACUUCACAAAUUGAUCAAAACUGACUCCGGCCAAUACCGAGAUGGGUAAAAUGGUAAUAUUAUAAAAAUUUCUAAAAAUUACCUUCCGGGUCCGGGUGAUUACAUAUAUAAAUAUUACUAAAUCAACAUCUCUUUCAUCCUUUUAUGUUUAAACUUCUAAGCAAAAGAUUGAGAUCAGCUUAAAUAUAUAUAGACAAUUUUUCCUUUAGGUGAUGCAGACAAAAAAGAAUUUGAGAUCUCAAUGAAAAGCUAUAAUAUUGUGUCAAAAAGUUCUUGAUCAAGAAACUGUCGAUCUAUUAGCAUUCUCUCCAAUACCAGGGAGUUGGCUAACAAAGAUAUACUCCAUCUCAAACAUUCUUCAUAUAAAAUUUUCUGGCUUAACUUACUCGAGGUGAUCAAAUGUCUUGUCCUAUAAAUAUUCAAGUUCAAGUUAUUCUUCAAUAUCACUAUAUACAAUCUUCAUAGAAAACCUAAAAAAAUAUAACACAAAGUAAACUCUCAGAUCAUUGAGAUGCCAAAAAAAUACGAAAAAUAACACAUAUACGAAAAAAAUGAGAGUUAAGGCACUACAAACAUUCAUAUCAAAAUAUUUCAUGUUUGGGAAGCUUCCUAUUAAUGAAAGGACACACGAACGCUCAUCUGAUUUCACUAACAAAAUGUUAUGUAGGUAAAAUUAUUUAAUGUUAUCAGGAUUGAAGGGAAGCUUUGUUGGUGCUUCAUAUACUUCUUCAACUUUAAAGAAGAAUAUGAAGGACUAACAAGGUUUCCGUUUAAUCCUAACAAUGUCAAACGAUUUUAUCUUUUCGAAAUUUUUUGUUGGUGGAAUCAUAUAAACUUUAAUAUUCUCUUUGCUUAAUAAGAAGUUUCCUAUAUUUGGAAUAUCUCGAAAUGUAGGUUUGGAGUAUUUUGAGUCUCUUUUUCCAUAAUUAUUGAUUACUUAUCGCUGUUUUGGGAUCUAAUUUGAGAGUCAACUUCUUGUUAUGUUUCUUAGAUUUUGUAUGAAGGUGAUAGUGAUACUGAAGAAUCAUUUUAAUUCCAAAGUUUCUCGGAUAUGACAUUUUAAUCCUACCUUUUGUUUCAGAUUUCUCUUUGUUUUAUAGAUCUCAACUUACAAAGAAAAAUAAUGAAUAUUUUCAUCUAGUUCAAGUUUGCAAUUACUAAAAUAUUUUUAUAUUUGUGUAAUAAAAUAAAUAAACAUAAGAAGUUGUUUAAAUUUUUAGAUUUAGAACAUCAAAUCAACAAUUUUACUGUAUUAAAAUUCAAAAAUCCUAAAAAUAGUAUGUAAUAUAAUGCUAAUCGAAAAAUAUAUAUUUUUUUAAAAUAGAAAAUUAAAUUUUGAAUAACUUUUAUUAGAGUUUUAAUCAUAAGGCUUUUUUUGGACUCUUUCAAAUCUUUAACGUUAACAAGAAUAAGCAAUCUAGCCUUUAACUAUUUAGAUGAAUUUAGAAUAUGAUUUUAUACUUUUAAGAAAAGCAAAUAGGUUCUAUACAGGCAUAUCACGAUUUGUAAACAUUCGUCAAGGAUCACAAAUUAGCCAGAUCAUUUUCUCUUAGAAUGUUCCUGAAUAGACAAAAAGAUAAACUUAAAACUGAUGUUAGAAUUUACAAAUAUUAGUUAUAGAAAGAACAAUAGAAUAAAUCAUAUUGAGAAGAACAAAAAGGGCAAACUUGAGAACAAAAUUGAGGAUAUAAUUUGUUGUUGAUUUACCUAUAAUCAUUGGUGAAAUGGAGUGGAGUGAAAGCAGGAAUGACGAAUUGACACAAUUUUUUUUUAUUAUACUAAUAAUGAAGCCUAGAAAAAAAAAAUUUCGAGGAAGAAUGGGGGAAUUUUGUUCCUUUGUUUUCAAGACUACUAUGUGUAUUGAGUUUCUUACUUCACAUAGUACCUUUCUCUGUACAUUCUAUACUUCUGCUAAUGACAGGAUUUAUAUAGUCGAAUCUUGUAUAUAUUUUAUGCUCUUAUUUUUUUUUAGAUUAAUAGACAUUUAAUUCUUUUUUGAUCUUUGACUAGAUGUAUAGUUUUAUUAUUUUUGUAGUACGACAAACGAUUUGUGUACAUUCUACACUUUUAUCAUUGACUAAAUAUAUGCACGUUAAACCCUUCUUUGACCUUUUACUAGAUAUACUAAUAUAAUUAAUGGUAAUUUUUCAUUCAAGUAUCAAAAGGCUAAAAUAUAAUGUUGUUGUACUAUAAUUAAUGGUUAUUUUCCAUUCAAUACCAAAAAGCUCUUUAUAUUUUAUUACUGAUAUUUUUUCUUUUAGUACUAAAAAGCUCUUUUCAUUUCCAUAAGUAUUUUGUGUGAAAAACUCUUUUUCCAAGAGAGUAAAAAUUAUGAUCUUUCUCUGUAUAUGAUUAUUCUAAAACUCUUCACUAUGAUCGAGGUCAAACUCCAAAUAAGUUUCUAAUUGUCCUUUGUAACACCUUAAGAAUUGUUUCCUAUAGUUUUGCUCUAUUCUCUUAAUAUUCAAUAGCGCUACAUUAUAAAUGAAUUCCUAAACAUAAACAAGACAACACCUGUAAAAAUCUAAAUGUAGUAUCAAUCAAGAUCUUAUCUUCAAACUUCUCCAAAUAAAAAAUUAGGCAUCAAAAACUAAAAUACCCCUACAUAACCAAACUACAAUAAUCAGACUUCACUGUAAUAAUCUUGUUUGUUUCAGCAAUAAUGAUUGGUUGUUUUACACCUAUAACAAUAAUGAUUGGUUGUUUUACACCUAUAAUAAUAUUAGUCCAGUUAAAUAAUAUAAUUUGACUGUUAUAGCAAAAAUUAUUCAAAAAGAUAUUAAAUUAUAUAAUUCAAAAUAUCAUAGAUAUGUUGUUCUACUAAUUAAAAUUUAAUAUAAUUUCAAUAAACUAACUAAAUAAAUAAACUUAUGUAGAUUUGUUCCCUAAUAGUCGUGUUAAAUUUCAUUUAAAUUUAAAUUCUUUCAAAAUAGAAAAUUUCUAUGUAGAAAACUUUAAUUAAGUGUUUAUACAUAAAUUUUAAAUAAUAAUGCUAACUUCAUCACACUUUGUAUACAAAGAAAAAUCUUGAUUGAUCUCAAUUGAACUAAACUUUCAACUUCAAAAUAUACAUUUAAACAUCUUAAUUUGGUUUAAGUUGACUUCAUUAUCCUAGAAAAUGCACAUCUGGAAUUGACCCUCUUAAAUGAGUAUGUAGAUGUGCAUUUUAGAAAUUAUUCGUAAACACACUUAUAUUAAAUUGAAGUAUCUUGAUGAUCAGUGGCACAACUAUAGUCUGAAGAACACCUUUCUUUCGAAAAUUACAUUAUAUAUCCGUCAAAUCUUACUUUAUAUUGAUAUAUAUAAAAUAUCUUAAACACUAGCAAAACAAAUGGAUACCUACAACACAAUGAUAUAUAUAUAUAUAUAUAUAUAUAUAUAUAUAUAUAUACAUAUAUGAGACUUGCUAGCUAUCAGAUUCAAUUGAUUGAUUGUUGUAAAUUUUUUUAAAUGCCUAAAUUUGACGUGAACUAAUUGAGCAUAAGCUUGGUGACAAUUGAAUGUAAAAGUAUACAAGGGAUGUAAGAUUGAAUCUAGAGUUACUUUUUUAUUUAGUUUUAUUAUUCAAUAUUUGACAUCCUUCAUUACAUUUCUUAUUAUGUCACUAUGAAUGUCUAGACACAUCUAUUAUUAGUUAAGAUUAAAUAUACCACUUGCUUGUUGUUAUGCAUGGCAAUCAGAAAAGGAAAUUAUCACAGACAUUGGCAGUUGGCUUAUGAAAAAACUUUAUAAAACAGAAACAGAUCAAUCAGAAAAUUAAUUGAUUUUUUUUUAUAGAAAAAACAUUCUUAUAAAUGCAAAGGAUUCAAGCAUAAAAUCAUACAUAUCAGAAAAUAACAUAAUAAACGUACUUUUAUUUCUACAUUACAUAUGAUUAAUUCAUAAAAUAAAGUUGGUGUACAUUUAGUGUAAUUUUCUUUUUAUGAAAAAAGACAAAUUAUUGAAAUAUACAUGAGAAAAACUAAAUACAAAACUGUUGAUUAAAUACAAAACUGUUGAUGUUAUGUCCGUCCUUUAUUUGUUCGCUUAUAUAAAAAAGUAAAUACAUGUCAUAAGAUUAACUUUAAAAAUGUUGGGUUUAUGAUCCAAAAUUAAAGGUGUUCAAUAGAGAAUUGACACACCUAAUUAAUGAUUUUGUUAUUCACCUUGUACCAUAAAAAUAAUAUAGUAGUUUUGCUUUUUUAAAGGAGAAAAGUCAUAAAGUGACAUCUGAACUUGUUCCGGAUUUUUAAAAAGACAUCUUAAUUAUACAGAUGUCCUAUUACCCCCCCUAAACUAUUCCGAACUUAUAUUAUUACAUCAUUAUUGGAUCAAUUCUAAUCAUUGUGUGACACAUGUUAAUUCAAUUUGAAAUAUUAUUUUUUUAAUUUUAAGUUUUUCUUUAUUUUAUUAUCUUACUUUUUGACUUAUUUUAGUUUUAUUAUUUUUAUUUUAAUAUCAUUUCAACUUUUUUAUUGAUCUUCCGUCCCAACUAUCAAACUUUCUCCAUUUUCUUUCUCUUUUCUUCUUCUUAUCUGGUCAAAUUUAUUACUUUCCAAAAUUUUACUAUUUUUUAGACUUUGUUGAGUUAUUGAUAACAAAACUAAUUAUAUUUCUAAGAAAGAUAAAAAAUUUGAAGGUAUCAUCAUUUAAUUUAUCUCAUUUCCAUAUAAAUUCAAAACUAGAAAUGAUAAUUUUGAAAGCAUAAGGAUUCUCCGAAAAUUGAAUAAUUUUAAUUAGAAUUUGGAUUAAAAACUAAAUAAUGUCUACUAAUCAUCUUGAAAUCUAAUGGGUUUAUCACAUUUUUCGAAAUGUAUUAAAAUAUCUAGAUGUAAUUUUAAAAUUAAAUAGAGUUAAACUAAUAGUAGAAUAAAAGAGAGAUGGAGUUGUGGUCAAAAUUGACAUUGAAAGUUAAAAGUCAAUGAAGAUGACAAUGAAUUAUUAAAGAAGAAGGAAGAAAGAAAAAGAAAACAAUAACAAGGAGAAAAAUUUAAAAUAAUUAAAAAAAAUAAAAAAUAAAUUAUAUAGUAAAAUUCUUGUAAAAACAAAAUUAUACAUUUUUUGUUUGUUCACGCUCUUUAAGAGAGUGUAUUCAUUCUCCAUGCCAGGUGGACAAAAAAUGGAAUAACAUCAGUUCAGGAUUGUUUGAGAGGGUAAUAGGACACUUGCAUAGUUUAGUUGUCUCAUUGAAAAUUCGGGAUAACUGCAGGUGUCACUUUAUGUCUUUUCUCUUUUUAAAUCUAUAAAGUAGCUAAAGACAUGUCAUUCACAAAGAAAUUUGUAGCUAAAAACAUGUCAUUCUGAAACAAUAUAUAUACUUUUUUUAAAAAAAUAUCAAGUGACAACUAAAUUUAAUCGAAUUUUCAAGAAGAUAUCUUAACUAUACGGGCGUUCUACUCAGGGGUGGAGCUACAGCCCGUGAAGGGUGGUCAACUGACCACCUUUUGUCGGAAAAUUAAAUCAUAUGCAUAGGCAAUAUACUUUGUGUUAUUUCGUUAUAUAAAUAUAUGCACACACUAAAUAUCAGUGGAGGUUGAUAGUCUAGUUGUAAGUGUGUUCAGUUCAGUGCAAAAUGUCUGCAGUUUGAUUCAUAGUGAGGCUAAUGUACAAUAACCAUUUUUAAGUUUAAAGAAAAAAAUGAGAAAUGAAUAUGCAAUUUUUUUUCAAACCCACUUACUAUUAAUAAAUAAAUUGCACACCCAGUACCUUAAAAAAUUUACUCUACCAAUUUCGAACACCCUUGACAAUCUUGAACUGAUAUCAUAACAUUAUCUUUUGUCCAUUUCACAUAAAGAUAUUGUGCACUCUCUUAAAGAGAGUGAGCAACCAUAUAUAACUAAUAUAAAUUAAUUUUCGGGUUAAAUAAAUUGUUAAUUCACCAUAAUUCUUUUAUAUACUUUAAAAAUUGUGAAAUGUUAUGGCUAUAAAAACAUUUUGGAACUAACAAAUUCAUAAUUUUUGUUUCAACAUCUAAAGUAGGAAUUCACAUUCAAAAUUUGAAAAUGAAGAUAAAAAUUGAGAUAGAAGGAAUAAUAUUUAUCGUUACAGACAUGCAUGAUGCAUAACUUAUGCAGCUAUUUAAUAUUUGCGUACACCAAGGCCAUGUGUAGAUAUAGGAUAGUCACUGCUAAAAUAAACUAAAUUUUCCAUGAAAAUUUGAAAAGGGUCAAAAGUAUUUAUGAACUAUGCGAACUAGAUUGUUUCUGUCUUCUGUUAUAUUUUAGGAUUAAAAAUACUCCGUCAUUAUUACAAGAGAUCACAAAUACCUCUCAAGAGUUAACACUCAAAACUUUUAAUGACGUGGCUAGCCAUAUGAACUUGUCCCUCCACUUAAGCUGCCAAUUAAGGGAGGGACAUUAAAAGACUAGUCUUUGUUCUUUUUAUAUUACUAUUUUCAUUCAUUUUUUAAUUGUCAUAGUUUUCUUUUACUACACUAGUUCACUUAUAAUUGUCAUGAUUUAUUUUUUAGAGUCAAAUUUUAGAAAUUUUGACUAUAUUUUAUGUGAAUUUUUCAUCAUUUUGGUAUGCAAAAAAAUUUCAAUUUAUAGUACCUUUGUUAUAGCUUUUUAAUAUUUAAAUUAUGUUUUAAAUAUCAAAUUAAUGUAAUCUAAUUUAACUUUGAAAUUAGUCAAAUUGACUGUCUAGAAGCGCAACAUGACAAAUAAAAAUAGACGGAGGGAGUAAUAACUUUGACUAAGAUUUUAUGAUGUACUUUUUCAUCAUAUUAUGUAAGAAAUUAGAAUAUAUAGUAUUUUCGUAUAGCUUUGGCACUUUUUUUUUAAAUAACGAAUUAAUGUAUUCUAGUUUAAUUUUAAAAAUUAGUAAAAUUACCUUUUGAUAAAUAUGACAUAACAAUUAAAAGUGGGCCCUGGAAGUAUAUUUUAAGGAGAGAAAUAAGUAAAAAUAUACUUUUUGUAGGUAAAAUUAUUAAAUAAUUUAAACAAAUAUCCUUUUUGUUUCUUACAACUUUGAUUUUUUUAAAAAAUCAUGUCAGAAAACAUAAAUUAAAAAUUAAUUAAAUAGGUUUGACAAUGCGUAGGUAAAAUAUUUAUAAAAAGGUGACUUUGAGGUUAUGAAAAAGAGUUGACUGACUUUCUAAGAAAAACUUCUAGCUGAGGGAUCUUGUGAGAUAUUAUCUUUUUAAUGUUAAUGAGUAUAUGUAUAUUUUUCAUUUUCUCUUUACUAAAUUUAGGGAUAAUUUUGGAGACCUCCUCAAGAUAUGAUUCAAUUACAGUGUACCUCUAAGGGCGAGGCUACCCAAGGGGCAACACUGUCAAGCUACACCCCUUCACCGAAAAAUUACAUUGUAUAUAUUUAUUUGACAUGACGUUUUACAAAGAACGAGAACUCAUUGACAAAAAUAGAAAUGGAGAAGAAAAAGUAUUCACACUCAUAUUACUGGUUGAAGCGACAUAAGCAGAAAAUAUAAGAAUGCUCUAAUUAUACAUCAGAACUUGCUUCCCGUUUGGUAUGCGAUAUGAUAUCAUGAUAUUGAAUUAUGAAAUGCUAUCAUGAUAUUUAAUCAUGAGAUGAAAUUGAAGUUUUAUUUGUGUUGGUGUGAAAUUUUAUAUUAAUAGAAAUAUAUAUUGUAUGUUACAUUAUAUAUCAUGUUAUGUCUAUUGAUGAACAUUACAGUUGUGCCUCUUUACUCUCAUCAAUUGUGGAAGAAAGUGAUUGUUAGUUUUUAGCAAAUUAUGUAACCACCAACUCUUCAUUUCAUCCAUUAUUCUAUAUUUGUGUCUUGUAACUUACGUUACAUUGGAGCCAUUCAUUUGGCAAAUUUAUGAUCCACUAUCUCCUAUUCAUUGCAAGAAAGAAUUCAUCACCUAUAAAUUUUGUAGUCUUAAUUUGUGUUUGGAUACAAGAAGAAACAAGAGAAGUACAAGAAAAUAUAGAGUGCGAAAGAUGAGUAGUAUAAUAUUGAGGUUUGUGUAGUGAAAGAGAGAUUUGAGACACACAAAGUGUUCUAAGUCUUUAACUAUAUUCACUAUACAAAAGAGAGUUUUAUUUGUUGAAGGAAUGUUUUCUUUUGUGGAGCUUUGGACUCUUCAACUAAUCUAGAGUUAUUUGAGUUAUACGCUCUUGUUGAGCUCUUGUAUCGAGGAAAAGUCAAGAGUUAUACUACUGGACCAUUGUAUAUUAAUCCACAGUGGGCUUGAAUCUCCUUAAAUAGAGCGAGAUAUUCGUAUUUCGGCCUAAAGAUUUGUUUGUACAUUUUUGUUAAUUUUAUGUCAACUGUAGUUUAUUGUAUGUGUUGUAUAUUACACCAACAAUUUUAAGGAGAUUCAUGUUUUGUUACUUUUGAAAAAAUAUGGAUAUGAAGAUAGGGAUCACAACAUCUGUCAUGCUCUGAGCUACCCCUGAUACGUGGACACGGAACCUAGGACCAUAAGUGAUCCCAAGAUAACCUUGCUGACAUUAUCAUGAGCAUACUAAAGAUAAUAAAAUUAAUGCGGAAGCUAAAUCAUAAUUUAAACUUAAAAGAUGGGGAGUACCCAUAUUUUAUAACUCAGAUAAAUGAAAUAUUGAUGAGUUUAAUACAAAGAAGUUACUAAUUCAACACUAAGCUGAAAGUAUCUAUGUCUAAAAUAAGCCUCUAAAUGACUAAGAAUAAUGGGACAUGCCCCUACUAAGCCUAGCGAAAAUUGAAACUAAAGGACUAAAUAAUGAAAAGUAACUCAUGACUAUUGUCCUCGGCGAAUCAGGACUCACCACUCAAUCUGCUGAACUAAAAAUAGGAAAUCGAUCUAAGCGUGAUAUUGAUGCAGCGAACCUGAACCUACAUCACGAGAAGAUGUAGCUCACAUAUGUGUUAGUACUUGGAAGGUAUGUCGAAUGUAGGAUAAAAUAAAGAUGAAAUAAAACAUAACUGAACAAGUACAAAAAAUAACAAGUAUAAUAAUAUGAACAUCAUAUCUAUUAACUGAAUGCAAUAACUAAUUUAUAACAUGCUGAAACAGAAAACUAAAUAUACUGAUAAAUGGUCAAUGCAAGAGAGUCUUAGUAAACUGUGGGACCUACUAAUAACCGAUAAUAAAGUAACAUGAUCUAAAUGUGGAGUCCGAUAUAUACACCCCAUCGAGAGGACCCCAUAUACCCUGUCAGAAGAAUAAAGACAUGCUGACGUGAUCACUAAACUAAUUUCCCAUAGAGGGGACUUACAACCUAAUUGGCUAGUAGUUCUCGGACUAAUUAGGUAUGCUGAACCAUAGUCCAGCUCGCUAUUUUUCUACUCCCAAUAAGUUAUAUUUACCUGAUUAUGACUAAGAUCCUAUAAAUACUGGAUAUCUCAAAAUGUAUUAUGCAAACUGAGAAUGCAACGUUUAAUCUUAUAAUUAUGCAUUAAUAACUAAGGCAUGUAUAAUUGAAUAACUGAAAUAUUUGACCUAGCAUGUGUUAUUCAAGAAUUGAAGAAAUACAUAGCUAGGUUCUGAAAUUCAUGCGAUAAAUUGAACAAUAACUUUAUAAUCUUAUUUGGAACAAUUAUUUAAUAAAUUCAUCAAGUUCUAUCGAAGUUCUAGAAACCCUAGGUUUAAUCAUGAUAAUAGAAUCAAGAACUAACUGAAAACUAGAAACCCAAUGGGUGAAAGGAGACCACUAGUGAUAUCCCCCAUACCUGGUGAUGAAAUUCACAGAGAAAUAUUAAGAUUUUGGGGGCAGGAACUGUGGGAACCUUACUGACUUCUUCACUAGGGUUCAUGACCUUUUUCUCCUUUCUUGGUUCUAAUUUUCUAUGUUUUGAUUAAUGAUUUGACUUAGGUAAGUUUUAGUUAUGUUUCUAGGCUUAAACUGACUAAAAUCUUAUGAUUUAGGAUCACAACGACGUAUCUUGGGGUUUAAGUGAAGUGGGAGAUGACCAAAAGACCCUUGAGUUAAUUUUUGUCGAACCAAACGACGACCUGGAUAGACGGUCCAUCGUUCCAUCGAUGGUCAAUCAUUUGAGUCUAUUCGACAGUCCUUUACUAAAACGGGCAUAACUUUUUACUCAGAGGAUUGAUCUUAGACAAGUUGGUGGCUAUGGAAAGUUGAUUACAUUAUCGAUCUGUGGAUAUUCCAUAGGACACCUAAUUAAUUUUGUGUUAAGAGUUAUGAUCAAUUGAAGUUGACCCAACUAUAUUCCCCCCUAAACUGUCUGCUAAUUUCCAUCUAUGGUAAAACCUACAGACCAUAGAUUGAAUGAUAGCACGUGAUGUUGAACCAUGGUUCAUAUCAGAGAGUGGGUGAAUGGGAUGUCGACGACCGUCACAGACUACAGACAAAAUUAUGACCAACGGACCGUAGGUCCGUCCAUCAAUCAGGACUUAACAAAUUUUCCUGGGCUGAGAUAUUUGGGGUUUCUGACCAUAUUAACGGAUGUGCAGGAUGGACUGUUGGUCAGGAUAGGGGUCUGUCGAUGUCCACCGUUUGUUGCACCUGUAGAUUUUUCUUAAAGAUUGUUUUUGGUGUGUUUUGGAUAUUCGGUGUUACAUUAUCUCCCCGUUGGGACCAUUCUUCCUAGAAUGAAGACUAAACUAGCUGGAUUAGAGGGAGAGAGCUGCAAUCCCUACUACUAAACAUAGAAAACUGAGUUUCUAAAUCAAUUGAUUUCCGAGAACAAUCAAAUACGCUAAAAAUGCAAGCAAAACUGAGGGAACAUGAUUCUAAGACUAAAUUCACGCAUGAAUGACUGGAAAAUUCAAGAGGAACUAUUACCUCAAGCUGGAGUGGAAUCGGUAGGAAAAAAUUAAGGAUAUUUGGCUUCAUGGACGCUUUUGCUUCUUAAGUAUCUCCCUCUACAGACAGAAUCUUACACAAAACCUUCACUGAAAAACUUCUUUAUUUCUCAACCUUCUAACUUGACGGUAAAGAAUCUCAACUGGUACAUCCUCAUAAGAAAGAAUAUCUCUCACCACCACGCUCUAUAAUGGAACUACAGAGGUUGUAUUACCCAAACAUUUCUUCAAGAGUUAGAUAUGGAAGACCGGAUGCACUGCUGCUAAUUCUGCUGGCAACUCUAACUCAUACGCCACCUUGUCAAUCCUUUUCAAGAUCUUGUAAGGGCCUACAUACCUAGGACUGAGCUUCCCUUUCUUGCCAAACCUCAUCACCCCUUUCAUAGGUGAGACAUUAAAAAAAACAAUCAUCAACUUGGAACUCUAGUUCCCUCCUACUUACAUAUGCGUAAUAUUUCUGAAGACUCUAGGUUGUCCUAAUCCUAUCUCUAAUGAGCUGGACUUUCUCCAUAUCAUAAACACAUGAAUCUGGACCUUGCAAAGAUAUUUUACCUACUUCAAGCCAACCACCAUGAGAUCUACAUCUACGCACAUACGAAGCCUCACAAGGGGCCACCUAAAUGCUGGAAUGGUAGCUAUAGUUGUAGGAAAACUCAAUAAAAGAAAGGUGAUCAUCCCAAAUACCUUUGAAAUGUAUCAUAUAUGCUAUCAACCUAUACUAUAGGGUGUGAAUGGUACGCUUUGUCUGUCCAUUUGUCUGUUGAUGGAAUGUUGUACCAAGGUUAACCUGAGUAACAAGACUUUUCUGAAAUGACUUCUAGAAAUGAGAGGUAAAAAGAGGACCUCUAUAUGAGAUGAUAAAUAAAGGAAUACCGUGCAACCUCACAAUUUCGUUAAUGUAAACCUUGGAAUAGUCCUCUGUCGAAUCUGUAGUCUUAACCGCUAAGAAGCGAGAAUACAUAGUAAUUUUGUCAACUAUAACUCAAAUGGAGACAUGUUGUCUGCGAGUACGAGGUAACCCUUUGAUGAAACCCAUAUUAAUAACUUCCCACUUCCAAGUAGGAAUAUCACUCUGUUGAGUCAUACCUCCUGGUUUCUGAUGUUCUACCUUGACUUGGUGGCAAUUGGGGCACUUAUUCAGAAAGUCUUUUAUAUCAAUCUUCAUACCAUUCAACCAAUAGACUUCCCGCAGAUCAUUGUAGAACUUAGUGGCAGCUGGAAGAAUAGAAUACCUUGAGUUAUGGGCUUCUGCAAGAAUGUACUAUCUUAACUCGCCCAUAAAAAGAAAACACAAUCUACUUUGGUAGCGAAGUACACCAUCUCCCCAUUGAGAGAAAACCUUCGCUUUCUGAUUGUGUACUUCACCCUUAUGUUCGAGCAAGAUUGCAUCACUGUCUUGCUUUUCCUUAACCUCCACUACCAAAGAAGAUUCUACCUUAUUCUGAACUAUUACACCAUUGUCUGAUAUGCUCUUAAGGCGAAAAUCGAAGCGAGCAAGCCUAUGAACAUCCUUCGCUAGCUUCUUCCUUUCUUCCUCAACAUGGGCUAGACUACCCAUAGAUAAUAUGCUAAGAGCAUCUGCUACUACAUUCGUCUUACCAGGAAGAUAAUACACACUUAUAACAUAAAACUUAAGGAACUCAAGCCAUCUCCUCUAGCGAUUAUUCAACUCUUUCUGGGUGAACACAUAAUGAAGGCUCUUAUGGUCAAACACAUCUACUUUAAGUUCUAUCGAAGUUAUUGAAAUCCUAAGUUUAAUCAUGAUAAUAGAACAAAGAACUGAUAGAAAAUUAGGGACCUAAUGGGUGAAAGAAAUUCACUAGUGAGAUCCCACAUACCAGGUGAUGAAAUUCACGAAGAAAUAUUCAGAUUUCGGGGCUACAACUGCUACAACCUUGUUGAGUUAUUGACUAGGGUUCUUCGCCUUUUGCCCUUUCAUUCUUCUAAUUUUCUAACCUUUUGAUUAAUUAUUUGACUUAGGUGAGUCUUAGUUAUGUUUCUAGGCUUAAAGUGACUAAAAUCUUAUGAUUAAGGAUCAAAACGACAUAUCUUGAGGUUUAAACAAAGUGGCAAAAGACCAAAAGACCCCUGAGUUAAAUGUUGUCUGACCAAACAAUGACCUAGACAAACAGUCCCUCGUCUGGGUCUGUUCGACAAGCCUAUAGUAAAAUGGGAAUAAUUUUUUUACGUGAAGGUCUUAUUUUAGCAAGGUAGGUGGCUACGGAAAGAUAAUUCAAUUUUCUAUCUGUGGGUAUCUCAUGGGACACCUAAUUAAUUUUUUUCUAAGAGUUAUGAUAGAUUAAAAUUGACCCAACUGUAUUUCCCCCUAAAAUGUCCGCUAAUUUCCAUCUACAGUCAGACCUGCGGACCGUAGAUAGAAUGACAGUUCCUGCUGGACUAUCGUGGUUUGUAUUAGAGAGUGGGUGAAUGUGUUGUCGAUCGUCGGUCACAUACUAUGGACUCUAGUCUGACUUACGGACCGUAGGUCCGCCCGUCGAUCAGGACUUAACAUAAUUUUCCUGUGCAGAGAUUUUUGGUGUUUUUGACCCCAUUGACGGAGGUACAGGACGAACCGUUGUUCAGGCUACGGUCCUUUGAUAGCUACCAUUAGCUGCACCUACAGAUAUUUUUGAAAAGCUUGUUUUUUGUGUGUUUUUGGUACGGGGUGUUACAUCAUUUUUCUGCUCAAAAAUCACUCUCUUCAAGAGAUAGAAGAGAAGACGUGUAUGGUAAGUAUUUUUCUACUUGAUCAAAAGUGGAGAAAAGGUAAAGAAAAAAAUUUACCUUGUACUUUCAGGAAUAAAUUGAAUCUACUUUUAAUGAAAAAAAAUGAUGUUUGAAUUCUUGAAAUAGUACGGGUUCAUGAAAUUAAAAAAAUCAUUGUGAAAUUCUGAUUUUUGCAUCUUAAAAAAAAAGCUCCAAAAGAGUGCUACAAGUACAUAUAAAUUAAUUGUGGGAUAAAAGACAUGUUAUUAUUUCGCAAUAAUGUGAUGAUUUUUAGAUCUAACAUGACACUUUUAAAUAAAUUAUGAAAGCCAUUUUAUGUAGUUAAUUAACAUAAAAUGUUAUGUUGAGAUAAAUUUCAUUCUUCAAAUGAAAAAAGAACCAUAAAACAUGCGAUGCAAUUUUCCUUGUCAAGUCACAUAAUAUGGAAAUAAUUAUGAAAUGAAAUUUUGUUUGUUGAGUUAGUCUUGCAACUCCUUUUUGAUUCGAUUGUUUAAGAAUGUUGUGAUAAAUAAAAAUAAAUGGAGUUUGCUAGUCUAAUAAAAAUAUUAGUUGUGACUAACAACUUGUCUUGAUAUUGUGUUUGCUGUACAAGUACUUUGAAGUUAGUAGCAAAUUAUAUGAAAAAAAUUUUGGUGUUAUUUAGUGGGAUGAUAAAAGGAAAUUACUUUUUUCCAUCUCUUUUAUGAAGGUUGAAGAAAAAACAAUAAAUAAAUUAAACUUCAACUAGUGAAAAAAUGAUCUGAAACACUUUAUUUUGAGAAAAUAUUUUUUUCUAAUUUUGAUCAAAGGUGAAAGCACCAAUAUAGUUGUUGAUUACAAAAUCGUUAUUAUAACGAUAAGUUUAGACUCAUGAGGAGAAAAACAUAAUACUGUUAGAUCAUAUUAAACGUUGGUAUACGAUGAAUGUUUAUUGUGUUAAAACUUGUGAUAAUCUUGCAGAUUCAUGAACCAAGGCCUUAGAAAGAUAAAGAGAUUGAAACACAUGGACCUGGAUGAAAGUUGAAGCUCAUAAAUUCUUAGUCAUAUAUGAGAAAAUCGAACUUGGGAACUACAGAUCUUAUAACCAGGUUCAAUGAGAAGAACAAAUCAUAUGAUUACUUUUUUGUGACAUGGACUACUGUUAAUUUAAACUCUUAAUGAAUGUUUGUAUCUCGUAUGAGUUGGGUGUAAAAUUAUAGGAGCACCCUUGACAUAUUUCACCUAUGUGGAUAUUAAAGCAGGUCACUUUCUAUGAGAAGGGGCUUAUUCUCAAAAACACUCAUGCAACAGCAAUAAGACAAGGUCGUUACAUGUUAGCUAUUAAAGGUGAAGUCAACACAUUCAUUAUUGUGUGUAAGCUGCAAUUUUUUAUUUCCGUUAAGCAUUCAUAGUUCAAAUCUGACUAAAGGUUCAAAGAUGAGCAUACCUUCAUUAUGCAAAAUAGUCUACCUUCAACAAAGUUGUGAAUAACUCUCUUAUCUUAAUACUAAAAUAAGUGUCGGAUUUUUGGUGUGAUAUUUUAAUAUUAAUUAAAAGAUAUAUUAUAUGUCACAUUAUACAUCAUGUUAUGCCUAUUGAUAGACAUUACGUUUGUGCCUCUUUACUCUCAUCAAUUGUCGAAAGAAAUUGAUAGUUAGUUUAUAGUAACUUAUAUAACCACCAACUCUUCAUUUCAUCCAUUAUUCUAUAUUUAUGACUUGUAACUUAUGUAACAUUUGAGUCAUUAUUAGGCAAAUUUAUCAUCCAUUAUCUCCUAUUCAUUGCAAGGAGGAAUUAUCACCUUUAAAAAGUGUAGUCUUCAUUUGUAUUGAGAUACAAAAAGAAACAACAGAAAUACAAGAAAAUAUAGAGUGAAAAAGAUGAGUAGUAUUAUAUUGAGGUUUGUGUAGCGAAUGAGAGAGUUGAGACAUACAAAAUGUUCUAAGUAUUCAAUAAUAUUCACUUUACAAAAGAGAGUAUUAUAUGUAGAAGGAAGAUGUUCUUUUGUGGAGCUUUGGACUCUUCAACUAAUCUAGAGUUGUUUGAGUUAUACAUUGUUGUUGGGUUGUUGUAUCUUAGAGGGGGAAAAUCAAGAGUUAUAUUGCUGGACCACUGUAUAUUAUGCCGCAGUGGGAUCGAAUCUCCUUAAAGAGAGCGAUAUAUCUGUUCCUCAGCCUAAAGAUUAGCUUAUACAUUUUGGUUCGUUUUAUUUCAACUUUAAUUUAUUUUAUUUGAGGUAUAUUACACUAUAAGUUUGGAUAUGCGAUAUAAAAUUUUGGUGUUGUAUAUUUUCUUAUAAACAUAAAAAUCUCAUUGAUUCUAAAAGUAUUAAAAUAACCCCAAUUAUUUAUUCGAUAUUAUCAAAUAAACAAAAAAUUAUAAAAUCUCAUAAUAAUUUUGUAGUGACCCUCAAAGUGAAAUAGGUCAAACUAGAGCUUCGCAUGUGUUUCAUGAGUUCAUAAUAUAUUAAAAUAAUAAAUUUUAGCAUUAGAGGGAAUGAGGUCAGUUUGAUAAGUUUUGAAGUCAAACAUCAAGGGACGAUCAAGAUGUUCGACGACUAGACGUCUAUGUUAUUGUGUGUGUAUAUGUGUGUUUAUGCAUGUUUUAUGUAUUUUUUGGGGUUCUAUUUGAUUGGAGAGAACCUAAGACCUAGAUGAGAAUUCAUAGGGUUUGACGUCCAGGUACAACUCCCCAAGGGAGACCCUAUGUGUCAUUGAGGAAGACCCAAGACUUUCCAAGAAAGCUGUUAAGCACUACUCAAAUGGCGACAGUAGUUGAAAGGCAAAAUUGAAUGACGCCCCAUUGUUUGGGGGCAUAGAUCCAUACUUAGUUAUGGGAUCUAAGCCCCAAAGAAAUGACUCUCUGACUUAAAUGACGCCCAUCAGGAUGGGUCCUUGUUAUGAAACAGAGUGAUGAUGUGGAGGAAAGCAAGAGUAAUGAAGCGGAGAACAACGAGGCUAAAUCGGAAGAUAAUUUUUUUUAGCCUAGAAGGAGCAAACGUGUGACAAUACCAUCUAAAAGAUUUAUUGACUUUGUCUAACAAAAUGUGGGGAGUAAAGUUUGCGCUAAAUAUGCGUCAAGUGGAAUAGCAUGUGUCGGAUAUAAAUCUAUUAUCUCUAGGCGAAGUUAGUUUAGACUAUCAUUGUUGCAUCGUAUCCCUAAUUCUUAUCCCUAUUUUCUUCUGUAAUUCUCUUCUCAUCUCUUCUUUGUUUCUUUUUCUUUCCUUGCAGUUCUCUGAAAUCUUAUUCAUUGUAAUUUCUUCAGUAAUUAAUAGAACGAUUAGUUUUUUGUUAUUGCGUUUGUUUCAAUCUUCAUUCUAACGACACCUAUUAGAUGGGUCCGUUAUUUGGAAGCCUACAAAAGUUGUUUGUGAUUCAUCCAUGAUUGGGGUAUUCUAGUUAAUUCAUCCCAAGACUUUUAAAAGAUAUUGACGGUUUUUUAGGGGUAUUUAGGUAUUUUAAGUUUGUUUGUACUCCUAGAACCUAAGUUUGUCUUCACUUUUGAAAAUCAAAACCUCCCACCCAAGAAAAACUCUCCCAAAACCCCAUUGAAGCUUGAACUCAAGGUAGAACUUGGAUUGAAGGUUUUGGGUGAUUUCUUCACCAAAUCUCAUGGGUUACUUCAUAGAAGGUAUGAUAGUUGAUCCUUGAUUCUUCUCUCAUGCAAGGAGCCAAUCCAAAGAAUUUUCAAAAAGGGUUUCAAAUUCCUAAAUUCUUCUAUUUUGAAUUUAAGUAUGGGUUCUUGCAUAAAAAUGUUUUAAUGAAAGAAAUAUGAAAUUUUUCAAUGUUAGUUAAUGAUUUUACUGUCAAAAACCCAAUAAACCCAUGAAUAUGCAAAUCCUCAAAUUUUAAAUUAUGAAGUGUAUUUAAUGUAUAUGACUAGAUUAUUCUAGAGAAGUGUUUCUUAUAUCAUAUUGUGAAUUACCUACUACCUUUGUGCUUUAUUAUGAUGAUUUUUUUGGAGAAUUGAGAAAAGGUGGCCUCGUCGACAUUACUUAAUGAAUUUUGAAACAAUGUGGCCUCGUUGACCUUAAUUUUUGUAUUAUGAUUUUAUCAUGUUAUAACUUGAUUAUGUGAGUGUUAUGAAGGUUAUGAUGAUUUAAGUGUAUAUGUGAAGUCUAAGCAGGAGUUCUCCUAGUUGAUUUAUGUGUGUCUAGGGGACCUCUUUGGUAAGGUGUUAUGAUUUUGUGGUGAACUAGAUAAAGAACCUCUUCAUAUACUUCUUUUUGUGAACUACACUAUUAGAACAAAUGCUAUCACCAAGUGAGUAUGUCUUGGACAGUCACUCUAAAUAAGAUGACAUUAGAGGACAAAGAAACCCUUCAUAUUCCUUAACCAUGAUCCUUCAUGGGUUGUGUCCUAGUUUUAUCCUUGCGUAGUAGAACACCCUUUAUCAAAGUAGGAUUGACUCUGGAUUCCAUGCUUAGAUAGCAGUGUCUAUGUAAUUUAUUGCUCUUUUCUCGUUAUGUGGGAUAAAUGCUAGUAUUGGAUAAGUUCUAUUAAGUUUAGGUAGUAGAAUUGGAGAUUAUCUAGACAUUGCACGAUUAGGCUUUGAAGAUGUUAUUAUGUGACUCCUUAGGUCUUCUCCAACACCAUCAUGUGACUGUGCUUAUGUGUUUUGAUGUAUUCUUGAUGUUAUCUCGUGAUACCUGAGUUUUUUGUGAAGUUACUCUAAAGUCAAUGUAAGGUGCUAUAAAUUGAGUAUGUUUUAGAAUGUGUAUUAAAUGUGAUGUUUGGUGUUUAAAUGUUGUCGUUAUGCUUAUAUAUGAAGUCUUAAUAUAAAAGUGCAUAUUGUGAUACAAAUGUUCCUUUAUCAUGAUUUUAUGCAUUAUGCUAUAUUAGUGCAUGCAUUGUAAUUUUGGAAUUGGUCCAUAUUUCCCUCAAUUUCCCCAAAAAAUCUCCUCUAUUUAAGCCCUUGUCUGACCUUUGUUUCUUUUUUUGGAAAAAAGUUUAAGGGAAAAAGGGGCCAAAAUAUUUUUGGGAGAACAGAAAAAAAAGGUUGGAAGAAUGUUUUUGAGAAGAGGCGAUAAAAGCAACGAUUAAGCUUUCUUUCAUUUAAUACUAAGUAAAAAGCUUGAAAAAUAGAUAAAACAUAUGUUUAAAGAAUAUAAAAAUAGCGAGAAAAAAAAUAGAAUGAAAUGUAAAAUACUAUAUAAUUAAACUAGCUAGUAAAAUAUUUAAAUAAAGUAAAAUAUUUUGAGAUGAUUUUCGAGUAAAAAUAAAAUAUACUAAUGAUAUAUAUAAUUAUGUAAAUCGUAUAUAUUAUCUUCAAAUUAUAAAAGUGAUGGGGUUAGUCUAAAAUAACCUACAAACAUUUUAAACUUUAUAAAAUAUAAUUAUUUCAAUUUGUUUAGAAUUAAGAAACUCAAUGACUAAUUCAUGUUAUGGAGGUGCAAAAUUGGGUGUCAACAAGUUGUAUUGUGAAGUUGCCAAUUUGUGUCUUAAAGAAGCGCUGUCUAACUGAGGUAUAAUAUGAAUGUGAAGCAUGAUUUAGUGUGAAUUAUGAUUAUUGUAGCAUGAUUAUGUGUAGAAGUCAAAGUUAUGAAUAUGGUGGUUAUGUGAAUAGUGUUCUCACAUAUACUCUCACACACACUUAGAAUGAGUGAAUGAAGUUAAUUAAUGAAAAUGGGGGAUUCUAGGGUAGACAUCAUUCAAGAGUAGAGAUGAAGUGUCGAAAACCAACCAUUCUAUUCCUAAGAACUCUACUGAAUGAAGAAGGAGGAUUUUGGGGUGGACACUCUUCGUGAGUUGAGAUGAAGUGUUCAGUAGCAACCUCCCUAUUCUAAAGAGUUUUCUGAAGAAAUAUUGGACGUUGGAUACUCUUCAUGUCUUGAAAUGUAAUAUUAGUAACCUCUAGAGAUUAGUAUAUUUCGUGAGGUGCGAUGUAAUUUUAUGUAAUCCCUUGAACUAUAGCUAAUGAAUGUAAUGAAUGUAUAAAACUCUGUGGGACCUUAUGCUUAGCAUCGAGAGGAUUUGAAGAAGGAGUGGAUCCUCCUAGUGAGUAGAGAUGUUGUAUCCAAUGUACCAUCUGAAAGAGUACUCUUCGUGAGUUGAAAUAAAUCAUUUAUAAGCAAUCUCCUUAUCCCCUUACUUUGGGUGCACAUAGGUUUAGCAUUUGAAGAUCCAUGUAAAGGUUAAGAGAAUGACCCUAACUAAGGCAAGAGGGAUCUUUCAUAGGUAGGGGUUAAUACCGUGAUUCCAUGCCUAGCUCUCAUUGUUAAUGUUGGUUAAAUCUAGCCCACACAAACGAAUGUAAAUGAACUAAGUCUUCUUAAGGGUGUACUACUUAGGGUAGGUGGUGGAAUGGGAUGCUAUCUAUCCAUUGCACAAGUAGACAUUUUGAAUAAGUCUUGAUGUGUCCUUAUAUGAAAAUGUAUGAUGGGUUACUAUAUGAUGUUAAUGAAGUAAGUUGACUUUAUGUCUAAUGUUAUUGAAGCAUAUUGAUAUUAUGUCUAAUAUUUAUGAAGUUAUGUAAAUGAUAAAUGUGAUGUGUCUAGUCUAGGGUGUUCCUAAUGGGCAUUAAGUGUAAUUAUUAAUAUGGGGUGCUACUUUCACAUUGCACAAAGUGUAACUUGGGGGUUUUCUUGGAGGAUUGUCUUCAUGUGAAGCUCUUGAAUGUAUGUGUGUUUCCUCUAGUACCUUAAGCAAUAGAUGUUGACUUGUAAAUGAAAUGAAGUAUGCUUAUAUAUAGUAGUCUUAAAGAUCACUAAGGUGGGUAUUGAAGUGGUUGUAUGAGCGGUCUCUUUAUGUAUUACCUAGGUGAGGCUUAACUAGGAAUUAGAGUUUAUAAUUUCUUAAGUUACAUAGGUUUGUAAUUUUUUGUGAAUUAACUAUAUAAACUACUAAUAUAUCAUCGCAUUUGAAGAAUAACGCCAGGAUUAUAAUUUUAUAAAAUAAUGACUGGAUUCAAUUUUCGUACCUUUCCUUUGAUUUCUCAUAUUUAUAUGCGAAGUUAAUUCAACACUAAUUCCAUAUGUAAGGUAAUCUCGUAAGCUAGAUUUGAGAAGAAAAGUUGAUAUGUUUGGGUUUGUAUUAUAUGUAUCAAGAGAGGUGGAUGGUGAAUACUAAAAACUCGACGGUGUCCAUUGUAGAAGAAUUUUUCUAUGGACAAGAUAACCAAUUUAGGGUUUUUCCAUGGUCCAUUGGAUAUAAUCCUAAGGAGAAAAUGACAUUUGUUGUGGUUUUGAUUCUUUUUAUCGAACUUAUCUCUCCAGAUUUGUUUGCAAAGAAGUCUUUGUUAUGUAUAGAAUCGGCAUAUGGAAAUCUAACAGCCAUAGAUGAAGCUACUCAAAUCAAGCAAAGAUGCAGCACAACUAGGGUCAAGGUUAUUCUUGAUCUAGUGGAAAAGCUUCCAAAUCAUAUAAGAUUGUAGUUUGAGGAUAGAAAAUCCGGUAAGUAGAAUGAGGGAUCACUAGAUUAUACCCUCAAAUGCUUGGAUCACUCUUCUUCUUUAUCAACAUUUAAUAGAUAAAUAUAUAAUAAUAUUACUUGUGCCAUUUCAAAAUAACAAUUUAUGACUCGUGUGAUUUGUGUAUAAACUAUAUAAACUAUUAAUAUAUCAUCACAUUUGAAGAAUAACACAAAGAUUAUAAUAUUAUAAAAUAAUGAUUGGUUUAAAUUGCCAUACCUUUCCUUUGGUUUCUCACAUUUAUAUGCGAAGUUAAUCCACCAACAAUUGCAUAUCUAAGAUAAUCUCGUAAGCUAGAUUUGAGAAGAAAAAUUGAUAUGUUUGGGUUUGUCUUAUAUGUAUCGAGGGAGGUGGAUGGUGAACACUAGAAACUCAAAGGUUUCCAUUGUAGAAGAAUUUUUCCAUGGACAAGAUAAACAAUUUAGGGUUUUUCCAUGGUCCAUUGGAUAUAAUCCUAAGGAGAAAACGACAUUUGUUGUGGUUUUGAUUGUUUUUAUUGAACUUAUCUCUCCAGAUUUGUUUGCAAAGAAGUCUUUGUUGUGUAUAGAAUCGGCAUAUGGAAAUCCAACAGCCAUAGAUGAAGCUACUCAAAUCAAGCAAACAUCCAGCACAACUAGGGUCAAGGUUAUUCAUGAUCUAGUGGAAAAGCUUCCAAAUCAUAUAAGAUUGCAGUUUGAGGAUAGAAAAUCCGGUAAGUUGAAUGAGGGAUCACUAGAUUAUACCCUCAAAUGCUUGGAUCACUCUUCUUCUUUAUCAACAUUUAAUAGAUAAAUAUAUAAUAAUAUUACUUGUGCCAUUUCAGAGUAACAAUUUAUGACUCGUGUGAUUUGUGUAUAAACUAUAUAAACUAUUAAUAUAUCAUCACAUUUAAAGAAUAACACAAAGAUUAUAAUAUUAUAAAAUAAUGAUUGGUUUAAAUUGCCAUACCUUUCCUUUGGUUUCUCACAUUUAUAUGCGAAGUUAAUCCACCAACAAUUGCAUAUCUAAGAUAAUCUCGUAAGCUAGAUUUGAGAAGAAAAAUUGAUAUGUUUGGGUUUGUUUUAUAUGUAUCGAGGGAGGUGGAUGGCGAACACUAGAAACUCAAAGGUGUCCAUUGUAGAGAGUUUUCCAUGGACCGGAGAACCAAUGUAGAGUUUUUCCAUGGUCCAUUGGAUAUAAUCCUAAGGAGAAAACGAUGUUAGGUGCGGUUUUGAUUCUUUUUAUCGAACUUAUCUCUGUAGUUUUGUUUGCAGAGAAGUCCUUGUUGUCUAUCGCAUCGGCCGAUCGAAAACCAAAAGUUUUAGAUAAAGCUACUCAAGUAAACCAAGAUCAAGCAGAACUAGGGUCAAUGUUAUAGUUGAUCUAAUGGAAAAGCUUCCAAAUCAUUUAAGAUUGCAGUUUGAGGAUAGAAAAUAUGGUAAGUUGAAUGAGAUUUUUCAAGAGAUUUAUAUGAUAACCCACCUUUGUAUUAUAAUUAUAUUAAGCACCGAUAUCAUGAAAAAGAUAAUUGUCGUUUGAUGUGGAAAUAAAAUUAAAACAACAAACAAAUUGAUGAUACAAUUGAAUUUUUUUCAAAAGGUACUCUCAAUAGUUAAAAGUAUCAAUGUGAUGUGAGAGAAAUAUUAAAUGAAAAAAAAGGUUUAUCAAUAUUUGGUUGUUUCCACUUCUAAGCAAAAUCAUACACAGUCAAUAGAUGUUUUACGAGAAAUAUUGGUGUCCAAAAAACUGAACAUAAAGGGAAAACAUCAAUAGUUGUGGUUGAUGUUCCGCGAGUUGGUUUUGCCAAUAAUUAAUGAAGUAAGGAAGAAAACUAAUGGAGACAUCUGAUGUUGAAGAUGCUGAAAAUUCUGGGCAGUAUGUUUUGCAAGUUUAAACCAAUAUUGUAACUAAAAAUUGGACUCUGGUUGCACACAAAAAUUCAACUUGUCGCCGAAGUCUUUUCCUGACUUGUCAAAAUAAUUGUCCAUGUAGUGAAAAGGGUGUGACAGAAAAUUUUCAUGCAGUGGGAAGAGACAAGAUAUUAGUAAUGUCUCAAGAGACCUAUUAUGUUCAAAUAACAUAUAUGUUCUAUCGAACUACUAGAAAUUCAUCGUUUAAUGACCACAAAAAUAGUUAAAAUGUAGUAGAAAAUUGAGUUUUUCGACGACUUUCUGACUAUUUUUGGGUAGUCAGCAUAUUGAAUGCUAUAAAAUAUUUACCAACUACAGUAUUAAGACUUAGCCGAUUACGGUAGUCGGAAAAUAUAUUAAGCUACUACUGACCAUUAAACUAUCUAAAUGAGUGACUACAGUAGUCGCAAAAAUAUUAAAAUAAUAGUUUAUUAAUUUUAAAAAAUCCAAACUACAUUUGUCGUAGUAUUGAAGUACUGAAUUCUUUGAAUUAAUAUAUCUUGCGACAACCGUAAGUCGGCAUAUAUAACUUAUUUAUAAUCAUUAAGUAUUUUUCUGAGUAUUGAGGUCAGAAUAUAUCAAUAAUUUAUUAAAUAAUUAUUUAGGUACUCUCCGCUUGCUAUAGCAGAGAAUAUUAAUUUUUUGAAGAAGUUAGGUUGUUUUGCUAAUUACUGUGGUAAAAAAAUUGCAUUUUUAUAAAGAAAAAAUUGUUUAUUUCAUACACCAUCAGUUAAAUUAUACUACAAUUCAUUCGUGAAAAUUGAAAAAUAAAUCAAACAUCAAAUACAUUCCUAAUCAUUCAAAUUUCCAUUCAAUAUAAUUAAGUUUAAAAGUUCAAGCAUCACCUGAAGCAAGUCUAAUAAGUAUCAAUUUUUUAUACAAAACGAAAGUAAAGAGUUAAAGUAUACUAAUGCGUCUACAUGCAUCACCUUGGUUAUGACAACCUAUAUAAGAGAUAUUAAGAGUUAUAAUUGUCUAAGAGUGUUGUUAGAGGUUCUACAUUUUAAGUGCAUUGCUUGUUGGGUGUUUACUUUAUUAUUUUCUCAUGCGGGUUAGAUAAGUUUGAUUCUGCCUUAAUAAGUAGUCAAUAUCUAAAGUCAAAUUCUUAUAACUUAAACUCGUGAAAAGGUUGUAUUGUGAAAGGGAAUUUUAAUAAAAUCUAUCAUGAUUAUUCAUUAUGAGUAUGUGGUGGUUAGUUCAAUUCCACUUCAGUGGUAGCUGGUAUUGAUCAAAAUUUGAUUGUGGUUUUCCGGGAAAAAAAUCAUCAUGGUGAUUAUGUUAUACUUCAGAGUGUUUCUGUUUAGAUUGAGUUCAAUGGUUAUUCUGUGAAUUGAUAAAAGUUUUAUUCGGAAGUUUAGUUCUUUGUAGUAUAUCUUGAUUAAUGGUCUUAACGAAGAGCUCACAUGGAAAGACGGACAACGACUGGUAGGUCAUAACUGAGCUUUGAUAACGUUGUCUAUUCUUCCUUCUUCCAUAUGUUUGAGGACGAAUAUUGUUUUAGUGGUGGAUAAUGUAAUGACCCGAAAGGUCACUUUUGGAAACUAUUACUAAAUUACCGUUUAACCAUCCCUGUAGGUUCAUAGAGUCACUUUUUAUAAUACUAAAUAAACAUCUCUUUCUCCCUUUUGAGUUUAAGCUUCUAAGAAAAACAUUGAGAUCAUCUUAAAUCUAUUUAGACAUUUUUUGCUUUAGGUGAUGCACCAGAAAAAAUUUGAGAUUUCAAUUUAAAAUUAAUCUUGUAUCACGAAGUUCUUGAUAAAGAAACUAUCGAUCUAUUAGAACUCUCUCAAACACCGGGGAGUUGGCUAUUAAAAUCUUGAUAAACUGCACCUCAGACAUUCUUCAUAUAAAAUUUUCUUGCUUAACCUUCGUCGAGGUGAUCAAAUGUCGUGUCCGAUAAAUAUUUGAGUUCAAAUGAAUCUUCAGUAUCACUAUAUACCAUCUUCAUUGAAAACCUAAAAAAAAUAACACGAAGUCAACUCUCAGAUCAUUGAGAAACCAAAAAGGUAAGAAAAAUGAACCCUGUAAGAAGAAAAAGGGUUAAAGCACUACAUGCAUUCAUAUCAAAACAUUUCAAGUUUGGGUAGCUUCUUAUCAUGGAAAGAAUACACAAACACUUAUCUGAUUUCACUAACAAAAUGUUAGAUAGGUAAAAUCAUUUGAUACUAUCAGGAUUAAAGAGAAGCUUUGAUGGUGCUUCAUAUGCUUCUUCAACUUUGAAGAAGAAUAUGAAGCAUCAACAAGGUUUCCCAUUAAUCCUAACAAUUUAAAAGGAUUUUAUACCUAAUAUUUUGUUGGUAUAUUCAUAAAAACUUUCAUAUGCUCUUUUCUUGAUAAUAAGUUUCCUAUAUUUUUAAUAUCUCGAAAUGUAUUUGUAGUAUUUUGACUCUUUUUUCCUUAAUUAUUGUUUAUGUAUCGCUCAUAUGGGAUCCUCAAAAUCUGAGAGUCAACUUCUUGUUAUGUUUCUUCGAUUUUUAUGAAGAUGAGAGUGAUACUAAAAAAUCAUUUGAAUUUGAAAGUUUGUUGGAUAUGACAUUUUAUUUUUACCUUUUGUAUCAGACUAAAAAAUAAAAGAAAAUAAUGAUUUUAGAAAUUUAAGCCAAUCCACUUUAACAUCGGAAACCAGAAUCGAGUUUCACAAAAAUAUGAAAAAAAACAACUAUCUUCUUUGACCCUUUGGUGACUGUAAUCGAAAACCCAAUAAAAGAUCAAAAUUUUUAAAAUCAACCACAAAAUAUAAACCUUAAUAAAAAGCUAUAAAUACCUCAAACAAUACUGCGAAACUGAUAUCGUUUCAAACCCAAAAAGGUAAAAGAAAAUUGAAUGCAAGUCAUAACGAUUAACCAACGUAUACCUGAAAAUCACAUGAACAAUUCGAGAAUAAGAUUAUAAAGUUAAUGUGAAUAGGAAGCAUUGGGAUAGAUCAUUUAUACUAAUGGCGUUGAAGCAUUUUUGUUGCCUGUAAUACCACGUACAAAUUGGUGGGGGCUUUCAGAAAAGAAAAUCAACUACACAUUAGUGUACAUUAAACAUGUUUAUCAAAUUUUUCUGAAAUUCAUAGCAUGAGAAUAAAGACUGAGAGGAAAGGAAUACCUUCUGAUAGCCCUCUCAUAGUUACAUUCUAAAAACUUUUUUGUCCACAUCCCGAUUGAUAUGCAUUUGAGAAAGGAAUAAAAUCUACAAUGGUAAUGGAAUACUUUUUAAAAUACCUGUAGAUAUAAAGUAUAUACGAUAUUAAAUGAUUGCAACAAUAAGUGGUCAAAUCCUGGAAAAGUUCCCUUUUCAAGAAAAGGAAAACAAAGGCAAUGAGUUAUUUGACUUUGCUCUCCUUUUUUAAAGAAGAGGGAACUUCUCCCUUAUUAUUGCCCUUUUUUGGUACCAUAAAUUCAUUCAUACAUAUAUUUUGAGAAGUAUUUCAAUAUUAUUCUAGAGUUUAUUCGUCUCUAUGACGCACAUGAUUGCUAAGGUAUCACUCCAUGCUGCAAUUCCAAUAUUUCUUAUAUCUAUUAAAACAAACAUUUCUUAAGUGAUAAUUGAGCACCCUUGCUUCACACUGCACCAUUAAUAGUUAUGAGUAUAAGGAAAUAUAUUUACCUAUUACGGCAAGCUACUAAGGAAACAUUUUAAUAACAUAUUAAUUAGGGUUACUAAGGAAUUCAAAUGAUUAAAUUUUAAAAUGUCCUGUAGAAUCCUACUCUUUUUCCAUCUUGUGGAGUCUUAGGAUGAUAUCUAUGAGAAACUCAACAAAUGCUGAUAACUUAUUUUAAUAUGCAAAAACUGCACAGUUGUAGAAAGACCUAAAAAACAAAGCGGAAAUUGAGACGUCAUAACUAAGAAAAGCCAUAAAAGAGACGAAAAGACAAUGUAACAGCUCAUAUACCAAAUCUCAUAAAUAGGUGUGGACAACAUUGUGUUAACCGCAUAAUCGAAUGUUUUAAUAAUUAGAAAUGCAUAUACUUACUAGUCACUUGAUGUAGGAAAGGAACAAGAUACAUCACCGAAGCACAUACUCUAAACCCAGAUGAAUGCAGGAAUCAAGUGAAUCAUGAGAAAAUCUAAUCAAGAAAGGAAAGUGAAUAUUUGAUCAAUCACAUCAAAUUUCACAGUUUGCAAGAAUUAAAGAAGAUCCACAAGGAAAAUAUUUUACAACUUGCACAUAUUAAAGGAAGACACACAAGGAAAAUCUCUCUAGUUAAACAAGAUGGACAAGAUAAUUAAAUUAAGGUUCAAUAAAGAAAGAAAUAUCGGUAUUUAAAUCUGGAUACUAUAAAGGAUUUCAAAAAAAUUGAACACUGAUUAUCGAGAAUGAUCUUUAAAACAAAAAAAGUGAGUUAAAAGACUAAACAACACAACUUGAUGUAAUUAGUUAAACAUCACCUAAUUUAAAAAAGUUAAUCUAAAUUUAACCUCCAUUCUUGAGCAUUGAGAUCAAAACAAAGACAAGAUCUAAAACUAAGAAAGUUAUAUCUAAACACCUUUAUUUAGUGAACUAAAAUAUGUAUUCAUAAUCGCUAAAAAAAAACUAAACCCAGCACUUCACAUCAAAUGAGGCAGGAUUACCAGUGUUACUUGGUUUUGUGCAGCAACUGGAUCUCGAGCCUGGACUUGACAAAUUCCAACACCACUCUGACUCAAAAUAGUCGCGAAUAAACAAAAUUUCAGCGACCAAAAAUAAGUACUCCGAAAAACAUAGUGGGGUGUUCUUUUUCUCGCCUCCAAAAACUCCUCCCUUAAGAGUGAGAGUGAUGGAGUUUAUAUAGCACAACGUCUAGGUUGAAAUAAAGGGCAAAACAAUGUGGGACUCUGGAAAUUUUCAAAUCCCGAAUUGGGUAUUGGGUCUCUUAAUGUGAAAUGGAUUUAACAAAUUUGGUCCAAAAUUUUGGGUUAAAGGUUAUAUGAUGGUCCAAAUAUGGACUAUAUAAAAGUCCCUUAAGAGAGUUUCAAAACAAAAUGAGACGGAUUAUUAAGUCAAAUAAUUACUCAAGCUUCGUGACUUUACCAACAUAAAAAUAAUUAUCUCAAAAAGGAAGAUCUUAAUAAAAUUGCUAGUUUUAAAGAAAAUAAGUUGUGUACUUAAUUUAAACUCUAUUUUUGGUAAAAUGAUUUUCUAACUAUUUAUUCAAAUUGAAAAAUUAUAUAAAUCUAUAUAUUUUAAGUAUAAAUAUGUAUAAUCCAUAUGAAAAAAUGUCAAAAAGUGUUUGGAAGAUAAUAUUGAAAGUAUUUUUGAUUUUCAAAAACAAUUAUUUCCAAUUGUUUAAUAUUUGUGAAGCUUAAAAAUUUAUCGAAUCGUGGAGCGUUAAAAUUGGGUGUGAACUUGUAUUAUCACUAUAACAUAUAUUGAUGCUACUUCAAUAUAAAUCCUAAAUAAAUCAAACUCUCUAAUAGUUUCCUUCUAUUAUUCUUAAUUUACCCAUUAAAAAAUCAAGUUUUUCAUAAUUUUAGGAAAUGAAAAUGACAAAAAUGAACUCAUAUAUCCACCUAACAAUUAGACUACUGGUACAAUAUUUAGAAUUGUCUUAACAUGAUAUGACAAUAAUGUAAUAAAAUUAAUGUUUUAGGUAUAUCAUCUUCUUAGUGUUUCGCCCUUAUUUGAUUUUAGUUGCAGAAGAUUGAUUUGCAUAUAUUAAAACAUAAAACCAAAAAAAUGAAAAACAAAAAAAAUAUUGAUUUUAGAAAUUUUAAUCGGUCUACUUCAACAUCAGAAAUCGAGAACGAGCUUCAGAAAAAAACAAAGGAAAAGAAGUCAACCAUCUUCUUUUUACCCCUUUUGUCAUUGCAAUUCACAAACCCAAUGAAAGAUAGAAAACUUUGAAGUCUAAAAGAAGUAGAAAGUAGAAACUUGUCAUAUGAUAUUCCAAAUUCGAAGUAGAAGAGGAAGUUGAAACCAAGUAGAAGAAGGAGUUAGUGAUUAAUAAAGUUUCUUAUUCAGUUAAGGUAAACUGCGUGUAAGUAUUUCCUUCCUAAGACGAAUGCAAGGAGGAGCCCUAACGUGAGAAGGAGUUCGAGUCAAGUUUGAUUUAAAGAAGUUUCAUUAUAGCGGCGAAGACUAUGUUAAGUAUAAAAGACUUAGGAGAGUUUCAAAGUCUAUAAAUACCUCAAUUUUUUUGGGUUUUAAAUGUAUGAAUGGAAAAUGAAGAGUUGCGACUUUUAUGAAUAGUUUGACUUUUAUGAAAUGUUGUGACUUUAAUGCAAAGUUUUGACUUUUAUGAAAAUUUGCGCCUUUAAUGAAAAGUUGUGACUUUUAUUGAAAGUUGUGGCUAUUAUGAAAGAUGACGAUCUUUCCAAAAGAUUGUGAAUUUUCCAAAGGUUUAUGACCUUUCCGGAAAGGCACAAUAAGAUCCUUUUUGUACUACCUUUUAUUUCGAUAAAUUGAGAGAUUUCCUCUCAUUUUAAUAAUAGAAUUUAAGACUUCUUCUAAUACUUCUAAAUCGAGUAUUCUAAGUGUACUUUGUUCUAGUUGAGUGGCUCACUGACACCAACGUUUUUGAUAUACACUGGUGAUUAAGAUCAUUCUAUCCUGGAAGGACAAACCUCGGAUACUAGAGGGGAAUAAUUUCCUUCAUGAGACAUUGUGCAUUCAGUGGUCUUGAUCUACUUUUUGUUUUUUUAAAUUCUUGUAUUUGUUACAGAUUUUAGAUUUGUGAAAUAAUUUAUGUUCUUCUGUUCCAUACUGGUUCAUUAAACUUUGGUAACUUCGUAUUUCUGCAAAGUUUAUUGGAAUCACUAAGAUUCUUUAAAUACAGAUUGACAAUAAUUCUUCUUUAAGAAAAAUAUUUUUUAUACUCUUCUAAUUUUUUUCUGAUCUACUUUCUCUACUAUUUUUAAUUUUCUAGCCAUGAAAAUAUUGUAUUCUACUGAUUGAGAGAAUCUGAUCAUGGAAGUAGAAGAUAAAUGCAUUACAUCUCCAUAAUUCAUUGCUUUGUUUAGAAACUUCGAAGCGAGAUUGUAACAGAUAUUUUUUUUUGGUAUUCCAAUUAAAGAUGUAACUUCUUAUUAUUCAUUUAAGGAGGAAAAAAGUUUCUAAAGGUUAAAAAUAGUUAUAAUUAUCAUGUAUGCGUUUUGAAAAAGUUCUGCAACUCGUAAGAUUUUCGAAUGAAUUUUCCUUGGGAAAUAGUGUUUCCUUUAAAUUUCACUAGUUUGCAGAGUGAGACAUGGAUAUUUUUGUUUGAUAAAUAGUAUAACAAAAUGUUAUACUUGGAAGAUUAUUUUUUUAAAAAAAACAUUUCUAUGUGAUAAUCUAAGAAUAUGAUUUAUUCUGUUUGGAAUUUUAAAAAAAACCUUUGUAGUUUUGUACUCACUGUCAAUUUGAUUGGGUCUGAUUGUUGUAGACUAAAAAAAGUUUGUUGUUUUCUACUCUGAAUUAAUUGGACUUUGCAAUUGCUUUGAAGAAUAUGAAAACAUUACAUGAUAAGUCAGUGUUGUACUUUUUAUGGUCUAUAAACUUCAUUGUUAAAUAGAAAAAAAUGUACAAAAUUUUGUCUUUAUUAUUAGUAUUCUAAAUACUAAGUAGUAUGUCUAUUUGUGAUAGACAAGAAAGACCAGCGACUUAGUGUUAGUGUGUUUGUUCCUCUAUGGAAUGAACUUUGACACUAUGUAAAGAUUGUCAAAGAGAAUUGAAACUCUAUAAUUCUUUCGUGGAAUAAUAUUUUCAAAAGAGGUUUUGAUACUACCAAUGACAUUUGUGAGAGUAUGGAAAAAUAAGUGAAAAAAUUUAUUUUCAAAUACUUGAAAAAUAAUUUUGAUAUCACAUUUAAAAUGUGGGGGUUCAUUGCUUAUGAUUAUACUUGUUGUCUAAUUUACUUUUGGAGCAAAAGAUAUGAAAUUCAAGGAUACUUUUGUAUCAUGUUAGGGUUUCUCUGUUACUAAUAUAUAGUGUGACUAGUAUGAAACAAUCAAAUUAUAUAUAUACUUGUUCAAAAUAAUCGUGUUCUUUUAUGAAGAAAGUGUCGCUUAAAAUAUUGUGAUUUUUCAUGAAAAGAUAUGUCUAUUAUAUUAAAUGUAUUUGCGUAGUCAUGAAUAUUGGUAAAUAGUCAUUUUUUAUGUUUGUGUAAAAGUAACAUUUGGACUAUAUUGCCUUCAUUUAACCCGAUGAAACUUUGUUCAUGGGUAGUUCUAUAAAAAUCAAAUUUAAACUUAAGGAAAGGUCCUUCUUAAAAGGACAUUUGAAAAGGCUAUGACUCUAAACAAUAUUUGUAUCAUACAAAAUUGUAAAAAAUAGGAACAAAAAAUUAGUGAAGAAAAAGCUACCUCGCAAAGAGCUUUUUGAACAGAUUGUUUUUAUUUGUUCUUACUUUCUUGGGUCAAUGUUUGUGACAUGAACACUUGGGGCAUGUCAAUUACAAAAUCUUGUAAGGAAAUCUGAUCAACAUAGAAGUUUUGUCUAACUUUGAGUGCAAAAAAUAUAAAUGGCAAGUUUAUGUGGUAUCUAAGUAUGUUGAGCAUUCUUAUAAAUAUGAUGAAAGGAAUUAUAAUCCCUUAAAAUUGAUUUACAGUGAUAUUUGUGAAAUGAAGUCAAUACCAUCUCGUAGUGGGAAAAAGUAUCGCGUUACUUUAAUUGACAACUGCAUUUAACAAAAGAAGAUUGUCUAUUUGCUUAAUGGUAGGGAUGAAGCAAUAGAAAUUUCUAGAGAACAUAAUAUUGAAGUUUAAAAUAGUUGGGAAAAAGAUAAGAAGUAAUAAGAAUGGAGAGUAUGAAUCUCCUUGUGCAGAAAUAUAUUCGGAAAGUGGAUUUAUCCAUGAAACUACAGCCCUAUUCGCAUCAAUCUAAAGAGAAUAAAUUGAACAUUGAAAGAAAUGAUGGAUGCAUUUGUAGAAGUUCGGAUUUACCACAAAACCUGUGUGGAGGAACUAUCCUUAUUUCUAAAGGAAACAAAAAAAAAAAUGUCUUUUCAUAAAAAAGCAAUUUUGUUUGUUCAGGACAAAAUCUAUUCCAUAUGAGAAAUGGAAAGGAAGGAAAUCCAACUUGAUAUAUUUCAAAGUGUGGGGGUGUCUAGCCAAAGUCCAAGUUCCUAUUCCUAAAAGGAUUGAAAUAGAACCUAAGAUUGUGGACUAUAAAAUUAGACUUGAGUACUCUAGUGAAAGGUCUAAACGAACUUGGAAAGAACAAAACGAAAAUGUACUUAAUAAGGAGAUUCAGAGGUUUACUAAAUGUCAAGGGACAUAAACUUCAUUAAAAAAUGAUUUUGUAACAUUUCUUGUGACUUAUGUAGACAAAUCCUUUUGGAAAAAUGGUAUCAAUAGGGAGAUUGAUGUAACCUUUAGAAAUCCUAAUGGAAGUUUGUUGUUCUUCCUCAAGGAAAUAAAAUUUUUGGUUCAAAGUGAAUCCUCAAAAGGAAAAUGAAAGUCGAUAGAACUAUUGACAAAUAUACAAUAAGAAUUUGUGUCAAAGACUUUAGGAAAAAAACAAACAAGGUUUUGAUCUGUUGAUAUAUAUACUCAUCAGUAACUAGAAUUGUAUCCAUUUGGAUGUUAAUAUUAUUAUUGUGAUACAUGACUUCAAAAUUCAAUAAAUGAAUAUGAAACAUUUCUCUUAAACAAAAAAUUGGAGGAAGAAAUUUACAUGAAACAACCCGGUGGUUUUAUGGUUCGCGGUGAAUAAAAGAAAAUGUGCGAACAUGUGAAUUCACAUUAUGGAGUAAAACAAGCACUCAAUACAAUGACAUAAGAAAUUUGACCAAACCAUGUUUGCAAAUGGAUUUAAGAAUGGUAGAACUGAUAAAUGUGUUCACAUUCAAAUUACAAGGUCAUUGUUUGUUUGUAUAUUUGUAAUAUGUUGAUCAUCAAUAUAUACACUAAUGACAUAAAUGCUACUGAACUUAUGCUUGAAAGCAAGCUUGGAAUAAAAAAUUUUGGAGUUGCUGAUGCGAUCUUUUGUAUAAAAAUCCUUUGAACUCCAUAAUGUUUAACAUUUUUACGGUCUUCAUUUCAUUGAAAAAGUACUUGACUAGUUCAAAUAUUUGGAUGUCAAUAUUGUCAAUUCUAUAAUAAAUGUGAGUUUUACAUUUCAAAAGAGUGAAAGCGAAAGUGAUUCACAAUUGGAUUGUGCUAGAGUAUUGGAAAGUGUGAUGUACAUCAUGAAGUGUGCGCGAUCAGGUUUAACAUUUUCUAUUAGUAAACUGAGUCAGUCACAAGUAAUUCUAAUCAAAUUCAUUAGAUGAAAAUAAAUAGAGUUUUGGUGUAUUUAAACAACACUUUAAACGAUGCCUUGAAUUAUAACGAUAUCUAACAGUAUUAAAAGGGUAUAGUGAUACAAAUUUGAUCACUGAACAAAUGAAGUAAAAUCCACAAGUGGAUAUAUACUUAUUCUUGGUAGAGGAGUAGUCUCUUGGAAAUAUUUCAAAAGAAACAUGUAUCGUUACCUUUAUAAUGAUCUUUGAGCUAGGUGCUCAAGAUAAGGUCGAUGAAUAAGUUGAAAGACUCCGGAAUUUCUUGAUAGAUAAUUUCUUUGGGCCAAAACCAUUAGCAUUAGUGUGCAUACACUUUUAUAAUGAAGAUGUAAUAGGUAUGGGAUGGAGCAUGAUGUAUAACAGAAAAUCUUGUCAUAAAGGACAUAAACAUGAUACCGAUAAAAAACUACUCUCUAGAGGAAUUAUCAGAAUUGACUAUGUAAAGUUAAAGGAUAAUGUGUCGGAUACACUUAUAAAAAGGCCUAACUAGAGAGAAAGUUUAAAGAUCAUCUAAAGGAAUGGAUUUACAGCUUAGGACAAGUUAGCAUGGAGGUAACUCUACCUAGCAGACUCGAGAUCCCAAGAGCUAGAUUCAAGGAGAAAAAUGAAGUUGUGUCUGAUGAUUCGUCAUUGUUAGCAAACUCAAUCCAUUCUCAUGAUGAAUUCAAUGCUCAAGGACAAGGAUACAACAUUAAGUCUUGUUAAUGAGUUAAUAAAGCUUAAUGGUUCUAAUGAUUUGCUAUAUUUGGCAGAGUUGACCAAAUAGUGUAUUUACGCGAUAACACAAUUAUAAAUUACGUAUGUGAGUGUAAAGAGUAAGCCACUUCAAAGAGGAUGAUUGUCAAAAGCCCAUGUUUCUAUACACUCAUGAAACCAGGAGAUGUUCAUGGCUGAAACGAACGCAAUCGUAAGAACCAUAAACGGUAAAGGGUUAAUUGUGUGACAUAUGGUUUUCUAGGUAUAUACUGAAGCUCAACGGUUCAAAGAUAUCGCAUCUGCCGAUUGACCUAGUAUAUCCGACAUAUGUUCACUACGGAAAUUCCAAGGGGAAAUCUACUAUUCAGAUGCAAUUAAUUCUUUCUUGUAAAGUACACAUACGUGUGCAUUUCUUUGUCUUGGAGUCAUUCCCCAUUCAUGUGGGGAUUUUCGGGUUUUGAAUGUGUGAAUGGAAAAUCAAGAGUUGUGACUUUUAUGAAUAGUUGUGACUUUUUUGAAAGGUGUCACGACCCAAAUUUUGCAAGUCGUGAUGGCACCUAUGUUCCCAACCAAUAGGUAAGCCAACCCAACAUAUUAACCCAACUAAACCAACAAAUGAGUAAAAAGACCAACGCUUAGCAAGAAUCUCCAACAUUGAGUUCCUUAUAUGUACGAAAGGCGGAAGAUAAAAUAUAUCACCCCAAGAAUUCGUGUCUUAAGUACAAGAGCUUCUAAAAUUCGAUGCAAGUCUGAAACUAAAUGACAAAUCUAACAUAAGGGAUAUCCUGUUUGAAUACUAAUAACAGAAUAAAUAAAAGAUAAAGGGAGGUGUGGGCCACGGAACAGCCAAGCAGCUCACCACAACUCCAAGAACUUCAAGCCGGACUCAAUUUGCUCCACGAGAUGUGCUCCUACUCGGAAUCGAAUCUGCACCACAAAGAGUGCAACAAGCGUAGUAUGAGUAUGAAACCACGUGUACCCAGUAUUGUCUCAUUGACCGACAAUGAAGAAGUAGUGACGGGAGUUAUAUAAGAAAAUAAAUUCUUAGAUUGUACAAGUGUGUAUAUAUAUAUAUAUAUAUUACACUUACUGUUUAAGUUUCCUCAAUAAAGGAAAUAAACAUUUAAUAUUUUCCAAACACCAAACGAAACAUGUAGUCAUCAAGAAUGAAUGAUGGGAUGAAAUGCAACGCAAUAUGAUGCCAUGUAAUGAUAUGUCUCAGAAUACCCAGUACUCACUCAACCAUAUAUACAUGAUACUCCUCGGAAAUACAUCGAGAGUUCAUGACCCAUGGGGGACUCGCGAGGUCCAUAUACCGACACGGACGAUCUCCACUUGUCUGUGCGGACGAUCUCAACGCACUAUCAUAAUAUCAAACAAUUUUCGCACGGACGGUCUCCACGUUCCCAAAUUACAAUCUUAACAUCUCACCAUCCCCAGCACGGACGAUCUUCACAUGCCCAACUUAUACUCAGUCUCAUCUCUAUGCAUGUGCACAAUAUUGUUUCGAUAGAGGGAAUGAUGAUGCAUCUCAAUCAAUCAAUAUGAAUAUAAUACAUAACCACCUUAAUUAUCUCAACUAUACGGGUGAAAUAAAUAAAACACAAUCACACAAGGAUUCAAGUCAAUAAUAUAUCAGCUAAUGUUCAUAUGCUUUGGCAUUCUCCAAUUUCAGUCCACAUUCUAUAAUAGUACUUUUCCUUUUUAUAACACCGGUACUCGUACCAAUCCCGUCACACCAUUGAUACGAGACCACCAUCUUUCCCCCUUACCCCUUGUCUAUUUUCAUUUUUUAAUGUUUAAUUAGGAAAACGUCCUUCAACAAGUCUAAAAAGUCUUAACAUACCUUAGAUGCCGAGCUUGUGCCACGAAUCUUUUAAUAUUUUUCCUUUUCUUUUCGCAAGGUUUCGGAAUGUUCCCAAUCUACCAAUUUUUCAAUAUUCGUAUGUAAGCAAUUUUUUUUGUAGACAUUCAAAUUAUUAUAUGUCUAUCAUAGACGCUAAAACUCACUCAUAUUUCCAACAAACUCCAAAUUUUGAUAUAUAUUGGUAUGCCAAUUUUUUUCAUACUUGCUAAAUUUCAAGCCAAGAACUUAACUCUAACCUCUUCAAAUGGACUAAAAUUCAAUGUUAGAUCAUAUAAAAUAACACCUAAUAAUUAAUUACCAAUCCCAAUAUAUUAAAAACUAGCAUUUUAAUAUAUGAAUAAUACGUGAACCAAAUUUCCACCCAUUGGCAGAAGUGGAACGCCCCUCCCCUUUUCACAUUUUUUUUCUUUCUUCGUUUGCACUGCCCAUUUCAAACAUCUCCCAUUAUCUAUAUAGCAUAGAAUAAUAACACAAUCCCAAACACUCCGACAAUAUAUUACUAUAUAUAGAAUUGAAAAGAACGAAUAGCUCAUAUCAUUACCUGAACAAUGGCUAUGAUUUUUCUCCCUCUCGCUGGUCACCUGUGGUAAGGUUUCACCUCCCUAAUUUUCAUUUUCCUUUUCUUCUGAAUAAGAAAUUAUUAACCGUGAAACUCCACUAACCUAUUAUCUAAUUAUUUAAUAAAAGUUUCAUCAAUUGGGUACUCAUAGUUAUCUGAAAGCUUAAAAAUAACCCCUUUAAAUUUUUAAAAGGAGUCAAACUAGUCCUAGUUCUCAAAACGACCUAGCGGGUCGUUACAAAAGGUUGAGACUUCAAUGAAAAUUUGUGACUUUUAUGAAAAUUUGUGACUUUAAUGAAAAGUUGCGACUUUUAUGAAAAGUUGUGACUUUUAUAAAAAGUUGCGACUUUUAUGAAAAGUUGUGACUUUUAUAAAAAGUUGCGACUUUUAUGGAAAGUUGUGACUCUUAUGGAAGGUGCUGACCUUUCCAACAGACUAUGACUUUUUCAAAGAUUUGUGACUUUUCCGGUAAGGCAUAAUAAGAACCUUCUCUCACUACCCUUUGUUUUUAUAAAAUUAAAUAUUUGCUCUCAUUUUAAUAAUAGAAUUUUUGUACUUCUUCUACUACUUCUAAAUAUAGUAUUCUAAAUGUACUUUACUGCCGUUGAAAGGAUCGUUGACACUAGCAUUUUGGGUAUCAAUACACUGGCUAUUGAGAUCAUUUUAUCAUGGGAGGAAAUAUUUCAAAUAAAACCUCGGAUACUAGAAGGGAAUAAUUUCCUUAUGGAGACACUGUGCAUUUAGUGGGCUUGAUCUUCUUUCUGUUUUUAAAAAUACUGGUAUGUGUUACAGAUAUUAUAUUUGUGAAUUAAAUUCAAUUCUUCAGUUCUUCACUAGUUCAUUAAACUUUGGUAACUUCAUGUUUCUUUAUGAUUUGUUUGAAUCAAUAAGAUUCUUUAAACGCAGAUUGACAACAAUUCUUCUUCAAUAAAAAUAUUUCGUAUAUUUUUUCUAAUAUGCUUCUGAUCUAGUUUCUCUACUACUUUUAAUUUCUAGUCAUGAAAAUAUUCUUAAACUUUGUGUGUAUUAUUAAGCUCUUCAAAGUUUUGUUUUAAGUAUCUUAGGAAUAUAAAAUAAACAACAAAUGGUUCAUUUAAGAAUUUUGUAUUACAUAAUGAGAAGAUUAAAACACGAUCAAAAGUUUGAGAGAGUUUUUAGAUUUAUUGAGGAGUGUUGCGAGUUUUUGAGGAAAGAGUUGUAAGAUUAUAAUUAAGAGUUUUGAUUGCUAUCAAGUGUGUGUAGGAUUCGUCUAAAAAAUUUUAGGAACUUGAUGGAUGCUAGAAGACAUGAACCUGGGUUUUUUUGUCUUUGAUAGCAAGGAAUUACAGAUUAUAAUUUCUUAGCUAGGAAUAAGAGUUUAUAAUUUCUUAGGUUACAUAGGUUUGUAAUCUUUUGUUGAGGCUCAUAGUUUAUGAAGUGGAGUUAAAUCCUACAGAGGUGUAGGUCAUGGUUUUUACCCAUUAUGAGUUUGGAGUUUUAGCGAUAAUAUAUUCUAUCGUUAUUUUAUUUUCUUUAGAAAACGUAACUGCUCUAAUAUGCAAAAGAACAUAGAGAAUAUACAUGUUCUUUAGGCAAAUUUGGGAGACAAAAUUCUAACAGAGUAAAGAUUACCGCGACAUGGAAGGAUAAGAAUGGAGAAAUGGAAAGACCUAGAAGAGAGUAGAAAGAACAAAAAAGUCAACGACAGGUUAUUUGUUGAAAACAAAAAAAAGUUUAUAUGAAACACCUAGAAGAGAGUAGAAAUAAGAAAAAGUAGUCAAGAACACGUGGUUUAGUCGAGGAUGGAUUCUUUGCUGAAAAACAAGAAAUAGGCUACACAUGCUAUGCGUUUUUAGAAAAGUUAACUUUAGUUGCAACUGAUUUUUUAAUAACAUUUUUAUUUAUUUUAUAUGAUCUAUAAAAAAGUAGGAAAAAGAUUAUAAAAAUAUAUUUACACAUUAAAAAAAAUUAGAAAAAUAUAAAAUAAAAAUAAAAAUAAGUUAUGAGCAGAGAGUUAGAUGAGGUAGAGUAUAUUUUUAUUUUAUUUUAUUAAACCAUUAUGAUUGAAUUCAUUUAAGUGAUUACUAGAUUACACCGUUAAAUACCAGAAUCACUCUUCUUCUUCAUAAACAUUUAAUAGAUAAUUAUAUAAUAUAUUACUUGUGCCAUUUCAAAAUAACAAUUUAUAACUCGUGUUAUUUGUGAAUCAACUAUAUGAACUACUAAUAUAUUAUCACAUUUGAAGAAUAACACAAAGAUUAUAAUAUUGUAAAAUAAUGACUGGUUAAAAUUGUCAUACCUUUCCUUUGAUUUCUCACAUUAAUAUGCAAAGUUAAUCCAACAAUAAUUGCAUAUCUAAUAUAAUCUCGUAAGCUUGAUUUGAGAAGGAAAGUCGAUAUGUUUGGGCUUGUGUUCUAUGUAUCGAGAAAGGUGGAUAUAGAAUACUAAAAACUAAAAGGUGUCCAUUUUAGAGAGUUUUUCCAUGGACAGGAGAACCAUGUAGGUUUUUCCUUGGUCCAUUGGAUAUAAUCCUAAGGAUAAAAUGACGUUAGUUGAGGUUUUGAGUCUUUUUAUCGAACUUAUCCCUCCAUAUUUGUUUGUAAAGAAGUCUUUGUUGUCUAUAGCAUCGGCAGAUGGAAAGCCAACAGCCGUAGAUAAAGCUAGUAAAAUCAAGCCAAGACCUGGCAGAACUAGGGUCAAGGUUAUAACGAUCCAAUGAAUAAGCUUCCAAAUCAUAUAUGUUUGCAUUUUGAGGAUGUAAAAUCUAGUAUGUUGAAAGAGGUUUUUCGGGAGAUUGUAUAUGAUAAUCUACCUUUGUAUUUUAAUUAUUUUAAGCAUCGAGAUCAUGAAAAAGGUAAUUGUCGUUUGAUGUGGAAAUGAAAUUAAAAUAACAAACAAAGUGAUGAUACAAUUUAAGUUUCUUUAAAAGGUACUAUCAAUAGUCAAAAGUAUCAAGGUGAUGCGAGAGAAAUAUUAAAUGAAAAAAAAAGGUUGAUCAACAGUUGGUUGUUGUAACUUCUGAGCAAAGCCAUAGACACUUAAUAGAUGUGUUAUGAGUAAUAUGAAUGUUCAAACAACUAUUUAAUAUAUAGGGAAAACGUCAAGAGUUGGGGUUGAUGCGCCCCGAGUUGGUUCAAGCCAAAAAUUAAUGGAGUCAGGACACAAACUAAUGGAGACAUGUGAUGUUGCAGAUGCUUAAAAUUCUGGGCAGCAUGUUUUGCAUGUUCAAAUCAAGAAUGUAACUAAAAAUUGGAUGCUGGUUGCACACAAAAAUUAAAUUUGUAAACCAAGUCUUUCCCCGACUAGUUAAAAUAAUUCUCCAUAUGGUCAAAAGGGUGUGACUGAAAAUUUUCAUGUGAGAAGAGACAAGAUAUUAGUAAUGUCUCAAGAGACCUAUUAUGUUCGAAUAACUUUUAUGCUUUAUCGAACUACUAGAAAUUCUUAGUUUGCCGACCAGCAAAAUAGUUAAAAUAUAGUAGAAAAUGGAGUUUUUCGAUGACUUUCGGACUAUUUUUUAAUAGUCAGCAUAUUGAACAUCGUAAAAUAUUUACCUACUAAAUUAUUUAAACUUUUCCAAUAACGGUGGUCGAUAAAUAUAAAACUAGUCCUCACCAUUAAACUAUCAAAAUGACUGACUACAGUAGUCGAAAAAAUAUUAAAAUAAUAGUCUAUUAAUUAAAAAAAUCCCUACUACAGUUGUCAUAGUAUUUACGUAAUUAAAUAUUAGAAUUAAUAUAUCUUACGACAAUAGCUAGUCGGCAUAUAUAACUUAUUUAUUGUCAUUUAAGUAUUUUUCCGAGUACUGAGGUCAGAAUAUAUACAAUUUAUUUAGUAUCUUUUCAUGUGAUCUUUUCUUGAUAAAAAGAUUCCUAUAUUUGUAAUAUAUCGAAAUGUAGAUUUGUAGUGUUUUGACUCUUUUUUCCUUAACUAUUUGUUUUGUAUUGCUCUUAUGGGAUCCCCAAAAUCUGAAAGUCAACUUCUUGUUAUGUUUCUUCAAUUUUUUAUGAAGAUGAUCGUGAUACUAAAAAAGCAUUUGAAUUCGAAUGUUUGUUGGACAUGAAAUUUUAUUCCUACCUUUUGUUUCAGACUAAAAAAUAAAAGAUAAUAAUGAUUUUAGAUAUUUAAGCCAAUCCACUUUAACAUUGGAAACAAGAAUCGAGUUUCACAAAGAGAUGGAAAAAAAUAACUAUCUUCUUUUACAGCUUUGGUGACUGUAUCUGUAAACCCAAUCAAAGAUCAAAAAUAUUAAAGUCAUCCACAAAAUAUAAACCUUAAUCAAAAGUUUUAAAUGCAUCUGACAAUAAUGCAAAAUAGAUAUCUUUUCAAACCCUAAAGGGUAACAGAAAAUUGAAUGCAUAUCAUACAAAUUAACCAACGUAUACCUGAAUACUACAGGAACAAUUCGAGAAUAAGCCUGGAAAGUUAAUGUGAAUAGAAAAGAUUGGUAGAGAUCCUUUAGACUAAUGGCAUUGAAGCAUUUUUGCUGCCUGUAAUACCACGUACAAAUGCGUGAUGGAUUUCAGAAAAAACAAAUUUCACCUACAUAUUAGUGUACAUUAAACGUGUUUAUAAAAUUUGUCUGAAAUUCAUAGCAUGAGAAUAAAGAGUAAUAGGAAUGGAAUACCUUUUCAUAGCUCUCUCAUAGUUAAAUUCUAAAAAUCUCUUUGUCCACUUCCCGACUAAUUUGCAUUUGAGAGAGGAAUAAAAUCUACAAUUGUAAUGGAAUACUUUCCAAAAUACAUGUAGGCAUGAAGUGUCUAUAAUAUCAAAUGAAUGCCACAAUAAGAAGUCAAAUCCUAGAAAAGUCCCUUCUUCAGGAAAAGGAAAACAAAGGCAAUGAGUUAUUUUGACUUUGUUUUCCUUUUUUCCAGAAGAGGGAACUUUUCGAGGAAUUAGCUUCCUUGUUAUGACACUCUUUUGGUACUAUCACUGCAUUCAUACAGAUAUUCUGAGAAGCGUUUCAAUAUUAUUCUAGAGUUAAUUCGUCUCUCUGAUGCACAUGAUAGCUAAGGUAUCACUCCAAGCUGCAAUUCCAAUAUUUCUUAUAUCGAUUCAAACACACAUUUCUUCAAUGAUUAUUGAUUAUACUUUCUUCACACUUCACCAUUAAAAGAUAUGAAUAUAAGGAAAUAGUUUUAUAUUUUACGGCAAACUAUUAAGGGAACAUCUUAAUGGCGUAUAAAUUAGGGUUACUAAGGAACUUAAAUGAUUAAAAUUGAAAAAUGUCCUAUGGGGUCCUAGUUUUUUUUUCUUUUCAUCUUGUGGCAUCUAAGGAUGUUAUUUAUGAGAAAUUCAACAAAUGUUGAUAACUGAUUUUAAUAAACAAAAACAAUACAGUAGUAGAAAAACUCAGAAAAGAAAAUGGAAAUUGAGACGUCAUAAUAAAGAAAAGCCAUAAAAGAGAGGAAAAGACAAUUUAAUAACUCAUAUAUCAAAUCUCAUAAAGAGGUGAACACAGCAUUGUGCUAACCUCAUAAUCGAUUGUUUUAAUAAUGACAAAUGCAUAUGCUAACUAGUGAGUUAUUGCAGGAAAGGAAUGAGAUACAUCACCAAAGCACAGACUCUUGUUCAAGAUGAUUGGAGGAGUCAAGUGAAUCAUGAGCAAAUCUAAUCAAGAAAGCAAAGUGAAUAUUUGAUCAAUCAAAUACAAUUUCAGAGCUUGCAAUAAUUAAAGGAAGGCAAACAAGGAAAAUAUUUUACAGCUUGCAAAAUUAAAGGAGGACAGACAAGAAAAAUCUCUCAAGUAAAACAAGAAGGACAAGUUAAUUAAAAAAAGGUACAAUCAAGGAACAAUUAUCGGUACUUAAAUCUGUAUACUAUCAUAGAUUUCAAAAAUAAUUAAACAUUGAUUAUCGGCAAAUAUCUUUAAACGAAAAAAGCGAGGUAAAAGACUAAACAACAAAACUUGAUAUAAUUAGUUAAACACAACCUAAUUCACAAAUUAUUAAGAUAAAAUAAACCUCCAUUCUUGAGCAUUGAGAUCAAAACAAGAGAGAAGAUCUAAAAAUAACAAAGAGUGCUAAACAACGAAGUGAAUUCUAAAAACCUUUAUUUAGUUAACUAAAAUAUGUAUUCAUAAUAGCUAAAAGAAAAACUAAACCCAACACAUCACAUCAAAAGAGCAAGGAAUACGAAUUUUAACUGGUUUUAUGCAGCGACUAGAACUCGAGCCUGGACGUGACGAAUUCCAACACCACUUCGACUCAAAAUAGUUGCGAAUUAACAAAAUUUCAGCGAUGAAUAUAAGAACUCCCAAAAACAUAGUUGGGUGUUCUUUUUCACGCCUCCAAAAUCUCCUCCCCUGAACAUUAAGAGUGAGGGGGGUUAUUUAGGACAAACUCUAGGUCAAAAUAUAGGGGAAAAUGAUUUGGGAAUCUGGAAAUUUUCAAAUCUUGAAUUGGGUCUUGGGUCUCUUAAUGUGAAAUGGUUUUAGUGAAUUUGGGCCAAAAUUUUGGGUUAAAGGUUAUCUGAUGGUCCAAAUAUGGACAAAACAAAAUUCCCUUAUGAGAGUUUCAAAGGUAAAUGACAUGGAUUUAAAGUCAACUAAUUAUUCAGGCUUCUAAACUUUACCAACAUAAAAAUAAUUAUUUGAAAAUGAAAGAUCAUAAUUAAAUUGCUAGUUAUAAAGAAAUAAGUUGCGUACUUAAUUGAAACUCUAUUUUUCGUAAAAUGAUUUUCUAACUAUUUAUUCAAAUUUAUUAUGGCAUGCCUCUUUCUACCCCUGAGACGCAGACACUGAACCUAGGACCACAAGUGAUCCCAAGAUAACCAUGCUGGCAUGAUCAUAAGCAUACUAAUGAUAAUAAACUAAAUGCGGAAGAUAAAUCAUAAUUUAAACUGAAAAGAUGGGGAAUAUUCAUAUUCUAUAAGUGUGUAAAUUAUAUCAACGAGUUUAAUACAAAGAAGUUAUUAACUCAAUACUAUGCUGAAACAAACUAUGUCUUAAAAUAGCCUCCAAACUCGACUGGAAAUACUGGGACAAGCACCAACUAAAUCUAGCAAAAAUUGAAACUAAAUGACUAAAAGACUGAGAAAGAAGCUCAUGACUAUUGUUCUUGGAGAAUGACUCACCUCUGAAUCUAAUUAACUGGAGAUUGGAAAAUUGAUCUAUGCAUGAUCUGAAUGCUGAGAACCUGAAUAUUAAUCACGAGACGAUGUAGCACAGGUAUGCGUCAGUACAUGAAGGUACUGAGCAUGUAGAAUCGAGUAAAGCUGAAACAAAACAUAACUGAUCAAGCUUAAAAUCAAGUAUAAUAAUUUGAACAUUAAUAUACUGAAUUAUGAGCUAACUAAAUAUAAUGACCAAUUUAUAACAUGCUGAAACUGAAUAAUAAAUAUACUGAUAAAUGGUCAAUGCAAGAGAGCGUGAUUGAACUGUGGGAGAUACUAAUCACCGGUAAUAACACCACAUGAUCUAAAUAUGGAUUAUGAUGUAUAUGCACCAUCGAGGAAACCCAAUAUACCCUGCUAUAGGUAUAAAAGGAUGUUGGCGUGAUCACGAAACUGAUUGCCCAUAGAAAUGACUUACAACCUAAUUGACUAGUAAUUUUGGGACUAUUAGGUAUGCCAAACCCUAGUACAACUCAGUAUUAUGCUACUCCCAUUGACUUAUGUAGUUAACAUAUUAUUUCUGAAUUUCUGUAAUUGUUGUAUAGCUGAAAACUGAACAUGUAAAUUGGGAAUGCAACAUUUAAUUUGAUAAUGAUGCAUUAAAAUUGAAGAAUGUAUAACUCCAUAACUGAAUUAUUUGACCUUGCAUGUGUAAUACAUGAACUAAAGAAAUACAAAUCUAGUGUUCUGAAUUUCAUGUGAUAAUCUGAGUAACAACAUUAUAAUAUGAUUUGGAACAUAUAUUUUUACUAAAUCAUGAAGUUCUGUUGUAAUUCUAGCGAACCUAGGUUUGAUCAUGAUAAGAGAAUCAAGAAUUGACUUAAAACUAGGUACCCAAUGGGUGAAAGUAUUCCAAUUGUGAAAUCCCACAUAUUUGGUGAUGAAAUUCACGGAGAAACACUUAGAUUUUGUGGCUAGAAGGGUUCUUGACCUUUUUCUCCUUUCUUGCUUCUAAUUUCUAACUUCUGAUUUAUGAUUUUGACAUAGGUAUGUUCUUGUUAUGUUUCUAGGUAUAAAUUGACUAACAUAUGAUUAUUUAGGGUCAAAACGACGUAUCUUAGGUUUAAAUGAAGUGGGAAAAGAUAAAAAGACCCCUUGGAUAAGUUGUUGUCGGACCAAAUGACGAUUAGGACAGACGGUAUGUCGUUUGGUCCGUAGAUUGGGUCUAUUCAAUAGGUCUUUACUAAAAUAAAGAUAACAUUAUACUCAAAGAUCUAAUUUUAGCAAGGUCGGUGGAUAUGGAAAGAUAAUUCAAUUAUAUAUCUGUGGAUAUGUCAUAGGACACCUAAUUCAUUUUGUGCUAAAAGUUAUGACCAUUUGAAGUUAAUCGUACUGCAUUUCCCCCUAAACUGUCUGCUAAUUCCCACAUAUGGUCAGACCUACGGAUCGUGGGUCCACCUACGAACCGUUCUGGUCAUCCGUGGCUCUUGUCAGAGAGCGGGUGAAUAGGGUGUUAAUCGAGGUUCAUUUACUACGGUGUAAAGUCUGACUUACAGACCGUAGGUCUAUCCGUUGAUCAUGACUUAAUUAAAUUCUCCUGUGCUGAUAUUUUGGGGGUUUCUGACCCCAUUGAGGGAUGUGCAAGAAAGACCGUGGGUCAGCCUACGAUCCGUCGUGGCCCCCUUGGUUGCACUUGUAAAUUUUUUUGAAAAUCUUGUUUAUGGUCUGUUUUGGAUAUCGAAUGUUACCGAUAAAUUAUACAAAUCUAUAUAUUUUAUGUAUAAAGAUAUAUAAUUCAUUGAAAAUAUGGCAAAAGGUGUUUGGAAGAUAAUCUUGAGAGUAUUUUUGAUUUUCAAAAACUAUUAUUUCCAAUUAUUCAAUAUUUAAGAAGCUUAAAAAUUAAUCGAAUCGUGAAGGGACAAAAUUUGAAAUCAACAAGUGUCAUCACUAUAAAAUAUAUUGACGCCACUUCAACAGAAAGCUUAAAUAAAUUGAACUUUCUAAUAGUCUCCUUCUACUAUUCUUAAUUUGACCAUUAAGAAAUCAAGCUCUUCAAUAUUUGUAUGAGAUGAAAAUGUUAAAAUGAACUCAUAUAUCAACCUAAAAAAAUGACUACCGAUACAAGAUUUACAAUUUUCUUAACAUGAUAUAACAAUAAAGUAAUAAAAUUAAUGUUUUAGGUAUAUCAUUUUUAUAGUGCUACCCCCUUAUUUGAUUUUUGUUGUAGCGGAUUGAUUUGCAUAUAUUUACUUUACACAUAAAACUUAAGAAUAAAAAAAACGAUUGAUUUUAGAAAUUUAAUCUAUUCAACUUCAACAUCAGAAAUCGAGAAAGAGUUUAAAAAAAGGAAAAAAAUAAACUAUCUUAUUUUUACCCCUUUGAUCACUACUAUUCACAAACCAGAUCAAAGAUCAAUACUUUGAAAAUAAUCCACAUCUCUAUAUAUAAACCGUAAUCAAAAGUUUUAAACACCAAAAAGGGUAAAUGAAAAAAAUUAAUUAAAAAUCAAAACAAUUAACCAACAUAUAUAUGCCCGAACUGGUUGCGCAAACAUCUACUUUUUAGACCGAAUUCGACCGGGAUAAGGAGAAUGUCAUCCUCGCGAAUUAGAAGUUAUAAAGUUGUAGAAGUAUGUCUUUUUCAACAACCAAACAGUAUAUAAUGUUUUCUUUUGUAAAGCAUUACGCAGACAAGAUAAUUUUCUUAAUCAAAUUGGUAAACUAGAAAAACUACGAAGCAGAAGUAAAGGAGACAAAAGCCUGAAAGAUGUAGAAAAGCAAAAACUUGUCACGUGAACUUCAAAUUUGAAGUAGAAGAGAAAGUUAAAACCAAGUAGAAGCGGGAGUUAGUCAUUAAUAAAACUUUCUUAUUUUGUUAAGGUAAUCUGUGUGGAAAGGAGCCCUUACGUGAGAAGGAGUUCGAGUCAUGUUCUGGUUAAAGAAGUUUUUUAAAAGCGGCGAAGGCUAAGUUUUGUUUAAUCAUAUGUAGGAUAGUUUCAAAGUCUAUAAAUAUCGCAAUAGUUCAUUGAAGAAUUUUGUGCACUUUCAUUGAGAAAAGAUUAAAACAUGAUCAAGAGUUUGAGAAAGUUUUGACAUUUAUUAGGGAGUGUCGCGAGUUUUUGAGGAAAAUUUUGUAAGGUUGUAAUUAUGAAAUAUUAUUACAAUCAAAUAUAUGUGUAGGAUUCUUCUAACAAGUUUGAGAAACUUUACGGAUGGUAGAAGACUUAUACAUGGGGGGUUGUGUCUUUAGUAACUAGGAAUUACAGUUUAUAAUUUCUUAGCUAGGAAUUAAAGUUCAUAAUUCCUUCGGUUACAUAUGUUUGUAAUCUUUUGUUGAGGCUCAGAGUUUAAUGAAAUGAAGUUAAAUCCUACAUAGGUGUAGGUCCUGGUUUUUAUCCUCUAUGAUUUGGGUUUUUUGCGAUAAUAUAUUGUGUUACUAUUUUAUUUGUUUUACAAAAUGUAACUAUUAUAAUAUGAAAAUUAACAUAUAGAAUAUACUUGUUCCUCAUACAUAUUUGGGGGUCAGAGUUCAAACAGAGUGAAUAUCACUGGGACCUGGAAGAAUGAGAAUUGAGAAAUGGAAAGACCUAGAAGAGAGUAGAAAGAAAAAAAUUAGUCAAAGACAAGUGAUUUAGUCGAGAAGAUGUGAUUUGUUAAAAACAAUAAAUAAUGUAGACAUAAAGACCUUGCAGAGAGUACAAAGAAAAAAAAGUAGUCAAGGACAAGUGGUUUAGUCGAGGACAUGUUAUUUACUAAAAAACAAGAAAUAACACAUGUUGUGCGUUUUUUAGAAAAGUAUUUUUUACUUGCGGCAACACUUUUUUAAAUAACAUUUUUAUUUCUUUUCUAUUAUCUAUAUGAAAGUAGGAAAAAAUUCUAAAAAUAUAUUUAAAUAUUUAAAAUAAAAUAAGAAAAAUAUAAAAAUAAAAGUAAGUUAUGAGAAGAGAGUUAGAUGAGGUGGAGUAUAUUUUUAUGUUAUUUUAUUAAACCGUUAUGAUUAACUUCAUUUGAUUGAUUACUCUUAUUCAUUAUUAAUAUUUAACAUAUAAUAAUAUAAUGAUAUUAGGUGUGCCAUUUCAAAAAAAAAAAAUUGAAUCGUGUGAUUUGUGAAUUAACUAUAUAAACUACUAAUAUAUCAGCAUAUUAUAAUAUAAUGACAGGUUAAAAUUACCAUACCUUUCCUUUGAUUUUUCACAUUUAUAUGCUAAGUUAAUCCAGCAAUAAUUGCAUAUCUAAUAUAAUCUCGUUAGCUAGAUUUGAAUAGAAAAGUCGAUAUGUUUGGGUUUGUUUUAUAUGUAUCGAGAGAACUGGAUGGUAAAUACUAAAAACCAGAAGGUGUCCAUUGUAGAGAGUUAUUCAAUAGACAGGACAACCAAUUAGGGUUUUUCCAGAGUCCAUUGGAUAUAAUCCUAAGGUGACAACGAUGUUAGUUGUGGCUUUGAUACUUUUUAUUGAACUUAUCUCUCCAAAUUUGUUUACAAAGAAGUCUUUGUUGUCUAUAGAAAUGACAGUUGAAAAGCCAAUAGCUAUAGAUAAAGCUUCUAAAAUAAGCCAACACCAAACACAACUAAGGUCAAGGUUAUACUAGAUCUAAUGGAAAAAAUUCCAAAUCGUAUAAGAUUGUAAGCACCGAGAUCAUGAUGAAGAUAAUUGUCGUUUGAUCUCGAAAAGAAAUUAAAAUAACAAACAAAAUUGCAUAUACAAUUAAUGUUGCUUCGAAAGGUACUAUCAAUAGUGAAAAGCAUCAAGGUGAUGCGAGAGAAAUAUUGAAUGAAAACAUGAAGGUUGAUCAACAAUUCAUUGUUGCCAAUUCUGAGCAAAAUCGUACACACACUCAAUUGAUGAUGUUAUAAGUUAUAUUGCUGUCCAAACAACAACUGAAUAUAAAGGGAAAGCGUCAAUAGUUGGGGUUGAUGCGCCGCGAGUUGGAGAAGGCCAAAAAUUAAUAGAGUCCGGACAAACUAAUGGAUACAUCUGACGAUGUUGAAGAUGCUGAAAAUUCUGGGAAGCAUGUUUUGCAAGUUUAAACCAAGAAUGUAACUAAAAAUUGGACACAGACUACACACAUAAAUUCAACUAGUAAUUGAAGCAUUUCCUCGACUAUUCAAACUUAUUCUCCAUUUAAUUGAAUAGGGUGUGAAUGAAAAUUUUUAUGAUAGUGAAAAAAGACAAAAUUUGAGUAAUGUCUCAAGAAACCUAUUAUGUUCUAAUAACAUUGAUGCUUUAUCGAACUACUAGAAGUUCGUCAUUUGUCAACCGCAAAAAUAGACUUAAUAUAGUCAGAAAAUGGAAUUUUUCGAUGACUUUCUGACUAUAUUUGGGUAGUCGGCAUAUUGAACGUCGUAAAAUAUUUACCAGCUACAGUAGUCAGACUUUGCCGAUAACCAUAGUCGAAAAAUAUAAAACUAGUCCUGAACAUUAAACUAUUUAAAUGGACGACUACAAUAGGUUAAAAAUAUAUUAAAAUAAUAGUUUAUGAAUUCAAAACAUCCCAACUACAGUUGUCGUAGUAUAUAAGUAAUUAAUUAUUUAAUUAAUAUAUCUUCCUACUACAGUAUAAUCAUUUAAGUAUUUUUCAGAGUAGUGUAGUCAAAAUAACUAAUUUAUUAAAUAAAUAACUAGGUACUCUUCGAUUAUUAUAGUAGGCAAUAUUAAUUUUAUUUUUGUUGUGGCAGAUUAGUUGCCGCUAAAAAAACUUUUACCAGCAACUGUUCUUUUUUUUUGUGGCAGAUUUGGUUGCCGCUAUACAACAAACUUUCAGCCUCGACUAUAAGUUUCUUUAGUUGACACUAAACUUUUAACGCAACUUUAAAAGGAAUUAGAAGCGGUUUUUUUUGCCACUGAUACUUUAGUUUUGCGGCGAAUUUAUAUGAUUUAGUACUAGAGGAGGGUUCGGUCUUACCUCAAAAAUUUUUUAUCCUUUGCAAAAGUAGGGUUAUGAGAUUACUCAUCAUACAUACCUUUAUCAUAUUCAUAAGUAUCCAAUUAAAUCUUUUUAUGAUAUCUUAGCUAAAUUUGAUUCGAAAUAUAAAAAAAACAGUUAAUAUUUCUUUUAAAUAAAAUUUUAUGCUUAAGACAAUCUUACUAAUAAUAUUCUUUUCUUCACAUAAUAAAAACAUAUCUGCCUUAAAUUCAUUCAUAACAUCUGGUAAAACAUAUCUUUAAUUUCUUCUUUGUACUUUCUGAUUAAGCUUUAGAGUAUAUACCAACUAGUUGACUUAUAAGGUUGAUCACUUAAAUCUUUUAUAAUUCAUUAAUCUUAUUUCUUCUCAAGUAAACAAAAGGUUCUGAAUACCAUCAAUGUCUAUUGGAGGAGCAGCAAUGAAGAAAAUAUAUAAUAAAUACACAAGUUAUCAGCAAUAAGCUAGGGAUCAUCAAAACAUCAAACCCUUUUCGAAACAAUGUGAGACUUUUACCCACUCUAACAUAAUUACGUCAAUGGUGAUGACAUGGGCAUCAAACAGCGGUAUUAAAACUGAUAGAAUAAUGAGUCUUAUUGAUAAAGAGGUCUACAUCAAUUAUAUAUAGAGGAAACAUAAAUAAGUAAUUACACAUGACUCACAUAAUUAUAUUUAAUUAUAGUUAAUCCUAUUACCCCCCCCCCCGAAAGCUGAUCCACGGGUACGAGGGGAAGCUUGGUAGCGAGGUAAUGAAACCGGUGGAAGGGGUUUAGUAAGGAUGUCUGCAAGUUUUUUGGAAGACGAAACCUGAGUUUUGCUCAUAGUACCACUCAUAAAGUGUUCACGAACAAAGUGGCAAUCAGAACCAACAUGCUUCAUAUGAUCGUGAAGGACUGGAUUUUGGUAAGGAAAAUGGUGGACUCAUUGUCACAGUAAAUCUUUGGCCGAAAAAGAGGAAGACCAAGAGCAUCCAUAAUAUGAUGAAGCCACAUAGCUUCGGCACUCCAGUCGCCAUAGCCCUGUAUUCAUCUUUGGUGGAAGAGCGAUAAACUCGCGUUUGCUUUUUUGUGCACCAUGAUAUUUUGUUUGGUCCAAGAAACAGUAGAUACCCGGUAGUGGAGCGACGAUCAUCCUUGUCAUUAGCCCAAUCUGAGUUUGAGUAGACGGAUAGUUCCAUAUAUUCUUUUUGGAAAAGAAGCCCACGACGUGAUCUACCCUUUAGAUAACGGAGAAUCCGUUUCAAUGCCUGGAAAUUCUGUUAAGUUGGAGCAUGCAUAGACUCAGAGACACGAUUAACAACAUAUUGAAUUUAUGGACGAGUAAAAGCCAGAUAAUGAAGUCCGACAAUAAUGCUUCGAUAGAGGGUUGGAUUGUCAAAUAGACGGCUGUUUGAGUUGGUCAGCGGUCGGACAUCCAUGGGAGUAGGUCAAGUUUGGAUUCAGCCAUCCCAGCCCGGGUGAGACGCUCCUCAGUGUAUUUUGACUGAUGAAGUAGGAGACUAGAAGAGGUACAGAGUACCUAAAUUCCAAGGAAGUAAUGGAGAGGGCCAAGAUCUUUCAUCUGAAAAUUUUGAUGCAUGGCCUUCGUGAUAAUUGAGAUAAGAUCAGAUGAACUGCCGGUAAUCAAAAUAUCAUCAACAUAGAGAAGGAUUAUAACCAGGUCACGAGGAUGCCGUAGUGUUAAUAGACUCGUGUCAUGAGUGCACGUAUGGAAGCCCGUAUUUUGCAGAAAAGAGGAAAACCAUUAUACCAAGCCCGGGUGGCCUGUUAAAGACCAUAGAGGGACAAUUUGAGCUUGCAGACAAGGUAUGGAUGGCGGGAAUCAACGUAGCUGAGUGGUUGAUCCAUAUAAAUGUCCUCCUACAGAGUGCCAUGCAGAAAGGCGUUGCUAGCAUCUAGCUGGUGUAGGGGAUAGUCAUUAUGAAGGGCUAGACAAUACUAGACGGAUAGUCUUUUGCUUGACGACUUGGCUGAAAGUGUCCUUAUAGUCAAUGUCAUACUUUUGAUUAUAACCCUUCACAACUAGGCGAUCCUUGUAACGAGAUAUGUAUCCAUCUGCAUUACAUUUGUUGCAGUACACCCACUUGCAACCAAUUUGUUUUCGAUGUCGGAGUGCUGGCACCAAUUAAUAAGAUACAUGUAUUCGUCAUCCAUAGUCUAACACCAAAGGGGAUUACUAGAGGUUUGUUUGUAGGUAAUAUGUUCAGAGGGAGAGAUAGCAGGCAAAGUAGUGGUGUAGGCUUUGGUCUUGAAAAUUCCUGAUUUGGAAUGGGUUUACAUACGAUGUAAUGGUGGUGGGGGUGGGGGUGGUAGGGGUGCUGGUGAGACUAUUGGAAAGUGUUGUUAAGGUGGGUGGAAGCUUGGUGGGGUUUGUGGGAUGGGUAGAUUUUGUGGGCUGGGUGGUCCAACUUGGAUAUGGGAUUCGGGGUUAUUCGUUGGUUGCAGAAUUGAUGAGUUGAUGGGUUCCGGUACAAGGACAUGUGAGCUCCGUGGAAAGAUCGGAAUAAUAUCAAGUGGGUUGGACGUGGCAGAGAUAGAACUCAAUCGGGGAUAGGGAAAUUCAUCAUCGAUAAAACGAACCUUACAAGAGACAAAUGUUUUUUGAGAGACGGGAUCAAAACAUUUGUAUCAUUUUAUGGUUUGGUGGUAGCCUAGAAAGACGCACGGUGUAGACCGGGGUUGAAGUUCGUGUUGAGUUUGAGGUCGUAGCCAAGGGUAGACAAGACACCAAAAGGUCGAAGGUUAGUGUAAUCAGGACGGUGUUUGUAGCGACAUUCAUAAGGAGAUGUGUGUGAGAGAGAGGGUGUGGGCAUGCAGUUGGUGAGAUAGUUGUUAGUGGCCAACGCCUCAACCCAGAAGGAUGCAGGGAGAUGAGAUUUAUAAACGAGGGUUACGACAGUCUCAAUGAGGUUACUGUGCUUGCGUUCGGGAAACCCAUUUUGUUCAGGAGUAUAGGGGCAAGAUGUGUGAUGAAUAAUACCAACAGAUUGUAGAAAAAGACCAAAGGCAAUGUUUAAAUAUUCUUUGCCAUUGUUACUACGAAAGAUUUUAAUGUUGGAACUAAAUUGGGUUUUGACCAUGCAUUCAAAAUUUACAAAAAUCGAAUAUGCUUAAGAUUUGCGUUUUAAUUGAUAAAGCCAUGUAAAUUUACUGUAAUCAUCAACAAAACAGAUAUAGUAACGAAAACCAUUAAAGGGGAGGUUGGGCCACACACAUCAGAAUGUAUUAAUUCAGAUGGCAUUGUGGCCUUAGUGUCCAGUAAGAUAAACGGUAAACGACUCGAUUUUGCUACAUAGCACUACUCACAAUGAUCCUUAGUGCAAAGCGAAAAACCUAAGAUAUCUUCGAAGGAAAAGUGUUUAGACCUUGCUCACAACGGCCCUUGUACCGGAUCUGUUUUGUUAAAUUUUCCACUAUCUUAAAAUUAUGGGCAUUAAAAAUAAGAGUGCAAUUAUUUUCUUUGGUAAACAUAUAGACAUACAAAAGGUUGGAUGUUAGGGAUGGGACGUGAUGUAAUGUGGAAAAGGAGAAAGUACCUGUGGAGGUGUAAACGUAGCCGGAACCUAUAAUGGAAAUGGGAAAGAUUGGCCGUUACCUAAAGUGAUCGUGUCAAUGCCAGAAUAGGAAGUCGGAAUAUGGAGCUGAGAGUAAUCAGGCGUCACGUGAGAAUUUGCUCUAGUAAAAAGAUAACAAUAACUGGACGAGUUGCUUGUAGAUGCAUGCAUCGCACGAGUUCCUCCAGAUGGUGAAGAAUCAGACUGCUCAUCGUAGCGGUACAAACACACAUGAGCCACAUGUCUGCGCUUGUCACAUAUUUGACAGACAGGCAUGUCACGACUUGAUGAAAACCUAUCUCUCCUGCGUCUACUGUCCUGGACCGAUCUGACGUGGCCAGGAGUGCUGCCUUGACCGAGUGACUAAUGACGUCCGCCACUACGCUGCCCGGCCCUGUAGAGUGCUGUGUGGGUUGCGUGCGCUAUCGAGUCAGCGAGGGCCAAUUUGGAUUCCAUGGCAAGAUAUAAUUCUACUGCAUACAACCAGCGCGAUAUUUGAUUGAGUGUGAGUGGGACAUCGUGAUAGAGGAUGUGUUGUAUUAGAGAAGAAAAUUCGGCAGGCAAGCCCCGAACAACAACAUUGAUGACAUCUCGUUCGGGAACAAAUUCAUUAAGGGCAUCAAGAUCAAAAUUAAUUGAGGUUGCUUAGUCUAGAUAUUGGACCAUGGUGCGAGUGCCCUUGUGGAGUGUGGGAAGACGGUCACUCAACUGGAAAACAUGGGCCGUUGAUAAGGAGUGGAAACGGGUAGCAAGAGCAUUCAAAAGAGUUCAACAGGUAGUAAAACCACGAGCAUACUUCUGAAUUUGUGGGCUAAUCACGGCGAUAAGGCAGGCAUGAACUUUAACAUCAAUAAGAGUCCACGACAUAUGAGCAGGAUUCGAUCCAAUCGAGGCCUUACCAUCUUUGUCCGUGAUGGUGACACUAAGGGUGACACAACACCGGUACUGUCGACCCUAUCGAGAAGAAGAUUGGAGAAAAGCGUCGUCUUGACUCUAUUCGACCAAGCCGGAUAAAUAUGAUUAGUUAAUUUUUCUAGUAUGAGAUUGUGAAGAUUGCAAAGAAGCAAUUUCACGCUGGAGGGGAGUGUUGCAGGAGGAUCGGCUGCCAUAUUGAAAAAAAAUCAGAAUGUAUCGAUUUUUUUUUAUCGGCAAAAGGAAGGGUUUUAGGUUUUAGGUUUCAGAAGAGUUUAAACCUUGAUCUGAUCCCAUGAUAGAAUAAUGAGUGUUAUUGAUAAAGAGGUGAACAUCCAAUAUAUAUAGAGGAAACAUGAAUAAGUAAUUGCACAUGAGUCACAAAAUUAUUAUUAAUUAUAGUUACUCCUAUUACCAUAGAGGCAGAGUGUUUGAUGGCUCCAACUCAAAUAGAACGAAUAUUGAGAACUUUUAUAGCAUUUUAGUCUUACAGUUUGCCAAAAAAAUUAACGAAUUAUGGAAGAGUAAUCUGAUCAACCUCACAACACAAUUAGUUUAUAAAUGAUCUAAAGCUAGUUAAAUCAGAAAGUAUAAGAGGAAGAAAGCAUCUUACUUAUGUUUUGGAGAAUAUUAUGAACGAAUACGUUUCAUAACGUAAACUUUUUAUUUGAAAAGAAAUGUAUAUUAACUAUUUUUAUAUAUUUCAAAUAUAAUUUAGCUAAGAUGUUUCAAAGAGGGUUAUUCAAACAUUUAUUUAUCAUUCUAAAACAUUUCCUUGUGAUUUAAUGGAUGAGUCUCACUACGGGUGAGUAGACGUGGUAGGUGAUCAAGUCAAUUGUUCUCUAUCUACAACCUCCUAUUGUGCAUCUAACAUUGAUUUUGGGUCGUCUGGCCUCCAGACGAUGAUUCCCCUUUAACUAGAUGAUUUCUUCCCACCAAUAUAAGUUUUGUCAAACAGAGUUGCUAGAGAGAGAUAGUAGAUAUGUUUGUAUAGUCGUGACGUAUGUGCAAUUUUGCAUGAGCACCAUCAUAAGUCUCCUAAGAUAGUUUCAAAUUUUCGUUGUAAUCUUUUGCUAGUUGCUACUUUGAGUUUAUUUCAUUCUUUUAGCAUUGUGGUAUUUGCAUUUGUUUUGUAUGUUUGACAUGUUUAGAGGUCCUUUUGGAUCUCUCAAGUAAAAAUUUUGACACUUUCUUGUUCAACGCUCUCACUAACUUUACAAUUCUGAAAAAAUAUUGCAUUAUAGAUUCAAUAAUUCUCAAACUAUGAUUUGAAUAGUAACACCUAUGUUCUUUAGAUUUCUUUGGAUAAUGAAUUAUUCACUUACUCUUUGAAUUUUAAGUUUAAUUUUGUCUUUCUUAUAAUAUCAUUUCCUUAAGUAAAUAAAAUAAACCUAUCCAUUCAUAAACACAUUAUUUGAUGCUUUCAUCCUCUUAUGCUUGUUGAUUUAGCUUUAAAUAAUUAAUCACCAACUACCUAAACUUAUAAGGUUGAUCAAAUUAAAUAGGGAAAACACGAAGAUAUACCCCAAAAAAAUUGUGAACGGUAUGCAAAUACCCUUCGUCCUAUUUUUGGGACAUUGGUGCCCCUUUCGUCAUACUUUUGGUACAUUGGUGCCCUUGUCCUCAUACUUUUUGGACUUUUUAGCACUUGUCGUCAUCGUCUUGAGGCCAAACGAAGAUUCCCUUCCAACUAGAUGAUUUCUUCCCACCAAUAUAUGUUUUGUUGAGUAGAUUUGCUAGAGAGAGAUAGUAGGUAUAUUGGUAUAGUCUUGACAUUUUUGAAAUUUUCCAUGAGCACCAUCAUAAGUCUCCUUAGAUAGUUUCAAAUUUUAGUUGUAAUUUUUUUGUAGUUCCUACUUUGAGUUUAUUUCAUUCUUUCAGCAUUGUGAUAUUUGCAUUUGUUUUUUUUUGUUUGACAUGUUCUAGAGGUCAUUUCGUAUCUCUAAAGUAAAAACUUUUACACUUUUUCGUUCAACUCUCUCACUAACUUUACCAUUAUGAAAAAAAAUUGCAGCAUCGAUUCAAUAAUUCUCGAACUAUGAUUUAAAUAUUAACACCUAUGUUCUUUAGAUUUCGUUGGAUAAUGAAUUAUUCACUUACUAUUUGAAUUUUAAGUUUAAUAUUGUCUUUCUUAUAAUAUCCUUUCCUUAAUUAAAUAAAAUAAACCUAUCUUAAAUUCAUACAUAAACACAUUAUUUGAUGCUUUCAUCCUCUUAUACUUGUUGAUUUAGCAUUAGAUAUUUAAUCACCAACUACUUCAAAUUAUAAGGUUGAUCAAAUUAACUAGGGAAAAAAGAGAGAUAUAUCCCGAACUUUUUUGAACGGUAUGUAAAUACCCUUCGUACUAUUUUUGGGACAUUGGUGCCCCUGUCGUCAUACUUUUGGGACAUUGGUUCCCUUGUCAUCAUACUGUUGGGACAUUGGUGCCCUUGCUGUCAUACUUUGGGUAGAAUGGUGCCCCUGCCCCUUCGUUAGAGUGAAUGACAUAUAUGCUCUAAUUUAUGAAAGACAGAGACACCAAUGUCCCAAAAGAAUGACAAAGGGUAUUUGUGUACCAUUUACGGUAGUUCGGGGUUAUAUUUGUGCUUUUUCUCAAUUAACUAUACAGAAAUUCUAAUAAAAUAAGAAUGUGGAAAGAAGAUAUAACUUAAAUUUAACAUGACUGACUUUUUGACUCUUAUCAUUGAAACCGUUUAAAUAUAAAAACUAUAAGGUCCGAUUAUUUAUACACUUCAAGACAUCUAUUUUUAUAUAUCUUUUUAAAGAAUAUAUAACACUAAUAUAUACUAUUCAAGAAGAAAACUUAGGUUUACGUAAACUCAGUGACUCCAUUUAGAUACACCCCUGAUCAAAUAACACUCUUUUAAUGGUAGAAAAACAAGUGCGGGAUGAAAUAUAUGAAGAAGAAACAAUGCAUAAUCUUUCUUAUUUUAUGCUUUGUUGUUAGUAUGUAUAGGUUUUUACAUGUUUCUGUAAAUACUUUGCUACCUGGUGCUAGUUCUAUCCCAGACAUUUUCCAAUAUAGAACUAAUGAUUUAAUGAAUAAAAAUAACUAAUCAUUGCAAUAUGCUAUUGUUUUUCUGUUAGUAGAUUAUAUAUUAUUGUUAUUCCUUUUAGUAUUCAACACACAAUUAAAAGUUCUUAAUCAAAUAUAUUUUUUAACAUACAAAUAUAUACAUUUGACUACCAAAAUAAAAUAACUUGCUCAAUGUGUUUACUAUUUAUGAAGUAAUUGAUUCACUUUAGACAAUAAGCUCUAACAAUUGUGACAGACAAUUUUUUAUAUCAAAUACAAAUAAAAAAAUUUAAUAAUGUAUACCAUUAAUAAAUAUAUUAACUCAACCACGUUGAUGACAAAUUACAUCACUUUAUGCAUUUGUAUUCUUUUUCAACAAACUAGUUUAAUCACUUUAUUAACUAAUAAAUGUUUCUCAUUAAGAUAAGCUCAUCAUUAAAUUUAUUUACCCCAAAAAUAACUUGCAAAAAUAAAAAAAUAAGACCAUUAAUUUAAGUUUGUAAAAUGUCAAUCACGUGUGAUCUACAGGCAUGGAAAAUCACAAAUGAGAUAAUUUUAAAAAUCUCCGAGAUUUUUAAAAGUGAUCAUGUCUGCAGUGAUUCUGAUUUUGGAGGAUUGGGAAUGCUAGUGAGACAGUUAUCUGAUAAAGCAUGUAUUCAUAUACAUUUAUUUAUUUCCUCUUUGGCUCUUGCGGACUUGGUGAAGAUGUAAAAGUCUCCAGACAAUGCUAAGAAAGAUAUUGCUUAUGAAUCCAUUCGUAGAUUCAUCAAUUCAUUGAUGAGUACUGAUAUGCAUAUGAGGCGAUAAAGUAAAUGUGCUCAACGGAUAUCAGUGUUCUGUAACUUACUGAGAAACGUUUUUGGGCGUGAGGAUCUCUUGUAUAGCUUUUAUCCGAGUAGUAUAAGGUAAAUAGUAGAGGCUGUUGGAAUUGCAUGAUGUUGAAGAAUGUUGCUAAUGAAUUGUUAGCAUUGAAUGAUGUUUUCUGUUUGUUCGUGAGGUUUUAGUUGCUGAUUUAUCCUGUGAGUUAGAAUUGAGUAUGAAACCAAUUGAGUUUGGGGGGUUAUCACUGAUGAGCACCGUGUGUGAUUUUACUGGGUACAUAUGCUUGGUGAGGGUAUUGAUGCAACAACCUUUUGACUGUCCAAGCGAUUAAGCAGUGUAUGACAGGGAGUACAUUGAGAGCUUGCAUCAUAUUUUAUCAUAAUUACUUAUCGUUUUAUAUGAUUUGAUGGAUAAAAAAGAGCGGUGCUUAAGGAAAUUGGAAUAUCAGUUUAGAUUGAUCGAUGAAGAUGGAAGGCUUAUCGUACCGUGCCUGUGCCAGUAUAUUGUUGUAAUGAAAGAGUAAAACAACAUUUUAAAGUUGUUUAACAACUCAGAGGUAUUUUGGCAGAAGUUGAGUAAACUAAAAUUUUCAUUGUGCUAUCUAAUUGUGAUUUUGCAAAGAGUUUUAAAGAUUAUAAAUGGAUCAUUGAGCACAAGGAGGUAACCAAUUUCAAAUUACAGAGAUAUUUUAUAAUGAUGAGGCUUGAAGAAGUUAAAGAUGGAUACAAUCAGGAGAUAUAUGAGAUGAUUAUCGAUAGGUCCAUGUUAUUGGAUUUAUCUUUUAAGUAUAUUGUAGAUGAAGAUCCUGCAUUGCUGUGAGGCAAUCUCUUAAUGCAAUUCAAAUAUGAAAAAGAUGUUUGGUCCAGAGUGUUGAGAGAGUGGUUCUUCUUUGUAUGUCGAUAAAUGUUCAGUCCUCACAUAUCUCUCUUUGUUGCUUGUCCCAAUCUGUUGAUCAACCUCCUUAGAUAUCUUUUCUACUUCAAAAGUUAAACAAGUAAAUGUACUUAUCCUCUCAAUCACCAUUGUGUUGGAAGCAUGCUGAAACAUUCUAAGUGUUGGAAGCACGCUCAAAAAGUACUAAGUGUUAGAAUAAGCUGAAAUAUGCGUAAUGUUGGAACAGACUGAAAUAUUCUAUGUUUUAGAAUGGUUAAUUUCUAUUAUGCUUUAGAAUGUAUUUUGAAUUUGAAAAUAUUCUAUAUGUUAGAAUAUUUAGUGCUGGAACUUAGUCUGAAUACUGUGAGGACAAGUUUUAGACACUUGUCUGAUGUAACCGCCUAUGUAACUUUUGUAACUGCCUUGUGCAAAACUUUUAUAUCGGGUGGAAAUUCGUCUAUAGCAAAGGAGAAUGAUUCUGUCCUUAGAUUAAUUUGUGAAGUCUUAUCCUUUGUUGAUUUGUUAUUAGUAAAAGGUUUAGAAGAGUUCCCGUAUAUUGAAUAUGUUGUUACUUUGAUUGUUGCCUAAGAAAACUAAAUUAAGUCUUUCUAUACUUAGUCAAAUUUGUGUGAGUGUAAGACUGAAGUUUGCAAGAGUUGUAGACUGCCAGAAAAUUGUGUUAGGUAUAAGAAAAUUAUCGACCUUGUUUUAGUUUGCAUGGAUUCACAAAUUAAGAUAAUAUAAAAAUAAAUGGAGUAUUCAUUAUUUAUCAUCAUAAUUAUUUCGUCUACUUCUUCUCUAUUCCAAAUUUAUGUGACAAACUUUUCAUUAAUCAGUUUAUUAAAGAAUAACUAAUGUAUCAGCAUAUAACUUGUGUUUUACUUCAUUCAAUCAUGUAAUGAUGAAAAUUGUAUUAGUUUUAUGUAUACACCUUGUGCGGAUAAUUUUUUUCUUCAUAUUUUUGUGUUUUACUAAUGUUUAAUGACCCUAUCAAUAUUAUUUGGCAAAAUCAUCCUAGGUAUAUAUUUAAGAUUCUAUAUUACAUCAUACAAAUAUACUAAUAUGAAAUUAUUAAUAUAAAAAUUUAAUAACGUGUGAUAACAAAUUCGAAUUAAUGUAAAUUUAAAUUUUAUUUAUUUAUUUGUUAUUUUCUUAUUUAAUGUUUAAAAGAGAAAACAAAAUACGUAUUCUUUUUAUGGCAGUUACCAAGAUAUUAUCUAACCAUAAUAUAGAAAUGUCACGACCCAAAUUCACAAGUCGUGAUGUUAUCUAUGUCCCCAACCAAUAGGUAAUCCAACCCAGCAUAUUUUACAAACUUUAACUAAAUUGUGUGAAGAAAAAAAACACUAAGUGAAAAUCACCAACAUAAAGCUCUUUAUAAGUACGAAUUGCAGAAAGCUAAAAAUACCAUCCCAAGAAUCGGUGUCAUAAGUACAAGAGCUUCUAAAAUACGAUGCAAGUCUGAAAAUAAAAUUACACAUCUAACAUAAGGGAUAUCCUUUUUGAAUACUAAAAAAACAGAAUAAGUAAAAGAUAGAGGGAGGUGUGGGCCACGGAACAGCAAAGUAGCUCACCACAACUUCAAGACACUCUAAGCUUGGACUCAAUUUGUUCAAAGCGAUUUGCUCGUACUCAUAAUCGAAUCUGCACCACAAAGAGUGUAACAAGUGUAGUAUGAGUACGAAACCACAUGUACUCAGUAUAUCUCAUUGAUCGACAAUGAAGAAUUGUGACGGGAGUUUUUAUAAGAAAAAACAUUUCUUUAAUUGUACAAGUUUAUAUUACACUUACUAGUCAUGUUUCAUUGAAUAAAGGUAAUCAAAUAUCAAGUACUUUCCAACCACUAAAUAAAACACAUAAGCAGAAAAUAUGAAUGAUGUGAUGAAAUGCAAUGCAAUAUAAUGCCAUGAAAUGAUAUGUCUAAGAAUUCUCAGCUCUCUCUCAACCAUAUAUACAUGAUACUCCUCAUAAUUACAUCGAGAGUUCAUGACCCAUCGGGAUCUUGCAAGGUCCAUAUAUAGACACGAACGAUCUUCAAGUGUCUUUGUGAACAAUCUCAAAGCACUAUCAUCAAUCAAACAAUUUUCCAUGGAUGAUUUCCAUGUGCCCAAAGUAGAAUCUUUACAUUUUACGAUCCCCAGCACCGACGAUCUCCACGUGCCCAACUUAUACUCAAUCUCAUUUCAAUGCGUGUACACAAUAUUAUUUCAAUAAAGGGGAUGAUGAUGCACCUCAAUCAGUCAAAUAUCAACAUAAUACAUAACCAACUCAAUUAUAACAAGGAUUUCAAGUCAAUAAUAUAUCAGCUAAUGCCCUUAUGCUUUGGCAUUCUCAAAUUACAAUGUACAUUCUGUAUUAGUAACUUUCCCUUUUAUAAUACUGGUACUCGUACUAAUGUCCGUCACAUCAUUGAUACGAGAUCCACAUCGUUUGUCCUUACCCUUUUUCUAUUUCAUUUUUAAUCCUUAAUUACGAAAACAACAUUUAACAAGUCUAAAAGGUCUUAGCAUACCUUAAAUACCGAAUCUCAAGCCACGAAUCUUCAAGAUUUUCUCUUUACUUUUUGCAAAGUUUUGAAAUGUUCUCAAUCUAUCAAUUAUGCGAUAUUCAUAUGUAAAGUGGCUUUAUAGACAUUCAAAUUAUAAUAUGUCUAUCAUAGACCCUAAAACUCACUCAUAUCUCUAACAAACUUCAAAUCUUGACAUAAUUUAUAUGUCAAAAUUAUCAUAUAUGCUAAAUUUCAUGUAAAAAAUUGAACUUUAAUCUCUCCAAUAAUCUGGAAUAGAGUUAGCACCAGGAAGUAAAAUAUUUACAGCAAGAUGUAAAAACUUAUAUAUAUUAACGACAAAACACAAAGUAACAGCGAGAAAUAAAAUUGAUAAAAUAAAAGUAGAAAAUCCCUUUGAAAAAAUAAUUACUGUAAUAGACAAUAAUGACUACAGCUAUAUAGAAAUUGACAUAGAAGAAGAUUUAGAAAUUGUAAAAGAAAGAUUAAGCACUUCAAGUAUACCGAAUACAUUAACAAAAACUACCUCAUCAAGAAUGAGUACAUUAGAAGAAACUAUGAAAUUCCACAAAAAUUAUUAGAAGAUAUAAAACCAUACCAUUAUUUUAAAACAGGAAUAAUAGAUCAAAGAAGAUAUAAAAUUUUAAUAAAUACAGGACAAGAAGAAAAUUACAUAACAAGAGAAUUAGUAUUAUAAACGGAAAUUAUAAAAACAGGACAAUUAUGCCCCGGACUACCUAGUGAGAUAGUAAAUACAAAUGAAGAGAUAACAGGAAAAGAAAUAAUUAUAGGAGGAAUCCAUUAAUAAUACCAUUUAAAAUUUUUCAAGAAAAUCAGAAUAUUACAUUAGGAAUAAAAUGGUUAGAAAAAGUUAAACCAUACAAUAUAGAAAAUGAACAAUUAACAAUAACUUACCAAAAUAAGAAAAUAAUUAUCAAAAGAACAAAAUGAAUAAUAAAAAUAUAUAUACUUGCAAAAAUUAUUCUAGAAUGAUAUCACAACAGAUACUAUACCUCUAUGAUAGAUACAGGAGCAGAAGCGAAUAUAUGUAAAUAUAAUUGUUUACCAGAAGAUAAAUGGGAAAAAUUUAAAACACCUAUGGUGGUAACAGGAUUUAAUAAUGACGGAAGUAUGAUUACAUAUAAAGCAAAAAAUUUAAAAAUACAAAUAUGGGUUAAAUACUAAAAAUAGAAGAAAUGUAUAAUUUUGAAUUUACAACAAAAGAUAUGUUAUUAGGAAUGCCAUUUCUAGAAAGAUUUUACCCACAUAUUAUAACGAAAACACAUUGGUGGUUUACUACACCAUACGGAAAUAAAAUAAGAGCAAAAAGAGUAAAUAAUAAAAAACGCAAACCUAUAGAAUAGAUAAAAGGAAGUGAAAAAAUAAAUGAAAAAAUGGAAAAUAUAAAUAAAAAACAAAUAACACAAUUAGAAAUUAUAAUAUUUACAAUAGAUAAAUUGAAAAAUAAUUAACGAACAACUAGAAUUACUAUAUAAUGAAAAUCCAUUACAAGGAUGGGAAAAACAUAAAACAAAAACAAAAAUUGAAUUAAUAGAUGAAAAUAGCAAAAUAACACAGAAACCAUUAAAAUAUAAUUUUGAUGAUUUAAAAGAAUUCAAAAUACACAUAGAUGAACUAUUGGAAAAUAAUUAUAUACAAGAAAGAAAUAGUAGACAUACAAGUCCAGCAUUUAUAGUUAAUAAACACAAUGAACAAAAAAGAGGAAAAUAUAGGAUGGUUAUAGAUUAUUGUAAUCUAAAUGCCAAAACUAAAACAUACAAUUACCCAAUACCAAAUAAAAUACUAAAAAUAAGACAAAUACAAGGAUAUAACUAUUUUAGUAAAUUUGACUGUAAAUCAGGAUUUUAUCACCUAAAACUAGAUGAAGAAUCUAAACGACUAAUAACAUUUACUGUACCACAAGGAUUUUAUGAAUUGAAUGUUUUACCAUUUGGAAAUAAAAAUGCACUAGGUAGAUAUCAAAAAUUUAUGGAUAACCAUUUCAAUCAACUGGAAAAUUGCAUUGUCUAUAUAGAUGAUAUAUUAUUAUAUUCUAAAACACAAGAUGAACAUAUUAGAUUAUUAGAAAAAUUUAUACAUAUAAUUAAACAUUCUGGUAUAAGUUUAAGUAAAAAGAAUGUAGAAAUUAUGAAACCACAAAUGAAAUUCUUAUGAAUACAAAUAGAUAAGAAUGGAAUAAAAAUGCAAACCCACAUAGUACAAAAAAUAAUUACCCUUGAUGAAAAUAAAGAUACAUAAAAAGAAAUUACAAUCUUUUCUAGGAUUAGUAAACCAAGUAAGAGAUUAUAUACCAAAAUUAGUAGAACAUUUAAAACCAUUACAUGAAAAACUUAAAAAAGGUGUUGAAUGUUUUUUCGACAAUAAAGAUAAAGAACAUAUAAGACAUAUCAAGAGCUUAUGUAAGAAACUACCAAAACUAUAUUUUCCCGAUGGAAAUAGAUCAUCUACUUAUAUUGUUGAAACAGAUUCAAGCGAUCAUAGUUAUGGAGGAGUUUUAAAAUAUAAAUAUGAAAAAGAAAAAAUAGAACACCAUUGCAGAUAUUAUUCAGGAUCUUAUGCAGAAACACAAAUAAAAUGGAAAAUAAAUAGAAAAGAAUUUUUUGCACUAUAUCAAUGUCUGUUAGUAUUUGAACCAUAUAUUGUUUACAAUAAAUUUAUUGUAAGGACAGAUAAUACACAGGUAAAAUAGUGGAUAACUAAAAAGGUACAAGAUUCAGUUACAAAAAAAGAAAUAAGGAGACUAGUAUUAAAUAUAUUAAAUUUUACAUUUACAAUUGAGAUAAUCAAGACUGACAAAAAUAUGGUUGCUGACUACUUAUUAAGACAGAGCUACUCAAACUGAGGACAAAAACGAACAUACAAUUGAAGAGCUAUUCAAUGCCAUUACUACACUUUGUACCAAAGCGGACAGAAUGGAUAAUGAGAUACAAAAUCUACAGACUAAUGAAGAUAACCUGAACUCUAAAGCUAAUAUAAGUCAACAGCAUGACUGUAAAAAUGCGGAGCUACGUCGUUCGGCAGACGAAAAACAGCUAGAGAUAAAAGGAGACGUUGGGAAACUCCUUAAAAUCUAUAACGUUGCUAAUGUUGUUGGUACAAGCACAGAAAUUAUGGAAAAAGCUACACCAAAAAAUACAAAUCUAAAUAUCCUAUUUACAAAGCCAUUUAUUCCAAAAGUACAAAUGAUAGAUACCCCAACACCACAAACAUCUACAUAUGCAGCCAGCAUGCAUAAAGAAAAGAAAACAUAUAACCAUAUUUCCCAAGCUUAUAUUGAAAAUCUAUAUAAAAUACAAAACUUUUUAAACGUCAAACCUAGAUCUACCACAACUACAGAAAAAACCCAAGGCUAUUUAACCCAGAAAUUAUAAGGUUAUAAUAAACUAAUUGCACAGCCAAAAACAAAUCCCAAUCUAGUUAAGACCUGUUACAAUUAUGGAUUAUUACAUAUAUUUUACACAUAUACAGGAGAGGAAAUAAGUGGAAUCCAGAAGUCCAGAAAUCGUUUUUAAUAUAUAACAAAAUAACAAAAGGAAAUUUAUUUUUUAUAGGAUUCUAUACAGCACCAAUUGAAAUACACUACGACGAGAUAAAACCGAUGAUCCAAAUAGUAAAAAUUGGAGUAACCCGGGAGAUGAUAAUACCAAAAGAUAUAGGACAACAACCGGAGAUAUCAAAACUUGAGAUACCCAUUUUUUAUGCGAACAAAAGAAUAAUUGGGCUAUCAACAUCAUAUAAGAGUUAGCCAACAUUUAUUUACAAGGAAAUACUAUAUGGAGUUAUUAUUUCAGAGAUCAUUUGACUAUAUAUGCCAAUUUACGGGAGAUAAGACAAGCAAGUCCAAAAAUUGAUUUUAUCCUUAUUAAAAUCCGAAGCCACUCCAACAACCAGAGCAAUACAGAAAAGAUUUAUCUCUGAAGAAUUAUUGACAAGAUACUGUAAGUUAAUUGGACAUAAAUAUCCAGAUCAUAUAUGUUCAAAUUGUAACGAAGGUUAUGAUAUAAUCCCUGAAGUACAAUUAGAAUAAUUAAAAAAAUAUAUAAAGUAAUGUAAAGUAGUAAUAGUAUUGUCGGCCAUUAUAUAAUGUAUUCGGCCAUUAUAUAAAGUGCUUUAUUUUUUAGCGUCGGCCUGCUAAAGUAAAGGCCAUUAUAUGUAAAGUAUUUUGUUUGUUAGUGUCCGCCAAAGAAAAUUAGGUCAUAUGUAAAACUUUAUUAAAGUAGUGUCGGCCACUUAUAUUGGCCAAGCAUGUAAGUUUGAUUGUAUAAAUAGAGGAUUUUUCCCUCAUAAUAAAGGCAUGCUACUACCAAUUAAUUCUAUCUCAAUAUAUCAAAACAAUUAUCUUAAUUUGAUAAAAUAAAUAUAAUAAGGAUCAAUUCUACCAAUUAACAGCACCAGACAAAGCACAUAAAAUCGACAACGUUACACAUUUUUCGAAUCCAUUUUGUAUUAUAAAUGCCUUUAAUUUUCAAAAAAAGAAUCUAAUUAAUAACCAUUGGAACUACACAUUACAUUCAGGCAGAAUAUAAUUGUUGGCAUUGACUAUCAAUUUCCAAUGAUAACCUAAUCAUUGUCUAAUGAUUUAACUUAAUAAAAUAACAUUUACCGUAACCUAGUUCAGCAAACAUUGCCACAUGGUAUUUCCACUUUCCACUUCCCUUUCUUGCAAUUCAAACAAAUCAACCAACACCAUUGGAAAUUCACCACCAUAAUUUAAUAAAUCCUAAAAAAAGUUUAAUCACUCAUAUAAGGUUAUUAUUCGAUCCAACCAUUUUAUUAUCCAUCAAUUCUGACCAGCCUUCCCACUAGCACUACCGAAACGAAAUUUAUUCACAUACAAAAUAUAAAUAUUAUUACACUACUACAGCUGCAUUGCAUAAUUUACAUUUACAAAUUGAUGGAAUUUGAAGUACUUACAAGGAUAACCGACGAAACCGUGUUGCCAACCGCUAUUCUUAAAAUCUUGAGUUAUGAAUAAAUUGUUAAAGGAAACUUUCACAUAUAAAAAAUAAAAAAUUAAUAUUUGUAUUCUAUAGCAAAGUUUAAAUAAUUGCGCUCCAUAGCACACAUAAAACUGUAUAAUUGGCUAUACAUAUACAAUUGUUUAAUUCGCUGACCUAAAUUGUAUAAUUCGCUGGCAUAUUUCACUGCAAUUGUAUAAUUCACCAUCCUAUUUCACUGCAAUUGUAUAAUCCACAAUUGUAUAAUUCGCUGCCAAUUUGGAUGCAAUAUUUUUAUAAAUUUUCUUUGCAUACAAUUGAAUCGAAUCAAAAUGUAUGUAUAUUGCUUAAUUAUAAGGGUAGAGCAAGAAGAUAUAUGUUUUUCUUUCGCUUUAUACAAAAAAAGGAACACAAUAUAUACACUUCUAUUGUAUAAAGCGACAGAAAAUUUUAUUUCACUACAAUUGUAUAAUUCGCAAUUGUAUAAUUCGUUGGCCUUUAUCGCUGCAAUAUUUGUAUAAAAUUUACAUUUGUCUACAAUUGAAUUGAAAUAAAAUGUUUGUAAAUUAUAUUAUUAAGUGUAUAACACGAAGAUAUAUGUUUUUGCAUGUAUAUAUACAAUUUUCUCUCGCUUAAUACAAAACAGAAACAAAAUUUAUACACUUCUUUGUAUAAAGCGAGAGAGGCAAGCAGAGGGAGAGUGGCAAGCGAGAAUGGGAGAGUGGCGAGCGAGAUUUUUGGGAGAGAGGCGACUGACAAACUUUAGCUAACGUUUGCUAAGGAGCACAUUUAAAUCAAACCGUAGCUACUCCAUUUAUAUUAGGUUAUUAGUUUUCUAUUAUAUACAAUUAUCUCAUUUAUUAACUCCUCUUUACCUAACCUAAUUUCAUGGGCCAAGUAUAAAUGGAUAUUGCAUGAAUUAUGGACUUGUCCCACUAAAAGUUAACUAUACUAAUUAUUUUAUAAAUUUCAUCAACUAGAUACUCGUAGUUACCGAAUAAUUAAAUAUACCCUUCAAAAUUUUCUGGAGAGAGUCAAAAUAGUCACAGUUCUCAAAACAACCUAGCGUAUCGUUACAUCACUUACAACUUAAACAAACGUUCGUCCUCGAACGGAAAAAGAAAUAAAAUCUAAUCUAAACUCUCAAAAAGAUGUGGAUAUUUACUCCUCAUGUCGGACUCGGUCCCCCAUUUAGCCUCCUCUACCAUACGAAACCUCAAAUGUGCCAUUUCAAUACUCGAAUGGUAACUAUUAUUGUAAGCAAACUCCACAAGUGGCAAGAACUUAUCCCAAUGACUACUAAAGUCGAUCACACACGCUAAUAACAUGUCCUCAAGAACAUGAAUAGUCCGUUUAGAGUGACUGUCAGUCUGAGGGUGAAAGGUUUUACUAAGAUCCACCCGAGUGCCAAACUUCUUCUGCAUAGACCGCAAAAAAUUAGACGUAAAUUGGGUGCCAAGAUCUGAAAUAAUAGAAAUAGAAACCCCAAGCAAACGAACAAUCUCUUGAAUAUAAAUAGAGGCUAACUUCUUUGAAUAAUAGGUAGUCUGAACGGGCACGCAAUGUGCAGACUUAAUCAAUCAAUUCACGAUGACCCAUAUAGCAUCAAACUUACCCAAGGUACGUGGCAACUCUACCACAAAGUUCACAGCAAUGCACUCCCACUUCCACUCAGGUAUGGUAUCCUCUGAGUCACACCUCCAAGCUUAUGGUGUUCAUACGUUACUUGCUGACAAUUGAAACACCGUGAUACAAAAUCUACUAUGUCCUUUUUAUACGGCACAACCAAUAAUGAUGCUUCAAGUCAAGAAAAAUCUUUAGUAGCCCUUUGAUGAAUAAAGUAACUCAAACUAUGGACCUCCUCCAUGUUUAAUCUAGUAAGAUCACCUGUCCGAGGAAUACAUAUAUGACCCUUAAUCUUCAAAACUCCCUCACUAUCAAGAAUUGCAGCCUUGACUUCUCCUUUUAACACCUUGUCUCUUAUCUUACAUAAAUCACCAUCAUCAAACUGUUGAGCCCAAAUUUGCUCCGACAAGGAUGACCUAGCCUUCAUAUGAGCCAAUACUUUACCAGAUUCUGAAAUAUCAAGUCUCACAAAAUUAUUGGACAAUGAAUGGACAUCCUUAGCUAAAGGACACUCGCUAACCUGUAACAUGGCUAGACUACCCAUACUUACCGCCUUCCAAGUCAAGGCAUCUACUACAACAUUUGUCUUCCCUGGAUGAUAAAUAAUAGUCAUGUCGUAGAGAAACUCCAACCAUCUACGCUUCGUCAAAUUGAGAUAUCUUUGAGUGAAUAUAUAUUGGAGACUACGAUGAUUGUGAACACCUCACAAUGCACACCAUAAAGAUAAUUCCUCCAAAUCAUUAAUGCAAACACAACAGCUGCCAACUCUAAAUCAUGAAUAGGAUAGUUCUUCUCAUGAACCUUCAACUAUCUCGAAGCAUAGGCUAUAACCUUUUCCUUCUGCAUCAAUACACAAUCAAGACCAAUAUAAGAAGCAUUAAUAUACAACAAAACCCUUUCCCUCCACGGGUAGGGUCAAAAUUCUAGCAGUAGUCAAUUAAGUCUUGAGCUUUUCAAAACUAACCUCACACUCAUCAGACCGCUGGAACUCACCUCCUUCUGUGUCAAUCUAGUUAACGUAGAUGCAAUGGAUGAGAAAUCCUCUACUGAUCGUCAAUAAUAACCUGCAAAGCCUAAGAAACUUCAAAUCACAGUAACUGAAGCAGGUCUGACCCAAUCUUUAACUGUCUUAAUCUUUUUCAGAUCCACCAUGAUAUCUUCCUUGGACACUAAGCCAAAUCUCACACUUUGAAAAUAUUGCUUAAAGCUUUUUAUCCUUUUGAAUUCCAUGAACGAUCCUCAAAUGAUGCUCAUGUUCCUCCUUACUGCGUGAGUAUAUUAAUAUAUCAUCAAUGAAUACAAUAACAAAGGAAUCCAAAUAUGGUCUGAACACUCAAUUCAUCAACACCAUUAAAGUUGCAUGCGCGAAAGUCAAUUCAAAAGACAUCCCCAAAAACUCGUAAUGGCCAUAACGUGUUCGAAAAGCCGUCUUAGAGAUAUCCUCCGCCCUAAGCUUCAGCUGAUGAUAGCCAGAUCUCAAGUCAAUCUUGGAGAAAACAGAAGCACCCUGCAACUAAUCAAAUAAAUCAUCAAUACAAGGUAUCGGGUAGUUAUUUCCGAUGGUUACCUGGUUCAGCUGCGGAUAGUCAAUACACAUAUGCAUGUAUCCAUCCUUCCUCUUUACAAAUAACACUGGAGCACCCCAACGAGAUACGCUCGGCCUAAUAAAUCCCUUGUUUAACAAAUCCUGCAACUGGUCUUUCAACUCUUUCAAUCCAGCCAGUGUUAUACGAUAAGGAGGAACAAAAAUAGGUUGAGUGCGUGGAUCUACAUCAAUAAAAAAGUUAAUAUCACUAUCUGGUGGAAGAUCUGGCAAAUCCGUCGGAAAUACCUCCGAAAAUUCACUCACCACUAGAAUAGACUCAAGCAUAUGAGUCUUAACACUAGUAUCUCCAAUGUGUGCCGUGUAAGACAAACAUUCUCUACCAACUGACGAGCCUUAAAGAAAUGAUAUCACACCCUUAGGAGGGUGACUAAUAUUUACUCUCCAUUCUACGAUAGGAAUUCAAGGCAUAAUUAAAGUAAUUGCCUUGGCAUGACAAUUUAAAAUUGUGGUAAGAAAAUAACAAAUCACAUUAAAAUCUAUCAUAUCUAAGACUUUUGUAUUUGCCAGAGUGUCAUACCCCAUCAAGGUAACAAUACGUAGUCGAUACACCCAUCUAGAACUAUAGAAUCCCCGACAUGAGUAGAAACAUGUAUUGCAAAUAAUGAGACUCACAUAAUAUAUCCUGACUCGAAGAAAAAUAUGUGGACACAUAAGAAUAAGUAGAGCCUGGAUAAAAUAAUACCAUAGCUGGUCGAUGACAAAUCAAAAUUAAGUGUGAUAAUAGCAUCUGAAGCCUCAGCCUCCAUUCUACCCAAAAAAGCGUAACAAUGAAAACCACCUCCCUUAGAUUGUUAACCUGCACGACCACCACCUUGACUAGAAGGAGAACCAACACUACCUGAAUAAUAACCAGCUUUACCACUCUAUGCACCACACCUAGCUGGAGGUUUUGUAGCCUUGAAAGUCGAAGUCUAAGAACCCUGAAGUAAGAUACCACGUCUGGUCCUAGGGUAGUCUCUCAUAAAGUAUCCCAUAUAACCACACUCAAAACAGACCCUACGAGAUGCAGGAUGAUGAGAGGAACCUGAAUGACCAGAAUUCCCUCCACGAACUAUAGGUCUAGAAGAUGAAGCCUGUGAAGUAUGCACUAAGCUCGAAGAAGUAUGCCCAUCGUAACAAGCCUCAGACCCACGUAUAGCAGCAUGAAUGGGUCUGCUGGACUGAGAGUGAUAACCUCUUCCUAUGUAACCUUGACUCGUAAGCGGAGCACCACAGAAAUAACCUGAAUACCGGGUCUUCUUGCCCUCACACUACUCAAAUCCCUCACAUCAAAUCAUCUCCCACUCCAUAAAAGCAUCUACCACUUUCUGGGACGGAAAACAAGAAGCAAAAACGUAAGAAACGCCUAAACGAAUCAAAAUAAUCAGCCUCUUAACAAACCUUCUCACUCUCUCAGCCUCUGUGGGAAUUAUCAUCGAAGCAUGCCUAGAUAAGGCAUGAAAUUUACCCUCAAACUCCGCGAUUGACAUACCACCUUGCUGCAAACCCUCAAACUCGGCCCUCUUGUGAUCCCUCUUAUUGCGUGGAACAAGUUUGGCUAGAAAAACUUGAGUAAAGUCCAGGAUAGUGGAGGGGAUCCAACUGGCCUAUUACUAAUAUAAUCCCUCCACCACUGCUUGGCAUAACUAGUCAUCUGAAACGCUGUGUAUGUUGACAUCCUAAUUUUGAUCCUUCCCAACAAUAAUAAAUUUUUGAGUUUCUUAAUUUCCUAACGAGUUUAAAUUGUUGAAUUUAUAAAAUUCAAAAAUUCUUUUCAAAUCAUUUUGAAAUAGCGUUAGUCGAUUUCUAUAUGCUUUUCAAAUCAAAAGAUUUUAGUUUUACUUAACGCUUUAUUGAAUUAAUUUUUGUCAAAAUUAGUAUCUCAUAUUUCGAGUCUUAGUUUAUAAUUUAGCUAGCUAUUUUAUCUCGUUAAAAUUAAGAAGAUCGUAGAUUAAUUAAAUACAAAAUUCGUCUUAUGUAGAAAUUUUAACCAAGUCGUCAUUUAAGCUCAAAUACGGUUUAAAACCCAACUCUAAUUGGCCAUAAUAUAUUUGUUACAUUUUGACAUCUCCUUCUUUCUUGAUUACACCAUUUCAACGUGACCAUGUUGGGUUUCUUUAACCCAUUUCAUCAACUCGUCACCAAUUUCCCAAUAAGUUGAAAAUGUCAUGCCCACCCCUUCUAUUAAAUCCAAUCCUUUUUGAAUCCAUUUAAAAGGAUAAAAGUUUGGCUUAUUUCUAUUGACCUUGGCUUUCUCCAAGUCUCAGCCCACUCUAAAUUCAUGAUCCAGUCCAGCCUCUUUUCCAUUCCCCUGAUCCUACACGUCUCGGUCUUUUUCUUCUUUUUUUGCGUAUUUUACGCGAGUUGAUCUAGAAAACGUGUAAAAUUACGCUCGUUCUCUUCCCCCUAAAACUCAAACCUAGAAAACUAGACACAGACGCGUGAAGGAACGGGCAAAACAUUCUUCACGCCUGAUGGCGUCUUCACGCAUUGUAUGAGAUGCAGCAGUAGUCUGUGGCCUUGGUUCUCUUCUUCCGAACGCAUCUCCAUCAAGUCGUACAAAUCCAGUAGUGGAUGAAGCACGCGGAUUCAUCCUUGAUAUGGCAAGAUGAUGCCACAUCGGUCUUCAAGGACGAGAGACUCAUCCCGGUCGUCCUUUUCCCUUUCCAUUUUUUUUAUCCGAAGGGGAGAAUUUAUUUUAAUUUUUUUGGAAUUUGAAAGCACUCAAAGAGAGAUUUUGUUAAAGGGAAAUAUUGUAGAAGAAAUUUUUUUGUGAGGAAAGAUUGAAAGAAAAGAUGGAAGGGAUACAUUAAAAACAAGAUUCUUGAGGGAAUCUUGUUCAGUCUUUGGAUCCUGAUUCCGAUGGAUCAGUUCAAAUCCUAGGAGUCAUAUUUGGAUAUGAAAUUUCUGCUCCUCUGCUCGUUCUGUCCAGUUCGCUGCACCUCGAAAGGUUAUAUUCUUUUACCACGUUCUCUCCGCUUUUCAGUGUGUCAUGUUUGCUUUUCAAUUGCUUUAGAAUAACAUUCUGAUGAUGGUAGGUGUUCAAUUGUUUUUUAUGGUUGUUGGCAUCUUGUAAGAAUAGAGUAUAAAUUAUAUGUUUUUCUUUGGCUUGCUGCUAAGAGGUAGCCGUAACAUCAUUUUUAAGGACU
rnacentral:lncRNA from 1 species